rnacentral:lncRNA from 1 species
CUUUUUUCCUUUUAAACUAGGUGCUUUGCCCCCUCAAAAAAAACUGGGUGCUUCGUGCGAUCCAUCGAUACUACUACUAGUAAUCCGGUAAUCCCGACUAAAACGGCACGGCCGGGUCAUUUCCUGCGCAAUAUGCUGGGAGGUUGGCUUAGUUGGGUUUUUUAGGACGAGAAUUGGUACACCUAUGUAACCCUAGUUACGUAAUUAACGUAAUGUGAAACAUGUGAGCUAUUUAUUGUAGAUUGUGGGAGGGAGGGUCCCACCACUAUGAAAAUUAGGAGGUUCCCGUAGAUGUAGAAAGAUGUGAAAUGCGUGAAUGUGUAGUGGACGUACUAGGAGUCCUAAGAUAAAUUGUGUAUGUAUAGACCCUAUGUGUUUGUUUACUUCGCAUGUUAGCUUUGUCUCGGUUCAAUAAAAAGCAGAGUUGGUGAUGAUCGUGUGCCUGUCAUCCUGCAAUAUAGGCCGACCGAUCUAUAUCUAAUGGAUAGGAAGGAAACUAUGACAAUUUACCCGCGCUGCUCUCCACAUUUGUAGAUAAGGCCUUCCCUCAUUCAUCCUUUUCUCCCACAAGAUCUUGAUGUUCCAUGCAAUGCACGGGCAUCUUGCUAGUACUCCCACAAUAUACUAUAUUAUUGUGAAAGUUCAUAUACACCGGUCGAGAUUAAUGCAAACACGGCAUAUUUUCAUUACAUUUAGAACUUUUAUAGGACAGAAAAAUAAAAGAAACCCGAGCCUAAACCUAUUCUAUGGCAGCGACCGACGUCCUCCAUCUGCGAUCUCUAUGUACGGGGGCGGGGUUCAAGACCCAUGAAGUGAAGGUGCGGUCUCCGGCGAUGAAGAGUAGAACACGGGAUACGGACCGGCCAGUUGGCACACCAUGCCUUGCCGCCUCCCAUGCCCUACGCAUCCUCGGAGGAGUCCCCGACCUCGGUGGUGCCAGAUGUUGGACGGCGGCAAGUAGGACGCAUGGCUCACGGUGCUCCCGUCGUCGGCCGCCAGCAUGGCCACCGCUUGUGUGGUCGCAUCCACGUCCGGCUACGCCGCUAUUGCGUCACGAGAGGCGACUUGAGCAAGGUUGGCGACCUCAAGCUUCAUCCCCGAAGACAAGCUCUCCCGCAGAGCAUUCGCGCUUGUAGUCAUGGCGGAUGUGGUGCCAGGUAGGAGGACGAUGCACUAUGGUGUGGAGGUUAGCUGGGCGUUGCCUCUUUAAGUAGCGCAUUUCAGUGAGGCCAAGCGUCCGAGUGCGUCAUUAAGUCACCGGAGUUGGUUCCUUGGGCACCGAGCCUCUUAAUGACGGCAUACAGAUAGACGACAUGAAUGCGGGUAGCUGGCGCCAGUUGGGAACACACCGUGCGAUGGUGCGAGGGACGAGGGUUUUUGGUGUGCCAGGGUAGUCAGCUGCGGUCGUGGCAACGUUGGAGAUGCCCUUUGCUCACAUGUGAUCCCCGCAUGUCAUUGAAAAAGCAAGAUGACCCGGCAUGGUCUCAGGUCCUGGGGAUGCAGUUGGCCGUGCUACACCACUCCACGGACGUGUCGCGGCGCCCCGUGCAUCCUUGACGAGCCGGGUGUUGGGGUGUGUUUGGAUUGUGGCCAAAGUGCACCUUACCAAAAUUUUGGUCAUGACCCAAAGAUUGGUCUUUGUUUGGAUGGUUGCCAUUUUUCGGCAUGCCAAUGAACUCUAGGCAACUCUACUUCAUUUUUCUUGCCAAUGUCGGCCAAAUCAUGGGCAACCAAAACCUCAACCAAAAUUUUGGCUAGCCGAUGCUUUGAUGGGGCAACCUUGGGCACAAACAAAACAUACUGCUGGUUGUGCCACAGCGCUAUCGCCACCCUCGGCACACUGAAACCGACCGUGUCCAGCGACAAUGAGCGUGUCGCUCAUCGCGGUCGCCGUGUCCAGAGGCGGUGCUGGAUUUGUGCCAUGUUGCUGGCCCCCAUGACCCACAUGAACGGUUGCCGGUUGCGAGGAGGUCAUGGGCCAGCUCCUCCAUUGGACUAGUCGGCACUACGCCGUCCCAACAGGUGUGCCCCACAUGUUGGUUUCCUUGUUUUCCCGGCCAUAUUCGAGCAUCAGUGCUCCGUGUUGCGCAUUAGGCCUUUCACUCUGUAGGCCAAGCGAGACAACUUAUUGUUUAUUUGAGCCGUAAAAGUAUAAUCAUGUGGCGUUUGCUUAUUUCUCAUUCCUCUCCAACCCUCUUCUCCAUCGAUCAUGCCGCCCUCCGGUCGAGUCCAUCCUCCCACAUGCCUCAUUUGAACAUUCCGCCGAGUAUCAUUCGCAUGUGGGCCUAGACCAUGCUUGUAUUUCCAAUGUUGUAAUUUGUCCGACAUGCAUACAAACAAACGGUUCGUUUAAAGUUUCACUUUGCCUCCACUACGUGUCGCUUCGUGUCUUAGUUUUGUCAUCCCAUUCGGUUCAUGCCCCAACACAUGUUGAUGAGAUCGAUUGAUAUUGAGAGGUCAAUUGCGUGUCGUGCAAGGAGAUAAAUGUUUGGUCUGUUUUUAUGAUAGAAAUGACCCACGGGGGGGGGGGUCUGUGGGGAUCAGAGGGAGUAUAUCACUACUAGGGAAAACCCUAGUAGUAGCGCGGGUUUAAUGCCCACUAGUAGCGCGGGACACUGUGCUACUAGUAAGGCGCUACAGCUAUUACUUAGCAGUAGCGUGUGCGGCUACUGCUAAGACAUAUAGCCGCAGCGUGUGUUCACUCACGUGCUGUUGCUAAUCUAGCUAGUAGCAGCGUGUUUUCUAUCCCUCGCUACUAGUAUUCUUUUCUUCAUUUUUUUAUUUUUAUUGUAUUUAUACGCCGGUAUACAAAUUUUGGUACAAUACCACACAGUGUGUCAAAUGAAGGUGGAUUAGGUUCAAGUGGAGGCAACAUGUGGUGCAUGUCAAAAGUAUACUACUAAUCCAAACUUGAUCUAGUUUGGACUACUAGUACUUUUGAUGUGCACCACAUGUUGCCUCCACUUGAAUCUAAUCCGCUAGCACAAGCUAUUUAAUCAUCAUCAUAGUCAUUACCACCAAUAGUAGCUAUUUAAUCAUCAUAGUCAUAGUGUAGCACAUCAUCAUCUUCAAACUCAUUCUAGCUAGCUAAUCACCACCAAAACUAGCUAUGGUAGCUAUCUAAUCACCACCAACACUAGCUAAUUAUAAUCAUCAUAGUCAUUACCACAAACACUAGCUAUUUAAUCAUCAUAGUCAUAGUGUAGCACAUCAUCAUCUUCAAACUCAUUUCUAGCUAAUCACUCCUGCUGCUCUCCCUCAGGUAAAAUAGCAUAAAACAUGUGUAGCACUUGUAGGACCUUGAAAUAUGUCCCGAGGGGGGUGAUUAGACUACUUGACCAAUUAAAAACUUAACCUUUUCCCAAUUUUAGAGUUUGGCAGAUUUUAGCUACUUUAGGACAAGUCAAGCAAUCAUCACACUAUUCAAGCAAGCAUGCAAAGAGUAUAUAGGCAGCGGAAAUUAAAUCAUGCAACUUGCAAGAAAGUAAAGGGAAGGGUUUGGAGGAUUCAAAGGCAAUUGGAGACACAGAUGUUUUUGGCGUGGUUCCAAUAAGUGGUGCUAUCGUACAUCCAUGUUGAUGGAGACUUCAACCCACGAAGGGUAAUGGUUGCGCGAGUCCACGGAGGGCUCCACCCAUGAAGGGUCCACGAAGAAGCAACCUUGUCUAUCCCACCAUGGCCGUCGCCCACGAAGGACUUGCCUCACUAGCGGUAGAUCUUCAUGAAGUAGGCGAUCUCCUUACCCUUACAAACUCCUUGGUUCAACUCCACAAUCUUGUCGGAGGCUCCCAAGUGACACCUAGCCAAUCUAGGAGACACCACUCUCCAAGAAGUAACAAAUGGUGCGUUGAUGAUGAACUCCUUGCUCUUGUGCUUCAAAUGAUAGUCUCCCCAACACUCAACUCUCUCUCUUGGGUUUUGGAUCUGGUGGAAAGAAGAUUUGAGUGGAAAGCAACUUGGGGAAGGCUAGAGAUCAAGAUUCAUAUGGUAGGAAUGGAAUAUCUUGGCCUCAACACAUGAGUAGGUGGUUCUCUCUCAGAAAUGGUAAGUUGUAAGUGUAGGUUUGUUCUGAUGGCUCUCUCCAUGAAUGAAGAGGUGGUGGAGGGGUAUAUAUAGCCUCCACACAAAAUCUAACCGUUACACACAAUUUACCAAACUCGGUGGGACCGAUUCAACAGACUCGGUCGGACCGAUUUAGUAAACCUAGUGACCGUUAGUGAUUUUCGGUGGGACUGACAUGCAUCUCGGUGAGACCGAUUCAGUUAGGGUUAGGGCAUAAUGUAAUCUCGGUAAGACCGAUUACACAAACUCGGUGAGACCGAUUUGGUAAUAAACUUUCCAGAGAAUUGGUCAGGUAAACUCGGUGGGACCGAUUUGCUCUUUUCGGUGAGACCGAAAUGUUACAAAAGGGAAACAAAGAGUUUACAUUGCAAUCUCAGUGGGACCGAUCGCUCACUUCGGUUAAACCGAAACGUUAUGAAGGGAAACAGAGAGAUUGCAACCCCAUCUCGGUGAGACCGAGAUCCCUAUCGGUAAGACCGAUUUGCUUAGGGUUUGUGGCAGUGGCUAUGACUUUUGGAAUCGGUGGCGCCGGAUAGGAAGAAUCGGUGUGACCAAUUUUGGCUUUGGGUUUAGGUCAUUUGUGGAUGUGAGUAGGUAGCCGAGGGUUUUGGAGCAUAUCACUAAGCACAUGAAGCAAGAGGCUCAUUAGGCAACACCUCAUCCCUCCUUGAUAGUAUUGGCUUUUCUUAUAGACUCAAUGUGAUCUUGGAUUACUAAAAUAUAAAAUGAAGAGUCUUGAGCUUUUGAGCUUGAGCCAGUCCUUUGUCCUUAGUAUUUUGAGGGAUCCACUUUCAUCAUCCAUGCCAUGCCAUUCAUUGAGCUUUCCUGAAAUAAUAGUCUUGGAUUAGCAUUAGCUCAAUGAGCUAUAUGUUGUUAUGAAUUACCAAAACCACCUAGGGAUAGUUGCACUUUCAAUCUCCCCCUUUUUGGUAAUUGAUGACAACAUAUAGAUCAAAGUUUCAACAAAUGAUAAUAAAAUUUAACAACAUCGUCGCUUUGAGAAGUAUGUGAUAAGCAAGAGCUCCCCCUAAAUUUGUGCAUGGUUUAAGAUUUUCUUUAGACUGCAAAUGCACAAUGAAUUAGGCUCAUGAGUUACUCUUCCAUGUCACAUACAUCAUGGUGGAGCGCUCAAAAUAAUAAACAUUGAAUACAUGCACUCAUCACCAAGCAAAGUGAAUGAUCACAUAAGAUAGAUAGGAUAAUAUCAUCAAACAUGCAUAAGUGUAGCUUAUGAUCAAACACAUGAUCAUCAAUGUCUCACAAGCAUAGUAUCUCAAACGAUCAAAAGCAAACAAAUUUAACCACCAAAUAAAGCAAGAGAGAACAAAAGCAACACUCUCUCUCUCGAAGCAUAUGAUCUAUACAUUUUUCUCCCCCUUUGGCAACAAGUUACCAAAAAACUCAUAGAAAAUGCAUAGUGCUAGAUCGACUCUAGGGCUUGAUCUUCAGGUGGUGGUGUCCGGAUAACUCCUUGGACGAAGGCUUCAGUUGAAGUAGAGGGUGCUGGAGUGGAUGCUGGAGCUGGUUGCACUGGAGCUGAAGGGGCUGUAGCUGGUGCUGAAGAUGUUUCUCUAGUGUCUGUCACAGGCACUACAACUGAACUCUGGGCUCAGCACUCUGGCAAACACAUUUGUUGUAGUCUUGCCCUGCCUCUCCUUCAUAUUAUCCUGCAGCUGCUCUACAACUGACUGAAUCUCAGUUACUUUGACAUCAAGGUCAUGGAAUUUGAGUUCCAUGAUUCUGUCCAGGCUCUCCUGAUUCUGAGUGAGGGUGGCCAGUCCCUUCUCAAUCCUCAGUGUAGAUGCUAUCAAGUAACCAAGCUGCUCCUGCUUGUUCUUCAAGAAAUAUUCAGAUGCCUCCUCUUGAGUUGGCAUCUUGGCAGCCUUCUCCGUCUUUGACUUCUCCUUCUUCUCCUGAGCUUGAACUGAUGAUGGGUCAUUCUCAUUCAUGACAACCUCAUUGUCCUCAAAGUCUGGAUAAAGUGGAAAAUGUUCCUUAUCCAACUGAUAUUUCCCUGUGCCCAUCUUUGAGUUGAUCAAUUCCUGAAUCUGAGGUGCAUAUCCAUAGCUCCUCUUCUGAUCUACUGCAGUCCUCUUAAUGGUUUCAAUCAUAAGGCUCAUGGCUUUGAACUUUUGUGGCACAUCAAACACAUGCAACAUGUUGAUGGCAUGCCCUCUGAUCAUGUUAUGGUCACCAGACUUAGGCAACAGGGUGUGCCUCAGAAUCCAAUUGAUUGUGGGUAGCCCUGACAGCAGAAAGUGGACUGAUCCAAACUUGUGAGUCUCAACUGCCUUGUCUGGGAUCUCCUUGUACAUGUGAGCCAUGAAAUUGUGAUCCAUCUUUUUCUUUGCAUAGAUAUCCAAGUCAUCCUCAUUUUCCUUUGGGGCAUUUAUCAGACUUGCCCAUUCUUCAACAGUGGAUUGGUACCUUGUACCUUCAGACAUCCAAACAAUUCUUCCAUCUGGAUAAGAAUGUGCUGUGGAGUAGAAUUGCAUGAUAAGCUCAUCAUUCUAGUGGGUGAACUUUUGUCUAACAAAAUCAGAAACUCCACAAGCAACAAAGCUGUCUUGCACUCCAGGAUAGUGCUCUUCAUUGUCCUUGAUGUAGGUCCAGUUGACCCACCUCAUGUCACAAACUAUGGGCUUCUUAUCCAACAGAAUUAUCUCAUAGAAGUCCUGCUGUUCCUUUGUAUGGAACCUGUAGUCAACAAUAGUUCUUCUCCUUGAAGCAUAUGGAUCUUCCAUCCUCCAUAGCCUCAACCCUGAAUCCUUCCUGACCCUCAUGUCCUCAGCCACAGGAUGGGCAUCAUUGUGGUCUGGUAUCUUGGGCUUGAGCUUCCUUAGGACCUGACCUUCUUCAUCUUCUUCUUCAGCAACAUUUGGCACUGGGGCCUUGUUCUUCUCAGCAGUUGGAAUACUCCUAGUAUUCCUCUUUGGUACCUGCUUGGCCUUGGAGGCAGCUUUGGGUGCUUCCUUGGGCUUAGAUGUUGCAGCCCCUGAUCUUAUAGCAUCACCCAUAAGCUUUGGUGCCUUAGGUGCUGGUGCAGCAACCUCUUCCUCUUCUUCAGAAUCUCUUCUCAUUGAGGGCUUUCCAAGAACCUGGGCAGUUGUGGUUCUUGCUCUCUUCUUUUUCUUGUCCUGAGGACCUUCAUCCUCUGAUUCUAUGGUGAACUUCAUAGUCUCUCCGGUGGGGACUUUCUUGGGUUUGGAAGAAGUGACUUUCUUUUCAGGUGCCUCUUUGGGUUCAGUCUGUUUUGGCACUUGAGUGGAUCAUCUGACUUUGGGCAUUGGUGUACUCUUGGCAGGAACUUUCUUUUUCAGUCCAGGCUUUGGGCUAUGUGCAGAGCCAUAUUCCUUCUUGAGCACUAGUUUCUUGGAAGUAGCCUCAUCUUCUUCAGCUUUGUAGUCCUCAUCCUCUGAGUGUGAUGUUCUCUUCCUCCUUUGCCUGGUAGCAGCCUUUGGCAGGUUGCUAGGAGUGCUUCUGCUCCCUUCAUCUGUAGAGCUUGAGGGACUAGUGCCCUUGCUCAUGUCAAUCCACUCUUCAGACCUGUUCUGGCUGUCACUCUGGUCUGACAUGCUGCAAAAAGCUGAUUGCUGACCCUCUGAAGAGUUAUAGAUGAGAUAGAGUGGAUGCGCAUCACAAAAUGCAGACAUUUUUGCAAAAGAAUGAUUCAAAAAUUCAGUUUUAGUUUUCCACAAAAAGCAUUUCGGAUCAACCGAUUUUCAAACUCGGUGAUACCGAAGCAGUUUUGGAACCUAAAAUGAUGAUCUCGGUUGGACCGAGUCACAGUUUGGUGGCACCGAGACUGCUAGGGUUUCACAGAAUCCUAAAAUCGGUCGCACUGAUUAGUAAUUCUCGGUCAGACCGAGAGUGUCGUGGGAACGAACACCUAUGGGGCAAAGGGCCCCUUUUCGGUCCAGCGGGGGGCGGAGAUCGCACGAAGAGCAGAUCGAGGCGAGGCACACGAGCGGUUUACCCAGCUUCGGAGCUCUCCGGAGAGAUAAAACUCCUACAGCUGCUUGUCGGGCAGUAUUGUGUUCUUGCUCGGGAGCGCUGAGAGCUACAGUACGCUCGAAACCGAGCGUGAGUGUUUUCUGGUUUUGAACCCCCCCUACGUUGCGCACGGGCCUCCUUUUAUAUGUUAAAGGGGUCACCGACAGGUGGCAACGCAUGCAAGGGUAAAAAUGUAAAAGAACUGCAGUAGGUACACCUACUCGUACAGUGCAUCCUACCUAACCCUGACGGCAGGGGACAAAAGCAUUGAAUGCCCGUCUGCGUCGCCCAAACAGUGCAGAAAAGUGACCGUUAGGGGCGCCACCGCUCGCCACGAUAGCCAUCUCGUCAUCUCCGCUUGCCACCUCGCACCGCUGGCUGCACAGCCUCUCGCCACGCGCGCCUGGAAGUAUCAUAGGGCGACACGUUGGUGGAUGCGCUGGAUCGCGGGUACAGAGUAGUAGCCUGCCGCGGCAAGCGUCUUGCCGCGAUCGUUGUCUUGUCGCGUCCGGAAGCUUGUUGCUUGCCGGCCUUGCCGGGACGCGAGGCGCGUCGUGGCAAGUUCCUUGAAAUGUCUUGGUUGGCCUUCCCGGCAAGCUCCUCUUGCCGGGGUCUUGGCCUCCCCGGCAAGCUCCUGUUGCCGGGGCCUUGUCUUAAACACUUUGUUCUUGAAUGGUUCGAAAGGAACCAUGGAGGACCUUGGAGGUCGCCCGGCAAGCCAUGCCGCGGGGCGCUGCGACUGCCCGUGCACAAGUUCGGGAUACUAAGGUACCCCUACUCUAGUACACCGACAGGAGCCCCCGGGCCUGGGCCAUACAUAGUGCCGAGCGCUAUUGGGCCAGGCCCAAAACAGGGCAUGGGCACGCGCGGCCUGGGCCAUGUCGUAUCUUACUCCGUAUCCACCGCGCCCUCCCUUAAUGGCACGCGUCGAAUGCGGCGUCGUGGGAGAGAUCGUGGGUGGUUCUUUAUUCGGAAAAAGCGUAACGUUCGCCUCUUCCCUAUUUAUAAGCAGGGGAAACAGGGGCAGUUGCCCCAUCUCGCCAGUUGCUUCCCCAAUCUCAGAAAUCUCCGCCGCUCCCCUCCUCUUCCAAAGCCGAAAGAAAGCAGCGCUCCGCCCCCCAUCGCCGCCGUCGCCGCCAACACCGUCGAUCUCCUCCACCACCCCCGCCAUGGCUCCGAAAGCCGGGAAGGGCGUGAAGUCGGCCGAGGCGCUGCGAAAAGAGCGGGCAACCUUCCCCUCCGAGCUCAACGCGACGUAGCUGAGGGAGUGGUACUACCUCUUCUGGUCGACAGAGACGCGAGCGCAUCCGCGCACGAAGGUACUCUCCGCUGCCGCUUCGAAACGGGCUCCAAACGGAUACCCCUUCUUUGUACUGUUCUUCUACUGCGGGCUCUGCCCGCCCUUCUCGGAGUUCUUCUGUGAUAUCAUGAACACCUAUGGGUUUCACCUCCUUGACUUCACCCCCAACGCCGUUCUGACCAUGGCAGUUUUCACACAUCUCUGUGAAAACUUUGUCGGAGUCCACCCAAAUGUAGCCCUUUUCCGCCACUACUUCAUGCCCCGGGUCGAGAGAGGAGAGACUCUAUCCGGCGGGAUCGCCUGGAUCUCGAGAGCCGGCAAGAAGGAGGCGUACCUGGAGGGGGAGCUCCGCAGCAAAUGGGAGGAGUGGAGAGCCGAUUGGUGCUGGAUCGUCGAGGAGAACCCGCAGCCGUUCACCGCCCAGCGCCAAGCUCCAGUAGUGCGCGGCGGCGAUUGGAGCAGCUUGGCCGCGGAAGACAACAAGCUGAAGAUCGCCACCACCCGGAUCUUGCGCCUCAGGCUUGCCGGGCUGACUGUUGGCGCUAUAGGCUCAGACUUUCUUCGCCGUCGCAUUGCCCCCCUGCAAGAGAGGAAGAGACCCGCCUGGGAAUUUGUGGGUCCGGCGGACAUCAUGAGGCUGCGCCCGGGCCUCAACUUCAAUUUCACCAUCCUGGAAUUGGAUGCGAUGCUCAAGGAGUUGUUCAAGCACGAUUCCCAACAUCCAGAGUGGUUCAGGUUGCCGGCAGGGGUCGUUCCGCUAUGCAACAACUCUUCGCUCGACCGCAUCCGCGCGAUGAUGCCGCUGUGCGACUCACAUGGCCUUGUCCCAACUUGGCAAGAGCCUGCAGACGAUGUCGUGCAGCAGUUCUUCAACGGCUUGGUGGAGGUGGCGGUCCACGCCGACGAACAGAAGAUCCUCACCCACAACACCACUGAGGAGGAGAUGCAACGCAUCGCCACCAGGGCGGAAGAGGCGGCGGCAGCCGCCGCCGCGGGCGAGUUCGGGUUCACCAUGGAGGAGGCAGAGGCAGCAAAGGCGGCAAGCCUUGCCGAGCGAGAGUGGCUUGACGGCGAGGAAAGGCUUGCCGCGCCUGACGCCGAGUCGAGCGAGCCCGCCGAGGGUGCGAGCGGCCCGCCGUCUCCAGGUAGCUUGCCGCAGGCGGAGCCCCCAGCGCCACCGAGAAGGCGUCUCCGCAGGGCCGAGGAUGUAGCAGGGUAGCAAACGGGUCAGCAGCCGUCGCGCCGUGCGACACGCUCCGCUGCGACAAGCAAUGUUGCCGCGGGAGCGCCUCGCACCGCUGCGGCAACUGGAGCGGGGUCUUCCCGGACCACCGCCGCUGCCCCCGCCAAGUGGCCAAGGGAUCCAACUCCCCCGCCUCGUCGCGCCGAAGGUGGGCCGGACUUCGACCUCUCCGCGCUCAGCUCCGACGAGGAGGAUGAAGAGUGAGAAUCCUUGUUGUACUUGUAGUUCUUCAAUUCUUGUUGUUUUUGUCUUGUAUCUGAUCUGCUUUACUCUGAACCUUGUUCCUUUUCAGGACCCUGGCCUAGAGAGCAGCGAAGAUAGCCAAGGUUCCGGUGGUUAUCAUCGAGGACGAGCCCACCGCGAUGGCAGGGGGUGCGCCCGAGACCACCUUGCCGGACCCGGCAAGUACUCCCCGAAGCAGCCCCCAGCGCAGCCCCCAACGUAAGUAUAAAGUUUACUUCCCGCUGUUGGGCGCGCAAGGGUGUUCUUUCCUUUGAUGACAUCUGACUGUUGCUUUGUUUGUGUAGGAGCAGAACAACUUCACCAGGAGGGCUCGGAAACCGCCUCCAACGUGCCAUCUGCUUCAACUACACCGCCAAGGGAGGAUUCCCCAGCAAGGGAGUGUUCUCCGGCAAGGGAGAAAUCUCCGGCAAGGGAGGAGUCUCCGCCAAGGGGCAGCACCUGCGACCCCCCGGUGGUGGAGCCCAUGACCGUGGAUCCCUGUACAGGUAACCCUCUUGCCUGAAACUUCCCUUGGGUUCUUCUUCUUCUGAUUUUCUUUUUGGAUAUUUGCUUGACUUUUCUCCCUCUUCCGGUCUUCAGAUCCUCCUUCCACGGAGCCGAUGGAGACCGAGGCCACCGGCGAGGAGAAUGUGCGUGGCAACACUGACGACGCCGCCGCCACUGAAGAAGAGGCCGGCGCUGAUGAUCCUGCCGGUGAAGAGGCCGCCAAAGCUGCUGGCGCAAGAGCUGGCGAGGGGUCCGGCGAUCGUACUGACGACCCUGAGGCCACAGGAGCGCAAGGCGCUACGCCGACCACCGAUCCCUCCGCCCUGACGCAGCGCCAGGCUCCGAAGAGCCCCAGCCCGGUGCCUACUUGAAGGCUGGCGAUGGUGUUUUCAUCAAGCUCCCCUGGGCCUCAAGCUCCAGGGCGCCGGUUGAAGGAGAGACCUUUGAUGGAGAAGUGCUCGCCUCCACUGGGCUGACACUGGUUGACGCGCCAAGUAGCAGCAGCGGCGAGUCUGAGGAGGAGCAGCUGCUCUGGAAGCUGGUGUCGCUCUACCGCGCCCGACAAGCCAAGGUGGAGUCCCGGGAAGCGCUUGUCGCACAGGCGUGAGCGGACAUCGAGAAGCGCGCAGAGGAGCUCCGGGAACGCAAUCAGGAAGCUCUCCGGUCCCUGGCAGAGGAGCGGAAGCAACUUACCGAGGAGCGGAAGGCCUUCCUCCUCGAGAAGGCUGAAGCCGAAGAGCAACAGCGGCUUGCCACCGAGGAGCUGUUUGCGCGGGAGGGUGAGCUGACGCAGCGGAAGGUCAACCUCGAUAGCUACGAGGAGGAGCUUGCCGCGUGCGAGCAAACAUUUGGCGGGGCCCUCAAGGAAGCAAAGGAUGCUGCCGCAGCUGCCGAGGCCGCCAAGAAGGAGCUGGAGAUGAAGGUGGCGCGGCUGGAGGCCGAUCUCAAGGCGAGCGGCGAAGAGCUUGCCGUGCUCAAGCGUGAGCGCGAUAAGGACGCCCUCGCCCAUGGUGAGCUGCAGGGUCAACUCGUCGAGAAGGGGAAGGAGCUGAGCGCCGCCAAGGACUCUAACGCUGAUCUGGAGUUGAAGCUGGCCACCCUGACCGAGACGCUGGACAGCGCCAAGGAGCGGGAGGUGGCCCUGAAGGAGGAGAUCAAGGGCAACGAAGCGCUGCUGACGAGGGCCGCCGAAACCCAUAACACCUUUAGGGAGACGGUGGAGCUCUGGACAAAGGGCCUCGUGAACAUCGCUGCCGUCAUCGACGAGGAGCUGGUGCAGCUGGGGGUGGAGGAUCUCGGGUACUCCUCCGACGAGAACCUCCAGCCCAGCGCCAAGCUCACUUUAUUCUUCAAGGGCGUGGCGACGGCCCUCCAGCAACUCCGGGAAAAGAUCCCAAAGCAGCUGGCCGACGAGUCGCGCACGAUAUGCGCCGAGUUCUGGAGAAGGUGUUGGUGAAGGUGGCCUUCCGCAACCCAGGCCUCAACCUCACCAACGUCCUCUGGAAGCUGCCGGCAGAUACUGAUCUGGAAGCGCUCAAGGCCCUUGUCGCACCCAUUGUGGACAAGGUGAAUGAGGUCAAGAGGGUUGAUGGUGGCCGCGUAGAUUAGACCGCCCGUUUCUUCCUUUCCUUGCCGCUGCUAGUCAUGUUACGAUAACAACCCGUUAGAGCUGCGGCAAGCUAUCUUGUAAUAUAACUUUAUCUUGGGUAUCGACUACUAUGUUAUUUCCUUUACUUGAUUUCUUCCCUUGUAUGUUUUUGCCCUACGCUUUUAGGGAACUUGCCGGAGCAGGCACCUUUGCCGCGAGCGCUAAGUGCGGGACGUCAGCAGCCUGCUGGCGGUGCCGCUACCGACAAGAAACCUUGUCGCAACUAGUCGCAGCACACUUAAAUUGUUGAGCGGACUCGAAACAAAGCAAGGGCGCAACUAGCUACGAGUUGGUUCCUCCGCGCACAGGUUUUCCAUACAAAGCAUGGUCAUUCAAGGAAGAUAACUUAAAAUUUUAAAACUGAUUGCUCAAACUUUGGCAACUUAGCUUUUAUGUCGUUUGCUUCCUGGUAAGGCUAGACUUUCUUGGACGCUGUCUGGUCCACACCACUAUCUUCUCCUUCCCCCCGGCAAACUUGUGCGCGAGGGAACCUUUCCCUUUCUUUGAGAAAAAGAAAGAAGAGAAAAUAAAGAUAUGGAGCCUUACGGCUCGUUAUUGCUUACCGGGGGUAGGUGCUGCACAAAGUGUCAGAAAAUACAUGCAAAAAAUAGAAAGCAUGAAAUUGACAAGAUGUGCGGAGCACAUGAGUUUUAUUUAUGCACGGAAUCAGCGCACGGCUUUGUACAAAGGAUUACAUGCAACAGCGGCAAGACUUGUACAAAAGGUGGUUGCCGGAACUGGUUCCGGCAACCGCGCCUUACGGGUAAAACUUACGAAGAUACUCAAUGUUCCAGGAGUUGCUCACCGGAAAGCCAUCUUCGGUCUCAAGGCGGACAGUGCCAGGCCUAGUGACUCGUUUCACCCGGUAAGGGCCUUCCCACUUCGGCGUCAACUUGUUAGAAUUCUUGGCGGACUGAACGCGCCGAAGAACAAGGUCGCCUUCCUCGAGACUUCUGGCAUUAACUUUGCGUCUAUGGUAGCGGCACAAAGCUUGCUGGUAUCGAGCAGCUGUACAGCAGCCUGAAGACGGUCAUCCUCAAGGAGCAGCGCGUCAUCUUGUCGCAGCUGCUCUUGCUCAAGCUCAUCAUAAGCGAGCACUCGAGGCGACCCGUAUACGAGUUCCGUGGGGAGAACUGCCUCUGCUUCAUAGACUAGAGCGAAAGGUGUCUGGCCAGUGGCUCGAUUUGGCGUCGUCCUGAUCGACCAAAGAACCACCGGCAGCUCCUCGAUCCAGUUCUUUCCGCACUUGUGCAGCCUGUCGAAAGUCCUGGUCUUGAGCCCACGCAGCACUUCAGCAUUUGCCCUCUCCGCUUGACCGUUGCUUCUCGGGUGAGCAACAGAAGCGAAGCAGACCUUGGCGCCAAGAUCUUGGACGUACUGCAUGAAGGUGCAGCUCGUGAAUUGUGUGCCGUUGUCGGUGAUGAUCCUGUUAGGGACCCCGAAACGGCAAACAAUCGACCUGAGGAACUUGACUGCUGACUGUGCCGUCACCUUCCUCACUGCUUCCACUUCCGACCACUUUGUGAACUUGUCGACGGCAACGUACAAGUACUCAAAGCCCCCGACAGCUCGGGGAAAGGGGCCGAGGAUGUCGAGCCCCCAGACCAAAAAUGGCCAGGACAAAGGGAUCGUCUGGAGAGCUUGAGCCGGCUGGUGUAUCUGCUUGGAAUGGAACUGGCACGCUUCACACUUGGUUACUUGUGCAGUUGCAUCCUGGAGGGCUGUCGGCCAAAAAAAACCUUGCUGGAACGCCUUGCCGGCAAGUGCUCUUGCGCCAAUGUGGUGACCACAUAUGCCUCCAUGUAUCUCCGCCAACAGCUCUUGCCCGUCUUCCCGGGGAAUACACUUCAAUUUCACACCGUUGAGUCUUCUUUUGUACAGUGUGUCAUCGACAAACUGGUACAUACUUGACUGCCGGGCUACUUUUUCCGCUUCUUCUUGCUCUUCGGGAAGCUCUCCUGUCUGAAGGAAACGGACAAUCUGCUGUGCCCAUGCUGGAGCCCGCGGCUCGACGACAAGGACUAAAGGCACAUAUGCUGCUGCGGGAACAUCAGCUUCUACGGCAAGAACUUGUGGCUCAGCCGGAGCUUGAUGUUCCCCGGCAAGUUUGCGGGAGCAAAACUUGUCGGGAGCGUCUGCUUCAACGGAAGAAACCAUAGGGCUUGCCGGAGCAGACUGCUCCUCAACACUCUUAGUGUUGAUUUUGGGGACCUUCUUGGCGGUGGCUUCGGGAAGCUCUGCCGGAAAGUAGUCACCAGAAAUCAACUUCCUCUUCUUGUUCUGUCCAGUUGACGGCGUCACAGUCGGUUGAGUCAGUUUGAGCACAAAGAUCCCUGGUUCCACAGGUAACUUUAGUGCAGCGCACUUUGACAGGCCGUCAGCAAUGUCGUUCUGAGCUCUCGGAACAUGUUCCAUCUGUAGGUCGUCAAAGUGCUCUUCUAACUUUCUCACUUCGUCAACAUAGGCUUCCAUCAACGGACUCUGGUAAUCUUAGUUCACUUGGCGGACGACAAGCUGCGAGUCACCCCUGAAAAUAAGCUUCUUGAUCCCAAGGUCUACCGUGAUCCUGAGGCCGGCAAGCAAACCUUCAUACUCUGCAGUAUUGCUUGUUGCUUGCUCCUUGGGAAAGUGCAUCUGGACUAUGUACUUGAGGUGCUCUCCGGUGGGUGCGACAAGUAGCACGCCCGCACCGGCGCCUUGCAGCGAAAAGGCACCAUCAAAGUACAUGAGCCACUCUUUGCUUGCUUCCUUGACGGGGAUGCUUGUCUCUGGAAUUUCUUCAUCAUGUGUUGGUGUCCACUCUGCUAUAAAUUCUGCCAAUGCCCAGCUCGGGAUAGUUGAGGUGCUCUCAAACUUGAGGCUAAAGCUUGACAGUUCCAGAGCCCACUCGACAAUCCUGCCUGUUGCUUCUGGAUUCUGCAGUAUCCUCUUCAGCGGAAAGCGAGUGACAACUGUGAUCUCAUGUGCUUGGGAGUAAUGGCGCAGCUUUCUCGAGGCCAUGAGAAGGCCGAAAAGCAAUUUCUGCACACCAGAGUACCUCGAUCUAGCCCCCUGCAGAAGGGAACUGACAAAGUAAACUGGGCGCUGCACCAUUUUCUUCUGCACCUCCUCAUGUGCCUGCGCAGAUCCACCCUUGUCGGGACCAGAGCUUGUCGGCGAAGCCCCCUGCUUGUCGCUGGAUGCAUCCGCCGUGGUUGCUGGCUCAUCAUCCGCCUCCCUCUCCGCUACUAACGUAGCACUAACCACUUGAUUGGUUGCCGCUAUAUACAGCAGCAACUUCUCUUGUGGCUUAGGUGCGACAAGUAUUGGAGUGGAGGACAGGUAUCUCUUCAAGUCCUGCAGCGCAGCCUCCGCUUCCGGAGUCCAUUUCAUUGGACCUACCUUUUUCAAUAUUUUGAAAAAUGGCAGGGUGCGCUCAGCAGACUUAGAGAUAAACCUGCUGAGAGCAGCCACUUAACCGGCAAGCCUUCGUACAUCCUUGACGCGCUUUGGUGCUUCAAUCUGCUCAAUGGCUUUGAUCUUGUCGGGAUUGGCUUCUAUUCCCGCUGAGACACGAAGAACCCGAGAAGUUUGCCGGAGGGGACUCCAAACACACACUUCUCGGGGUUAAGUUUGAGGUUGAUCUUGCACAGAUUUGUGAAGGUUUCAUCUAAAUCUUGAAUCAGGGUUGCCUUGUCCUUGCUCUUGACCACUAUGUCAUCCAUGUUGGCUUCUACAUUCCUAUGUAUCUGUGGCUCAAAAGCGUCAUGGACAACCCUUGCAAAUGUCGAACCAGCAUUCUUUAAUCCGAAAGGCAUCCGUACAAAACAGUAUGUGCCACAUGGAGUGAUGAAUGCGGUCUUCUCCUCAUCCUCUUCUGCCAUGAAGAUUUGAUGAUAUCCUGAGUAUGCAUCAAGAAAUGAAAGCAAGUCACAUCCAGCCGUGGAGUCAACAAUCUGGUCAAUGCGCGGCAAGGGAAAUGGGUCUUUGGGACAAGCUUUAUUAACAUCAGUAAAGUCAAUACAAAGCCUCCAUUUCCCAUUUGCCUUGCGCACGACUACAGGAUUGGCCAACCACGUAGGAUGGAGCACUCCUCUGACAAGGCCUGCUGCUUCCAAUUUCUUGAUCUCUUCUGCAAUGAAUUCUUGGCGCUCCACUGCUUGUUUCCUGACUUUCUGCUUGACGGGCCACGCGUGAGGACAGACGGCAAGAUGGUGCUCAAUUACUUUCCUGGGAACAUCGGGGAUGUCAGACGGUUGCCACGCAAACACGUCGACAUUCGCCUGCAUGAAAGCAACGAGUGCGCUUUCCUAUUUAGGGUCGAGCGUGGCACUGAUGGUGAAGGUACCACCAGUGCCGUCCUCCUUGGCGAACACCUUCUUGGUCUCUGGUGAAGCUGUCUUCGUCUUCUUACACUUGCCGGUGGAGCUCGAUGGUGCGUCCUCGACGGUAGCGCAGCACUCCGAAGAGGUACACUUGCCGGAGUGGGCAUCAGAGCUCUUGUCGGACUUGGUCUUCUUCUUCCCCCCGGGAGCUUCAGCGGCAAGUGUCUUGCGAUCUGCUGCGGCUGCUGCUUCCCGGUAAAUCUUGUCGGUGCAGAUAAGGGCAUCCUUCUUGUCGCCAGGGACAGAGAUGACGCUUAUCGGACCCGGCAUCUUCAGUACGUUGUAUGCAUAGUGAGAGGCUUCCAUGAACUUGGCGAGUGCUGGACGGCCGAGUAUCCCAUUGUAAGGCAACGGGAAAUCAGCAACGUCAAAAGUGACCCUCUCAGUCCUGAAGUUCAGCUCGCUACCAAAUGUUACCGGCAACGUGAUCUUCCCUUUCGGCUUGCUCCUUCCCGGGUUGAUUCCUUGGAAUGUGCCGGUCUCUUCGAGCUCGCCGUCAGGGAUCUGGAGUUUCUGGAGUACCGCGGAGGAGAUCAGGUUCAAGACGGCCCCGCCAUCAACUAGCAUCUUAGUGACCUUGAGGUUGCGGAUGGUUGGUGAGACCAACAUCGGUAAGCACCCGACCGCAGUUAUGCGAUCAGGGUGGUCCUCAAUAUCAAAGACGAUAGGCGUGCUGGACCACUUCAGAGGCUUGCGUGACUCGACGGGUGGUUCUGCCGCAUUGACUUCCCGCACCCACUGUUUGAGCUGGCGGUGUGAAGUAUGCAGAGAAGCACCGCCGUCAACGCAUAAGACCUCUGUGGCUUUCUGGAACUCCUGCUCGUCGGCCUCAUCAUCAUCCAUAUCAUCAUCUUCAUCUUCAUCUUCAUCCUUGUCGCGGCCGCGAGGAGGCCUGUCUCCUUGCCGCUGCUUGGCCUUGCCGCGGCGCCCUCCCCGGCCGGGACGCUUCUUGCCGGAUCCUCCAGUACCUUCUUGGGCCUUCUCCUUGUCGCAUCGCUCGUACUCAGCUUUCUGCUGUUCAACAAGCUGCUCAACCUUCUUGCAGCUCUGGAGAUCAUGGCCCUUGGUGCGGUGGAUCUUGCAAUACUGCAUGCCGGAGCCGUCCUGCUUGUCGGCGGCCGCCACAGCUUCAGCUUCCUUGGCGCCACCUCCGUUGCCGGACUGCUCAACGACUAGCACAUCUUUGCCUUUCUUCUUCCUAUUGUUCCGCCGCCGGUUUUUCCUUGCCGGGGCGGCAUCUUCACUGUCAGAUCCUCCUGCUCCUGCAUUCUCUCCGGGGAGUUUCCUUCCUUCUUCAGCACGCGCACACCUGUCGGCCAGGGCAUAUAGCUCACUGACGUCCCUGAUCUUGCACAUCGACAUCUCCUCCCGCAUCCUGCGGUUUUGCACGUUCUGAUGGAACGCGCUGAUGACCGCGGCAGGGUGGACAUCUGGGAUGUUGCGCUGUACUUGGCUGAAUCUCUGAAUUUACUUGCGCAGGGGCUCUCCUUCCUUCUGGGCGAGCAGAUGAAGAUUGCUCUCUUGGACAUGAGGCUUGUGGCCGCCUGUAAAGGCGCCGACAAACUGAUAGCACAGAUCUGCCCAGGAGGAUAUGGAGUUGUCCGGCAAGUGCAUGAGCCAGGACCUGACAUUGGGCUUGAGCACCAGUGGGAAGUAGUUGGCGAGGAUCUUGUCGUCGCACCCCCCGGCAGCCUGCACCGCGAUGGUGUAGAUGCUGAGGAACUCCGACGGAUGCAACUUGCCGUCGUACUUCUCUGGUACAUCUGGCUUGAAGUUCUUCGUACUGGGCCACUGGACUUGCCGCAGCUCACGAGUAAACGCAGGGCAACCUACCGUGUAUGGUAAGUCACCUGGUUCCCCUGGCGCAUGCAUGUCGACAGCGGGUCUAGCGCGCUGGUCUGAUUGACGCCGCGCUUCUCUUCGACGCUCGAUGCGAGUACGAGCGUCCUCUUGCUGUCGUUCGUGGAGAACUUGGCGCUGAUCGCGACUAGCUCGAGGAUCAGAUGACACAGUGGAGUCGUCGUCAAGGUUGACCCGGCGAGUCGGCGAUCUUGGCCUUCGGGGCGGAGAGUGCACGGUGGUUGCACCCCCACCGGUCUUGUCGCCAUUGGCUCGCGCCUGGCAAUCUUGCCGCGGCUGCGAUGCAUUCGGCUGCCGUGGAGUGUCGCCGUUGGCGAAGCCAAUGAGGCUCUGAAUAGUGGCCCUCCAAUCGUCGAUCCUGUUUGCCGUUGGAGGGUAAUCCAGGAGUAGUUGAGCUCGGGCCAACGCUUCUUCUGGAGUCUUCGGUGGCCGGGGCGAACGGUGCAAGGAGCGAGAUAUGCUCGGACUCCCAACUGGGUUGGAAGGAGCAGUACCCCGUCCUGACGACCGUAUCUCGCUCACGCCAGCAUGUUGGCGUGCAUGCUGGUCUUGAGCGCCCCGAGAUCCACCAGCUUGGCCUUGUUCCAAUGCGCGUAUGGUACUGCGAGCACCAUGACGCUGUCGGUCCCGCGCCUCCUGAGAUGGGCGCGGUGCGUGUACGGAUGCCGAGGUUUGUGGGGCCUUGUCCUUGGACCUGGCAGCACCGAGAGCUCCCUCGUCGACGCCCGUUGCUCCGCCGGCGUCCACCCCACCACCUGUCUGCUCCAGUGGUGGUGGGAUUGACGUGGACAGAGCAGCCACCUCCGAAGCCUUCUUCUUCGGUGGCAUGUCGAUGAAGAUGACGAAGAUCUGGCUUGCGUGAACGCUGGAUCAGGUUCACACAACCUCGACGCCCCCUACCUGGCGCACCAAAGAUGUCGUGGGAAUGAACACCUAUGGGGCAAAGGGCCCCUUUUCGGUCCGGCGGGGGGCGGAGAUCGCACGAAGAGCAGAUCGAGGCGAGGAACACGAGCGGUUUACCCAGCUUCGGAGCUCUCCGGAGAGAUAAAACUCCUACUGCUGCUUGUCGAGCUGUAUUGUGUUCUUGCUCGGGAGCGCUGAGAGCUACAGUACGCUCGAAACCGAGCGUGAGUGUUUUCUGGUUUCGAACCCCCCCUACGUUGCGCACGGGCCUCCUUUUAUAUGUUAAAGGGGUCACCGACAGGUGGCAACGCAUGCAAGGGUAAAAUGUAAAAGAACUGCAGUAGGUACACCUACUCGUACAGUGCAUCCUACCUAACCCUGACGACAGGGGACAAAAGCAUUGAAUGCCCAUCUGCGUCGCCCAAACAGUGCAGAAAAGUGACCGUUAGGGGCGCCACCGCUCGCCACGAUGGCCAUCUUGUCAUCUCCGCUUUCCACCUCGCACCGCUGGUUGCACAGCCUCUCGCCACGCACGCCUGGAAGGAUCACAGGGCGACACGUUGGUGGAUGCGCUGGAUCGCGGGUACAGAGUGGUAGCCUGCCGCGGCAAGCGUCUUGCCGCGGUCAUUGUCUUGUCGCGUCCGGAAGCUUGUUGCUUGUCGGGCCUUGCCAGGAUGCGAGGCGCCUCGCGGCAAGUUCCUUGAAAUGUCUUGGUUGGCCUUCCCGGCAAGCUCCUCUUGCCGGGGUCUUGGCCUUCCCGGCAAGCUCCUCUUGCCGGGGCCUUGUCUUAAACACUUUGUUCUUGAAUGGUUCGAAAGGAACCACGGAGGACCUUGGCGGUCGCCCGGCAAGCCUUGCCGCGGGGCGCUGCGACUGCCCGUGCACAAGUUUGGGAUACUAAGGCACCCCUACUCUAGUACACCGACAAAGAAUCACUACUGCAAUGCCAUAAGCCAAAUCAGUGAGACCGAGUUUUUCAACUCGGUGGGUCCGAGAUGGUUUCGGCGGAAACCUAACCCUAAAAAUUUGAAUCUAAUCUAAUCUACAGACUACUUUGGCUGGAUAGAAGUGUUUCAAUCGUGGCAAGAUUCAAUGAGAACACAAUGUGCUAGGAAUCAAACGAGGAUAGCACAAAGAUCGAGUCCAUACCCUAGCUUGGCGGUAGACUCGCUACGGCGGCAACGGCGGGGCGAAAUCCGUUGACGGUGGCAGAGACCAGCGAUAGGAGGCUGCGGGCAACAAGGAGACGAUCGGAGACCUUCGAUGGCAGAGUGAGCUAUUGCGCGGGCGAAGGGUUUCGGAGAAAUUUCCAAAAUUUUGCCCGUGACUAUAUAUAGCCCGACCCUGUCGGUGUGACCGAGUGGAACAACUUGGUAGUACCGAGAUGCAUAACUGUGUACAGUUACAGCAAAUCGGUGUGACCGAAAAGUUCAAAUCAGUUGCACCGAGAUUGAAAACUCAGAUCAACUUAAUGACCUCGGUAGGACCGAAAUGGAGGAAUCGGUCAGACCGAGAGUAACAAAGAGGUUUUGGAAGUUUAAGUCUAUGACGAAUCGGGGACUCCGAGUGCUCCUCACACAGAGUGGUUCGAAUCUGACUAUAUCAAAUUUUGUGAUGUAGCAUGAAUAGAAUUUGAGAUGAGGAAAGCAUAGAUAGAUAAAGAAGGUUCUUAGGCAUUCUUGUCCAUCCACUUGGCAAAAAGAAAAGAACCCAAACAAUCAAAACAACAAGUGGAUGUCCUUGAAUGAGUAAAAUAUGCACCAAGAUGCUCACACAAUAAGAUAGCAAAUGAAAUAUGUGGCAAAGCAUGCACAACCAAUUCGAGCAUCUAUCAAACAAUUGGCGAUGACUAGGUCAUCUAUAUAUGAGUAUAUUGACUUAGGAGUCAAAUGAAAGACACUUGAUCAUAGGUCAUACUCAUCGUUUAAGCUCAAGUGGGGUUACCACUUUUACAUAAUGCAUUGAUUUGUUCACACCAUUAGAGUUGCUUUGACUCAAUUCUUAGAGUUAAUCUCCCCCUAGAUGUGGGAUCCCCUCUUAGAGGGAUGAACUAACCUUGGGUUUUGUCGAUGAUGACUUCAUGUAGGUGUUGAAGAUGUGGAUGCUCUAUGUUGAUGUAGAUCAUUUGGAGCAAUCCUUUGGAGUGAGUUGCACUUUCAACUUACCUACAUGGGUUAGUCCCACAAGGAACAAACAAGAAUAUCCAUAGACAUAGAGUGAUGCACACAUAAGAUGAUGUCCUUGAAAUCAUUAGGUUACCUUGUCCCUUGCCUUACCAACAUGAGGGUUUGUGACUCCUUGAACUAGUGCAAGAUGUGGAAGUUGAUUGCACUUGUUCUUGCCAUAAUGAUAUGAGUGAGGAAUGUUGGCGGAGUCACCCUCAAGAACUCUCUAGUUCUUCUUCUUCGGGAUCCACAUCAUCUUGAUGGGAAUCCUUGGAGUUGUAGUUGUACUUGAUGAAGUAGAACUUGACGUAGUCUUGGGAACCCACUUGAACAAGGCUUUAGGUGCUUCUUCAAAUGCAUCAAUCUCUUCUUGAAGCUUGUCCUUGCCUUUGUUCUUUUGUUCUUGUGGUGGAAGAUCAUCUUGAGCUUGUGUUCCCUUGAAGGAAGUAGGAUCAUACUUCUCUUGUUGAGGAAAAAACUUCGUCUUGGGGUAUUGAUCUUCUUGCCACUCAACUCCAUUGGCAUUGAACUUUCGUUCAAAACCAACACCUUGAUUCUGCCGGUGUCUUCCUUGCUUGCGUACAAUUUCCUCGAAUUGCUUACUCCCGACAAGGCUCUUGUAAACACCUUUCUCUAUAAUUCCCUUCAAUAAGCUAUUUUCAUGCUCAAGUUUAACUUGGCUAAGAGAAUCAUUAGUGGAAUCAAGAGAACUACUAGAAGCAACAAUAUUGGAUUUGACAUUAUUAUUGUUACUACUAGAGGAAGUAUCUUUCUUGUACUUGUUACUACACUUGACUUGAGGCAUGUAAGUAGAUAAGAGUAAACGCUUGGCAAUGUAAGAAGAACUUUUCUUACGGAGAUCAUCAUUGAUUGCCUUUAAGAACUCAUGCUCUUGCUCAAGAUUGAGCUUUUCAGAGCGUAACUUCUCAUGAGCCCUUAAAAGUUCUCGAUGAUCUUCGAAGAUAGUUUCAUAAGCCAACUUAAGAGUGUUUACUUCUUUAGUUAGAAGCUCAAUCUUCUCCUUAUCAUUGUCAUUCGUUUUAUCUUGAUUAGCAUGAUUAAUUGAAGUUUCAUCAUAGUAUUCAUCACUAGAGUUGUCAACAAGUAAAUCAUCAUCCACAAGCAAGUCAUCUUCAUCACUAUUGAAAUCAACAUACUCAGAAUGUGUUACCUUUGGACCUUUGGCCAUGAAGCAUCUUCCAAUUCCUUCAUUUGGUGAAUCAAAUAUGUCGUAGGAUUUGGUUGACACAAGUGAUAGACCGGCAACACCUUCAUCUUGAGUAUAUUCGGAGUCGGAGUGAUAGCUUCUCUCAGAGUGAUUGUCGGAGUCAGAUCCGGAUACCCAUUCACCAAUGUGAGCUUGAUGUCUUUGUUUUGUGUAGCUUCUUGAUGACUUGUCCUUCCUUUCCGAAUCCUUGCUUCUCCGUGAGGGUCUUCGUUCAUAACGAUCAUCUCUACUCCUCCUCACUCUUGGUGGUGAUUCUUCUCUUUUGCUUCUUCUUCUUGGAGAAUCUUCUCUUCUUUUGUAGGGUGCCGUACACUCAUUGGAAUAGUGUCCGGGUCUCCCACAAUUGUAGCAAUUGCGCUCUCGACUAGAAGAUCUUUUUUCAUGGUAAGACCUUGACUUGGAGCUUCUUUCUUUGCUUCUACUCUUGUAGAAUUUGUUGAAGUUCUUCACCAUUAAGCUCAAUUCUUCAUUGAAGGUUUGUUUCUCACUUGAUGAUGUGGGGGCUUCACUUGAGGCUUUGUAAGCACCACUUGACUUGUUGUGAAGUUCCUCCUUAUCCUUGAGUGACAUCUCAUGAGCAACAAUUCUUCCAAUGACUUCUAUUGGCUUGAGAUCUUUGUAGUUUGGCAUCAUUUGGAUCAAUGUGCACACGGUAUCAUACUUUCCAUCCAAUGCUCUUAGGAUCUUCUUGAUGAUGAAUUUGUCGGUCAUCUCUUCACUCCCUAAGCCGGCAAUCUCAUUUGUGAUAAGAGCAAGCCUAGAGUACAUUUCAGCGACACCUUCACCAUCCUUCAUUUUGAACUUGUCAAGCUGACUUUGGAGCACAUCCAACUUGGAUUCCUUGACGGAUUCGGUACCUUCAUGCAUAUCAAUCAAAGUAUCCCAAUUUUCCUUUGCAUUCUCAAGACGGCUGAUUUUGUUGAAUUCUUCGGGGCACAAUCCGUUGAAGAUGAUAUCACAAGCUUGAGCGUUGUAUUGCAGCAUCUUCAAUUCUUCCGCAUUAGCUUCACGGUUCGGUUCUCUCCCAUCAAAGAAUUCACCUUGCAAGCCAAUACAAAUAAUUGCCCAAACGGCGGGGUUAUGUCCAAGAAUAUACAUUUUCAUCUUAUGCUUCCAACUAGCAAAAUUAGUACCAUCAAAGUAAGGACCUCUACAGUGAUAAUUUCCCUCACUAGACGCCAUACUCUCCUAGGUUGUGAAACCAAGGCUAUGACCACCAAAAGCUAUGGAAAUCAAAGCAAAUGGAGACCAAAGCUCGGAUACCACUUAUAGGACCUUGAAGUAUGUCUAGAGGGGGGGUGUUUAGACUACUUGACCAAUUAAAAACUUAGCCUUUUCCCAAUUUUAGAGUUUGGCAGAUUUUAGCUACUUUAGGACAAGUCAAGCAAUCAUCACACUAUUCAAGCAAGCAUGCAAAGAUUAUAUAGGCAGCAGAAAUUAAAGCAUGCAACUUGCAAGAAAGUAAAGGGAAGGGUUUGGAGGAUUCAAAUGCAAUUGGAUACACGGAUGUUUUUGGCGUGGUUCCGAUAGGUGGUGCUAUCGUACAUCCACGUUGAUGGAGACUUCAACCCACGAACGGUAACGGUUGUGCGAGUCCACGGAGGGCUCCACCCACGAAGGGUCCACGAAGAAGCAACCUUGUCUAUCCCACCAUGGUCGUCGCCCACGAAGGACUUGCCUCACUAGCGGUAGAUCUUCAUGAAGGCGAUCUCCUUGCCCUUACAAACUCCUUGGUUCAACUCCACAAUCUUGUCGGAGGCUCCCAAGUGACACCUAGCCAAUCUAAGAGACACCACUCUCCAAGAAGUAACAAAUGGUGCGUUGAUGAUGAACUCCUUGCUCUUGUGCUUCAAAUUAUAGUCUCCCCAACCCUGAACUCUCUCUCAUGGGUUUUGGAUCUGGUGGAAAGAAGAUUUGAGUGGAAAGCAACUUGGUGAAGGCUAGAGAUCAAGAUUCAUAUGGUUGGAAUGGAAUAUCUUGGCCUCAACACAUGAGUAGGUGGUUCUCUCUCAGAAAUGGUAAGUUGGAAGUGUACAUUUGUUCUGAUGGCUCUCUCCACGGAUGAAGAGGAGGUGGAGGGGUAUAUAUAGCCUCCACACAAAAUCUAACUGUUACACACAAUUUACCAAACUCGGUGGGACCGAUUCAACAGACUCGGUCGGACCGAUUUAGUAAACCUAGUGACCGUUAGUGAUUUUCGGUGGGACUGACAUGCAUCUCGGUGAGACCGAUUCGGUUAGGGUUAGGGCAUAACAUAAUCUUGGUAAGACCGAUUACACAAACUCGGUGAGACCGAUUUGGUAAUAAGCUUUCCAGAGAGUUGGUCAGGUAAACUCGGUGGGACCGAUUUGGUCUUUUCGGUGAGACCGAAAUGUUACAAAAGGGAAACAGAGAGUUUAAAUUGCAAUCUCGGUGGGACCAAUCGCUCACUUCGGUUAGACCAAAAUGUUACAAAGGGAAACAGAGAGAUUGCAACCCCAUCUUGGUGAGACCGAGAUCCCUAUCGGUAAGACCGAGUUGCUUAGGGUUUGUGGCAGUGGCUAUGACUUUUGGAAUCGGUGGUGCCGGAUAGGAAGAAUCGUUGUGACCAAUUUUGGCUUUGGGUUUAGGUCAUUUGUGGAUGUGACUAGGUAGCUGAGGGUUUUGGAGCAUAUCACUAAGCACAUGAAGCAAGAGGCUCGUUAAGCAACACCUCAUCCCUCCUUGAUAGUAUUGGCUUUUCCUAUAGACUCAAUGUGAUCUUGGAUCACUAGAAUAUAAAAUGAAGAGUCUUGAGCUUUUGAGCUUGAGCCAAUCCUUUGUCCUUAGUAUUUUGAGGGAUCCACUUUCAUCAUCCAUGCCAUGCCAUUCAUUGAGCUUUCCUGAAAUAAUAGUCUUGGAAUAGCAUUAGCUCAAUGAGCUAUAUGUUGUUAUGAAUUACCAAAACCAGCUAGGGAUAGUUGCACUUUCAGCACUCCUACUUCAUCAUGCUCGAGCAUGCAGAUGAACCUGUCUCCUAAUCGUGGGCUGCACUUCUGAUUGCUGUCCCCUAGUACUUCUCUGUGAUUGUUCCCAAUUUUGCUCCAGUCUUUCACUAUUAAGCAUUCCUCGCUAUUAGAAAUCAUGAAUGCACUAAAGUGCAUUGUAGGAUGUCUUGGCCGUAAGCUAACCAUUCUCAUGCGACCUUUAUUCUCGAUCCAAUGAGGCACAACAUUCAUCGGGAGUCCCUGUUGAAGAACAUCAUAUAGUAAUAUACUUAGCAAUGAAGUUAUAAUGUAAGCAAAAGAUGCACUGAGGACAAAUAGUAAAAAUCUUACCAUCUUUCCUAAGUAGAUGUGACCGUAGUUCAGUAUGAACACUAUUGGCCGCACGUUUUGAGUACUAAGAUUUUAAAGUCCAGACAAAUAAUUUGUCUUGACAGUAUGAAGAUCCUCAAGCCAUGAAUCAUAAUGACUUAUCUCCUCGCAGUUUCGUUCAGCCCCGGGACAGUAGUAGGUCCUAUCUACUAAGCGCUAGACAUGUUUGCUUGAAUGGAAAUAAGCUAUCAAUAGAAAUUAGUUGUCAACUAUUUUUGAAUAAACAAUAUCAAAGACAUAAAUAUGGUUGAGAAACUCACAUAAUGGUAUAACUGGAGGCAUCUGCACAUCGACCCAGAUGUCGAUAUUACCUUCAAUAUCAUCUUCUAGACGAAUAUCAAACGUGAUAACCAUAUCAGGCUCAAAUGCAUAAGUCUUGCAUAGUGCUUGCCAAGUUUUGCAUUCAAAAUAAGUGUAGGUGUCUGCGUUGUAUAAUUUUGUGUGGAAAGUAUAACCAUGCUCGGUCUUCUAGUAAACUCUCUUUACCUCCAUAGUAGUUUUCAUAGGGCUGAAACCUAUCUUAUCCAAGACAAAAACUCUUGCAUGGAAGGGGAUACGCUAGUAGAAUAGUAAAAAAAUUAAAUUAUAAGUUGAAGUAAAUGAACCAAAUGUCAUCCUUAAUUAUGAAAAAAGACUUGUCGUUGUGACUUAUUGUAUCCACUUCAAAGUUCUCAUCCAGCUUGAUGCUGAAGCGCCUAUCAUCAUCUAGGAAGAUACUGUCACACAGGUCGCGCUCGUCUUUGCAGUAUUUGCAAAUACCGAAAUCCUUUUUGUCGUCAAACAUUUCCUAUGUUCAUAGUUGAAACAUUAAUUGAAAAUCGAUCGAAGACAACUACCAGGAUACUCAACACACAAAUCCAGGGCACUCGAUAUUUCCUACAUAUUCUGGCACAAGUCAUGCCAAAAUUCACGGAAAAAUCCGCAUGACCUUUGCUAAAAUAGGACAUAUCGAGCGCCUGAAAUUUGCCAGAACGGAAAUGAAUCAACACUCCGGCAAAACAUAGGCCACUCGGAGGUGUAACCUUCAAACAUAACCGGCCACUUGGGCAAGCACAUAUCCUAUUUGAGCAACACAAGAUAUACAUUUCAGAAUAUCUUAUAGGACACAUAUUGACAUGAGCAUUCAAUAAGCAAAACCAAAUCAUAAAAUAAAUAAGUAUUCAAAUUAGCAUGCAAAUAAGAAAAAGUAAAUCAUCUCUUGCGUCCGUACAUCGUCGAAUAUUAUCACUAAUACAUCCCAAAUAGUAUCAUACAUAUAACAUCACCAAUACAACUAAAACCCUAGCAAACGACCGGUAUCGGCGCAGGCGGUGGACACCCAAAGAUAAGGAACCAUCACAGGAUCAUAGCUCCAGUGAGAUCCCUGGAGAACCUGCCAGGUAUUGGAGAACAUGUGCUCCAGCGCAACCAAGUAGCGACGGACGUGCGCGUCCUCCUCGCUGACAUGGUGACGUACCACCUCCGCGGGGUCGUCAAGCCUCUCGACCGUCACUGGCCCAUGCGACCGCCACCAAAGAAGGUUCGGGUCAAUGACAGGCUGACUCCUCACCAAGCUGUGCCCCCCGGUAGGUAGCGCCUCCCAGUACCAGCCUGGUGGAGCCCAGUCUCGGACAUGGCCCAUCUGGUCAAGCAAGUGUCCUCCACCGAGUUGACGACAAGGAUGCGGGAUAGGAAUCGUCGACGUCGAUGCGGGAAAAAUUGCUUUAACUAAAAAAUAACAACAAAUGUGACAUGUUCAACUAGUUUUAUUAAUUCAACUAGUUCUUACUAAAAGUAAACUUACUAUAAAUAAAAAUAAACUAGUACCUAAUUAGUACCUAUUUCUUACUAACUAAUUAGUACCUAGGAACUACUGCCCUAAUUACCAUCUAAUUUGAUGAAUCUAGGGGUGGAAAGUGGUAGCGGAUAAUCAGAAAUUUGAUGCAAUAGAUGAACCCUAACUAAUUUGAUGCAAUUAAAAUUUGAAGAACCCUAGGCAGAGGUAGGGGAGGGGGAGGAGCAGGCGUGCUCAGCUCGGGUGGCUGCAGCGAGGGAGGGGCAGGCAGCGUUAAGGUCGGGGUCGGGGCUCGGGCGCGCGGCGGAGGGCGGCAUCGAGGUCGGGGUCGCGGGCGGUGUCGAGGUCGGGGUCGGGGGCAGCGUCGAAUCCGGGGUCGGGGCGGCGUCGAGAGUGUGCGGAGAGCAAUAGGAGAGCACGCGACGGCCGACGGGCGACGGCGACGGUGACAAUGGAGGAGUUGGGAUUUGGGGGAAGUGGCCAUGGGGAAGAACGAACGUGCGGUUAAGUCAAAAGUAGUAGUAGCACUUUCCGGGAAGUGCGCUACUGCUAAGUUAGCUAUAGCGCGUUCCUGGAUACGCGCUACUGCUACUCCUUUCUCUUUUUUCCCCCUUUCAUUUAUUUUUCUUUACAUUUUUUUCCUUUCUCCUUUUCUAUUUCUUUCAUUUUCAUUUACUUUUCUUUCUGAUUUCCAUUUAAUUUUAGUUCCUUUAUCAGUAGCGCCUUUCUGCACAAAUGCGCUGCUACAAAGCAUGUAGUGGUAGCACUAUUCGCCGUAGAUCGCUACUACUAUGUGUAGCCUAUCGGUUAAGCAGUGGGAAUUUUAGUAGUAGCACAUUUAUCUUCAGGCGCGCUACUGCUACAAUUGUAUCUGUAGCGCGGUUUACGCCAACGCGCUACUGCUACUUAGCACUAGCGUGGUUUUUUCACACGCACUACUGCUAAAGUUCUAUGUAUAAGGUUUUCCAUAGUAGUGUAUUGUAUGUUCAUAAGCGAAACGAACCUAUCUUUCAAUCUAUCUUCGGACCCCGAGAUGAAAUCGAGAGAGAACGAGUGGGGGCAUGUGUGAUACCUAAGGCGGUGAUCAUAGCAUCCGCAAAUCAUAUAUAAAGGGUAUUCAAUGUUUGUUUCGUUUUUAAACGUACAAUAUACUCCCUUCGAUCCUUUCUAGUUUACAUAUAAGUUUUAUGUGUAGUCAAAUUAUCUCUACUUUGAUCAAACUUACAGAAGAAAGUAUCAACAUUCAACAACGCCCAAUCAAUAUUGUUAGAUUCGUACAUACUCCUAGAUUUGUACUCGAGAUGGUUUCCAAUUUGUUUUCUACCAUGUGAAUGUGCUUGUUCUCGCGCAUGCUCUUCCUAUUAGGAUUUCGCCACGUAUAGCCAGUCCAAUAGUAACUUUUUUAAGCUCCAUGUCCAAUAGUACUAGUGGAGUACUGACAACAUCUAUACUAGAGUAUGCAAUGCUCAUAGUAGUACUCCCUCCAUCCAUUUAUAUAGGGCCUAUGUGGAGGAGAGAGAUGUAAAAAAGUAAGGGGAGUCAGCUCUCAUGCAAGAGCCUAGCUAUAUACGCAUUCCUAGUUAAAAUACAAUAAAUAUGAAGAAAGAGAUAGAGAGGAGAUGGGAAAAGGUACAAAUACAAUAGCCAACAUUAUAAUUUUUUGCGGGAAAUAGCCAAACUUAUAGCCCACACUACUAUAUGAGUGCAUAUAAUAGAUGAUGGCUAUAGUGACAUGGCAGUUCCUUAUAGCCAUCGACUGGCUAUAUUAUUAACCAUGCUCUAAUGCAUUUUUCAAAACCGCAUUUGACUAUUGACAAGAUUAAUAGUACAUGAGAUGUAUCAUGUGAAAAUUAUAUCAUUGGAAGCUCCUUUCACAUACGAAUUUGACCGUAUGCUUUGUGUAAGUUGCAUGUAAUAUAUUAUUACUCUAACAUUUGGUAAAAGUUAGCCUUGAAAAAUGCAUUAGGCCCUAUAUAGUAAAUGGAAGGAGGGAGUAGUAGUGGAAGUGGAUCCUCUGACAUAGGUAUCCCUGCCUUACCCUCCCUUUCGGUCACUUACUGGUGGACCCCAUGCUUACUAGGCCCUCAUGUCAGUUACUCAAUGGGUUCGGCCAUGUCAAGGAAUCCUGAUCCGUAGUAUACUCCCUCUAUUUUUAUUUACUCCGCAUAGAACGGAGGAAGUGGUAGUAUAAAUGACACAGGCAGGGAAGGGGGAGGGACGUCGAUUUGCUCUCAACUGCGGUCCCACAAGCGACCGAAAACGCAAGACGAAGCGCGUUCCAUUCGGUGAGCGACGUGGAGGGUCCGGCAUGCCGGGGUGCAAUGCGAACGCGACAAGAGCGAUGUACAGUCAAAACCGAUUAACCGGUCGUCACCAAAACCACUAUUCACACCAAAACCUUUGCUGCUCGGCCUACGCCAACCACUGCCCCAAAACCACACCUAAUCUCCAGCCCAUUCCCCCACCUUUCGAUCUCCUAGCCCGCAUCAAGCGUCCCCUUGUUCGCCAGAAAGCCAUGGUGUGCUGCAAGAUCACGUACUACAAGAUGCUGACACCGGAGUGCCGCGCAUAAAUCGCAGCGGUGGUCGGUGCCACAGACCUCUGUUCCCAAGCUCGGUUUGCGGCAGGCCAAUCCUCGAGUUGUCUGGAGCCAAGCUAUGAGGAGGAGGAAGCCGAUCCAAUGUUCAUGGCGAAGGUCGCGGCGCAGAAGGCCCACGAUGGGUAUGAGACGAUGGACGUCGACUUCGUGCUGUCGUCCGAGUCCCCAUUGUGCAGGCAGACCAGCGGUUCAACCUGGCGAUACUAAAGGAGGACCGGGAGGCAGAGGCUCAACUCGAAGCGGAGCGUGCGCAUGCUGCUGCCAUCAAGGCUCUCCUGCAGGCGGAACCGGGUGUCGUGGAUGUGAACCAAGCACGCGAAUGCCAAUACCAUCGAGGUCCUCCUGCAGGCGGAUCCGGGCGUCCUAGACUUGAACCAGGCAGCAGAGGCUCAACUCGACGCGGAGCGUGCGGAUGCCGAGGCCCUCCUGCAGGAGGAACCGGACGUCCUGGACUUGAACCGAGCGGCAGAGGCUUGACUCGACGCGGAGCGCGCAGAUGCCGCUGCCAUCAAGGCCCUCCUGCAGGCGGAACCGAACGUCCUCGACUUGAACCGGGCGGUGCUCUUGUCCGUGCACAGCGCCCGCAUGCUCCGCAUGAACAAGUAGCUGGAGGCCGAGGACAACCACAGUGCGGAGACACACGUCGACAGCUACGGCUAGUUCGCGCCGGCAGCCAAAGACGACGAGGUCAUCUUGUUCUGCGAGCAGUGAUAGUUUUUCUUUAUGUUGUUGAUUUUAUGGAUCUUUUGCUGUGUAAAAACAUAUAUUGUUAUGCAAGUCGCCUGACUUUCAUCAUUUGGGUCAGUCUACCAUUUCAAGCGGUUGGAUCAAUAUCCUAUGUCUCCUAACCCUUCUUCCUCACCUCUUCUUCUUCCCCAAUAGACCACCGCACGGGCCGCACGGAUCCUCCCCAACAUGUGGUUGGAUAAACAUACUCUAUGAACGAAAAUUAUGUGUUAGUGGUAGGAUGGCUGAGUUUGGUUUGUUCACAUGUGACAGCACGUGUCAGUGAGGGUGCAUUCCCUUGGUUGGGUUUGCAGUGUGCAAGAGCGAUUGUGUGAGGGUGCAGUGCGACCGCGGUGUGCAGGAGCGACCGUGUGAGGGUGUGGUGUGACCGUGCCAGCCGUGCGCAAGUGUACCUCCUUUUCAUUUUUAAAACUUUAGGCAAGCUUGGCAAAUAUUUGUGGCAAAGUAUGGCAAUGCAAGGCCUAGACCCAAACAGGAUAAGUACGUACGUACUAGGAGUACUAGUGUUAAAAAAGAAAGGCGGGGUUUUCCCUCGCGGGAUUAAUCAAUACAAAUCUUCGUUUGAGGUGUCAAUUAAUGCGUAUUUUUUUCUCCAAAGCCCAAAGAGCUAACCAUCUCACUCCUCAUCGCUUGAUUAAUGCAGCGCCAUGCAAACCAACCUUCUCACUUCCACAUACAUGCAAGGUAUAUUAAUGUCCUUAGUUGCUAGUACGAGGCAAACCCCAUCAAUUUUCCCUCGAUUAGUGUUAGUGGCCUUUUGCAAAUUGUAAUUUUGAUAUUACUAGCCUUGUGUACAAAAAAUGGAGGUAGUAACUAUAUUUGACUUCCUUCCCCAUUGCGGUGACGUCGACGAUAUCUCAAACAUUGUGGUUUGGCGUCGUCUGUCCAGCUUAGUGCGGUGAGGUGGUUGCUCGAAGAAGACGAUGGAGAAGCGGAAUCAACAAAGAGUGAAAUGAUGGUUGCUUCGUUCUUGCUUUGUGAUUUGAUGCCUCACUGCUUUGUGAUUUGUGAUAGAAGGGACAGGGAAGUAGACUCUGUGCUCUAUACUGUACAUGCGUCCAAGCACGGGAGAAAGAGGAGAGACAUUGCAUUUUUCUAUUCCUUCAAUCGAUCAAUCAGGGAGCUUCAGUUCCAUCUUUUUGGCUUUGGUAGAACCAUCCACAAUGGUUGCCAUGAUGCCAAAAGCUAUUUUCACAUUUGGCUACACACCGUGGAUGCCCUUAAGCAUACCACUUGGUUUUGCUCCUGUGUGCUAUCUAUACAAAUCUCAAUUAUAUUGAUCUAAAAAAUUAUAGAAUCAAGAUUAGUAAAAAAGGAGGUGAUUUUGCCGCGCGGAUGGUGGGGGAGGUUUCUUAUUUUUAGAGGAUGUUGUCCUGGCGGUUUGCUAACAUGCGGUCCCACGUGUCAGUGCUUUACCAAGACGAUCCGCGUCCCACAUGAGGCAGAACAACGACAGAAGCAACAUGUGGUUAACUUGAAGAAGAUGAGGGAGAAGCGGAUUCAGCAACGAGUGAAAUGAUGGUUGCUUCGUCCCUCCAACUUCUUUUUUUAGCAUUAUUACUUCGUCCCUCCAACUUAACUGCGGGAAAGGUGCAGCUUUGUGAUUUGACGCCUCAUUGCUCAUUACUAUGGCGGUGCCAUGACUGGGGUGCUUCACCCUGGCUGCUCUGCACUCUAUUUCGGUAUGGCACGUGGACCUGGUAGCUUGAUGUCCCACAUGUUGGCGAAAGGGACUAGAAGAUUUAUGAAAGCGAGCACUCCACUCUUACGAAGGAGGAGUACACGACACGGCGGCCAGUGAACUGUCACUUGUACUAUAUAGUACUAUAGUUUUGCUGUUUCGCACAGUCCAUCGAUACAAACCCGAUUAAACAGGAAAGGGCAGGAUUUUUCCCGCGCGGUAGAUGAUACUGGCCAUACAUUUCAAAGGCAAUUUUAAUGUAUGCAAACUGAAUAAUUAAGUAACAAUAUGAUAUCUAGUAAAACUAAAAACACAUAUGAUUUAUUGUGUUAGGGUGUAGUGGUAGUGCUGUAUUGCAUAAUUGUUAGAUGUAACAUGCGAGAAUGUGUAGAGAUAUAGUUUUGGAGGGCCUACAGAGAGAAAAGCGUAAUAUAGUCGCCGAACUUUAGAAUAAGCUGAUUACGGUCACUAUAUACAUUUUGUGGUGAUUAUACGGUCACUUGCUCACGGUUUAGUAUCGCAUUGCACUCUGUUGACCGGCCAAAUAGUCUAUGUGGCACCAUGUUGACUAGUUAAAUUGACCACAUUCCUUGUGGGUCCCACCCGUUAGUUUGCAUAGGGAAAAGGUCAGAUAAACACAAAUUUAUGUAGGCGUGACAAGACUCCAACCCGUGUGCGGGAAUCACCUGGGUGUGUAUGUGUCUGUCAAGGCCUGAUGUGUGCGCAUGCAGGUGUAAGUUGAGCACUUGAGCGUGAGAGUGUGUGUUGGUUGUGUGUGUACUGGUGUGUGUAUGCAUGUGUGCGUGUGUGUGUGUGUGAGUGUUGCGUGCGUGUGUGGUUGUGUGUGUAUGUGUGAGUGUUGCAUGCGUGUGUGGCUGCAUGUGUUUAUGUGAGUGUUGCGUGCAUGCAGUUCGUGUGCAUGCGUGCGUGUGUGUAUAAUCACCACACCAGCUCCUCUGUGUUAAAACAGACGGCUCAGCAUACCAAUACAAGGCCACCUUGUCCGUUGUGCCCGCGGUCAUGACUCCGAACUACCAUCCAAUAUUUUUUUGUCGUGUGUUUUCAUUCUUACUAGCAAGAUGCCCAUGUGUUGCAUGUAACAUCAAGAUGCAUUUGUAUGACUAGUUUAUCUUGUGAGAGAAAAGGAUGAAUGAGGGAAGGCCUUAUUUGCAAAUGUGGAGAGGUGUGUGGUUACCUUUUUGCAAAAUUGCCAUAGUUUCCUUCCUAUCUGUCAGAUAUAAAUCGGACGGCCUAUAUUGCAAGAUGGCAAGCACACCAUCAUCACCAACUCUGUUUUUAAUAAGAGUGUAUUUUAUAAGAGUGUAGAUGUAGAGUAGAUACAAACCGACAGGUGGGCCCAAUGGUAGUGAGAUAAUGUGAUCCAACACUAGAGGUGCCACAUGGAGCGUUUAACUGGUCAACUAGUUGUGUCUUGAACAAAUACAGAGCUGCACAGUUAACUUGUGACUGUAUAAUAACCACAAAACAUAAAUGGUGACCGUAAUGAGUGGAUUCUGAAGUCCAAUGUACGUAUCGUGCUUUUGCUUCAAAUACAAUGAUCGUCACUGUAUAUAUCACAAGAGAAAGAUGAAACAUGCGUGAAUGUGCUGGGGGCUUACUUUUAGAGGACCUCGAGAUAGUUUGUGUGCGUACGUGAAAGGGGCGUAGAGGGGGGGGGUAUGUGAUGGAGAGAGAUGCUCUUUGUUUCUAUUUAUUAUGACUAACUUUAUAUAUAGUAUAAAAAUAUACAAAUUCACAGUGCGGAAUAAAUAUCAUUGUGGGCACCAUGCAAUGCAAAUUAGCGUUCAUACUCCUCCAUAUAACUUUGUAAUGUUGUAUAUAUGUAGAAAUUCUAAAAUAAUUUUUUGGCCACACUUUAUUCAAAAGGAAUGUUGUAUGCGAAAUAAACGCGAAGAGAGGGAUUUUUAGAUCAAUGGGGUACGUGAUGUAACAUGUGUGAAUGUGUAGUUGAUGCAUUUGGCAGGGCCUAGAGAGGUAUGUGUGUGUAUUAUGUAUUCGAGAGAGGCAUGGGUAGAUGGGCCGGUGGGGGGGGGCGUGGGAGAGAUAGCACGAGAAAUGAGAGUGGUCUAGAGAGAGAGACGAAUAUGAAUUCACGGCGAGAGAUUCCCUUGAGUGUGUAUAUGCAAGGGGGAGGGGAUAGAGGCACCAGGAGAUUUUUUUUGUGUGAUGUCUUUGGUGGUAUGUGUGGGUGUGAGAAGACAACGAGACGUGGGGGCAGAGGAUGUGUCACCGCGUGAGGUCCGGUGGGUCGAGGUGAGGCCCUUCGUUCGGUUCCGUCCUGCGCCACAUUGGUCGACCCGUGACGCAUUUAGGGAGACCCAUGGAUGACUAGUCGUACAAGACAAAGAUAGCAGAAUUGUGAAGGACUCUGUGUCCACUGACAAAGCCAGCAAGGAUUUGUAACCCUAGGUUCUCAGACUAAGGUAACUCCUUCUCUCUGAUAUUACUCUUCAUCCAACCUAACUUAAGGGGCAUCCUACAGAAUGCUCUGCUAGAAUCAUACUCGUCGAUUAGGAAGAGAGGUGUGAGACAAUGCAUGAGAGACAUGCCUAAAUAUAAUGUGCGUACAUGAGACACGUAGGCAGGUCUAUGUAUAUAGAAAGGGUCGAUGGGGAUUGUGCGUGUGUAUGCUUGUGAGAGGAAGAGUGCUUGUGCUAAACGUUAGUGAAAACAGUCGUAAAUGGUUACGAGAGGGAGGGAGGGUUAUAUUGAGAGCAUGUCUGCGAGAAAGACACCUUGGGAGAGAAUGUGUGAGCAUGUGCGAGAGACCACCGAUGGAGAGUAAAACUACACGAAAAAGACUGAUGUACACAUUGAUUAAAGAUAUAAAUUGUAUCCAAAUAUUAGGAUGGGAUCAUGAUAUUUGCAAUUCACGUAAGGAACGGUCAUUGAUCCAUCAGACAUCUAGAUUCUAUCGAAUUUCAGCAUGUCUAUGUUAUUACUCGACAAAAUUGAUCCACAUAGUUAGUAUUUUAAACUCCGCACAAUGCAUCCUCUAAGCAAUCAAAUAUAAACGUGAGUAUAGUUCAUGUUGUGUGUGUAAAGCACAUUAUACAUACGAAAGUUACACAAUGAACAUUAUAAAUAGCUACCUAUGAAAUAGCAUACAUUUGAACUCAACUUAAGAUGGUUUAAACAAUCGAAUUCAACAUGAAGUCUAUUCAAUUAUUUGAAUUUGAUUUCAUGGCAUUUGUAAAUCAUACCUAAAUUAUGGGGGCACCAAUCUUUGCUAUGAUUUUGUACAUAAUAGCAUAUGUAGUCAUGUACAAAAUAGAUUCAAAUUUAGCUCCUCCAUUCCAAAAUAAUCAUAGUUAUAGGAUAAUUUAAUGAGGUUUUCAAACAUACAAGGUCAAAUUUAACAUUGUCUAUUUAGGUCAAUCAUCAAAGUUCAAGAGUACUCUAAACGUGAAUGCUUGUGUUUCAAAAUGUCGAAUGAAGUGCCAAAAGAGCCUCUACUCGCCCAAAACCGCGUGAGACCAAUGUUUGGUAGUACAAGGAAAUUACUUUUCUAAUAACUCCGACCCGUGAAACCUACCGGCCCGAAGUCCAAAGGUCUACGCCGGGGUAGGUUUGUAGCUUCAUCUAGAUGCCACGCAACCGCCUCCGAAAAACAUUCAUACACAAUGGCCGCCUAAGCACACAUGCGCGUGGCCGAAAUCGCUCCCGCCCACUAUUUGGGACACCUGGGAUUACCAUCCUACCCCCGACCCGUAGUAGGUCCAAAAUUUAAGAGGGGGGCAAAGUUUGUACUUUCCCCAAAUUUCAAACAAGCGCGUCCCAUCUUAUGUUCAAAAAAGCCAAAAGCAAGCGCAUCCCAGACCGAAACAUGGUUCUCCCUUAGCUCCCCCCUCCCCCCACCCAUCUGAUUCCCCAUUCAUACUCCGUGGGCGCAAAAACUACCUCUCCACAAGCCGCGAAACCCCCGCGUCCUCCGUCCGCCACCCCAUCCCACCCAUCAACCGCCUCCCUCCAUCAGGCCGGAGCCGAUACCCCGACGUCGUCGUCCACCACAACCUCAACCCCAAUGCCCUCCACAGCUAGUAGUUGAAGCCGAGGCCGAGCUGCCGUACCCGAGCCAGUUCAACCACACCGUCCUAUGCCUCACCGCUGCCGCUCCAAACUUCGCCACCGUCCACCGCACCAGAGUUGUUCCUGCUACGCCGUCCUUCGCCGCCUCGGAUCUGCUUCCGCUCCGCCGAUAUAUGGCCACGGCAACACAGUCAACAAUUUGGCCAUGGGUUUGUCUAAGGAUCCACCGUCCUCCAAAACAUCAAUUCCCUCGGGAGAAAAAAGAAGAUCACCGUGACAUAUGGAGGAGCCACACUGGAAACCGAUAAGGGUACUCCUCUUCCCUUAUUUGUGCAAAUCUUACAUGUCUGCUUGCACGGUAUUCAUCCCACAGAAGACACUAGUUGACCGCUUAUUCUUGAUACUAGAUGUUCCUAGUAACUCGCGAUGCACAAGGUUUAUCCUCAUAUACUAUUUCACCUUAGCUAGAGGUCCAUCGCCCCCCUGGAUUUCAAUUCCUGGUCAGUUGAUUCCCAAUUAAUGGAAGCAUUCCCUGGCGUAACAGGCGCUAGUACGCCUAUUACGCUGGGGAAGCAGCAUCUGCAUUUCCUGUGCUCAUAUAUUACAAAAUCAUACGGAGUAGAAUCUAAUUUUGUUUGCCAUGCAAUAUGGUAGAGCUAUCAUAUGUCUCCUGUCAUUUAUUUUUCAGCCACCUGCUAUCUGCUACUUUUAUACUGCACUAGUUCUGCACACACUUCACCCAUACUCUCACUAUUGUGUUUUUAUGCAAGGGUAUUUCAGACUCUGCUGCCUUGGAAGAAGGAGAAAAGAAAAGAGAGAAGUCAUUCCAGCGUGGUACGCGGCUAGGCCAGACACGUUUCAGCUGUAGAAAGGGUGAAGUGUCAGCAGAUGGAGACGGUAAACGUGGCUCUGGAGUUGAUGACCUCGCUCACCAUGAACCACCAUCCCAGGUGCUUGCUUUAACUUUGUGGUGGCAUAUGUGGUUGCAUGUUGCAUAUGGUGUCUAGCUUGUAUUCGAAAGGCCGAAGUCGGUCUUUGUCAAGAUAAGGAAAGAUAUUUUUUACAUGAGCCACCAUCCCGGGAGCACCAGAAGACAAAUAGCUAGUUAGGGCACUGGACGAGCCAGUGACAAGCCCAGCACAGACAAGCAUCACCUAGAAGCCAACUAAAAAGCCAUGAUGGUGGCGAGCAGCCCACCUCCCACCAGGCUCUCAGGUCCUAGAUGAUCAUGCUCACCACUCCAGCCGGAUGUCUAGCUUGUAUUGCUUCCAAUUUGGUUAAAUUGCAUCUGCUUAGCUUACACAUUAUACCUUUGAAUAUGUGCCUUUAUGUUUUUGGUACAUACUAGUACAUCUGUUUAUUAACCAUGUUCUUACAUCAAACUAAUGUUCUUGUGUAUCCCUCAUCAAUCACUUAUGAUGAGGUAGUCAGGCAAAUGGACUACUCCUCAUUUAAAGAAUGCAGCAUCGACCUCCUGACAUGAUUCUCAAGAAAAAACAAGGCUAGAUGAAGAUAGUGAAUGUAGCUCUGUAGUUGAUUAUUGGUGUUAAAUCACAUGGCGAUGUGAACUAGUAAACCCUUUGGGUGUUGGUCACAUGACGAUGUGAACUAUGGGUGUUAAUCAUAUACAGAUAUGAUUAUUGGUGUUAAAUCACAUGGCGAUGUGAACUAGAUUAUUGACUCUAGUGCAAGUGGGAGACUGAAGGAAAUAUGCCCUAGAGGCAAUAAUAAAGUUAUUAUUUAUUUCCUUAUUUCAUGAUGAAUGUUUAUUAUUCAUGCUAGAAUUGUAUUAACCGGAAACAUAAUACAUGUGUGAAUACAUAGACAAACAUAGUGUCACUAGUAUGCCUCUACUUGACUAGCUCGUGAAUCAAAGAUGGUUAAGUUUCCUAGCCAUAGACAUGAGUUGUCAUUUGAUUAAUGGGAUCACAUCAUUAGGAGAAUGAUGUGAUUGACAUGACUCAUCCCGUUAGCCCAGCACUUGAUCAUUUAGUAUACUGCUAUUGCUUUCUUCAUGACUUAUACAUGUUCCUGUAACUAUGAGAAUUAUGCAACUCCCGUUUAUCGUAGGAACGCUUUGGGUACUACCAAACGUCACAACGUAACUGGGUGAUUAUAAAGGAGUACUUCAGGUGUCUCCGAAGGUACAUGUUGAGUUGGCGUAUUUCGAGAUUAGGUUUUGUCACUCCGAUUGUCGGAGAGGUAUCUCUGGGCCCUCUCGGUAAUGCACAUCACUAUAAGCCUUGCAAGCAAUGUAGCUAAUGAAUUAGUUACGGAAUGAUGUAUUACGUAACGAGUAAAGAGACUUGUCGGUAACGAGAUUGAACUAGGUAUUGGAUACCGACGAUCGAAUCUCGGGCAAGUAACAUACCGAUGACAAAGGGAACAACGUAUGUUGUUAUGCGGUUUGACCGAUAAAGAUCUUCGUAGAAUAUGUAGGAACCAAUAUGGGAAUCCAGGUCCCGCUAUUGGUUAUUGACCGAGAAUGGUUCUAGGUCAUGUCUACAUAGUUCUCGAACCCGUAGGGUCCGCACGCUUAACGUUUCGAUGACAGUUUUAUUAUGAGUUUAUAAGUUUUGAUGUACCUAAGUUUGUUCGGAGUCCCUGAUGUGAUCACGGACAUGACGAGGAGUCUCGAAAUGGUCGAGACAUAAAGAUUGAUAUAUUGGAAGCCUAUGUUUGGACAUCGGAAUAGUUCCGGGUGAAAUCAGCAUUUUACCGGAGUACCGGGAGGUUACCGGAACCCCCCGGGGGGUUAUUGGGCCUACAUGGGCCUCGAGGGAGAAGAGAGAAGGAGGCAGGAGGGGGCCGCGCACCCCUCCCCUUCCUAGUCCGAAUAGGACAAGGGAAGGGGGGCGGCGCCCCCCCUUUCCUUCCCCUCUUCCUCCUCUUUCCCCCCUUCUCCUACUCCUACUUGGAAAGAGGGAGUCCUACUCCCGGUGGGAGUAGGACUCCCCCCUUGGAGCGCCCUCCUUGGCCGGCGGCCUCCUCCCCCUGGAUCCUUUAUAUACGGGCGCGGGGGGGCACCCCAUAGACACACAAGUUGAUCUACGGAUCGUUCCUUAGCCGUGUGCGGUGCCCCCCUCCACCAUAUUCCACCUCAAUCAUAUCGUCGCGGAGUUUAGGCGAAGCCCUACGCCGGUAGAGCAUCAUCAUCGUCACCACGCCAUCGAGCUGACGGAACUCAUCCCUGACACUUUGCUGGAUCGGAGUCCGGGGAUCGUCAUCGAGCUGAACGUGUGCUGAACUCGGAGGUGCCGUACGUUCGGUACUUGGAUCGGUCGGACCGUGAAGACGUACGACUACAUCAACCGCGUUGUGCUAACGCUUCCGCUUAUGGUCUACGAGGGUACGUGGACAACACUCUCCCCUCUUGUUGCUAUGCCAUCACCAUGAUCUUGCGUGUGCGUAGGAAUUUUUUUGAAAUUACUACGUUCCCCAACAGUGGCAUCCGAGCCCAGGUUUUAUGCGUUGAUGUUAUAUGCACGAGUAGAACACAAGUGAGUUGUGGGUGAUACAAGUCAUACUGCUUACCAGCAUGUCAUACUUUGGUUCAGCGGUAUUGUUGGAUGAAGCAGCCCGGACCGACAUUACGCGUACGCUUACGCAAGACUGGUUUUACCGCCGUGCUUUGCACACAGGUGACUAGCGGGUGUCUGUUUCUCCAACUUUAGUUGAACCGAGUGUGGCUACGCCCGGUCCUUGCGAAGGUUAAAACAGCACCAACUUGACGAACUAUCGUUGUGGUUUUGAUGCGUAGGUAAGAACGGUUCUUGCUCAGCCCGUAGCAGCCACGUAAAACUUGCAACAACAAAGUAGAGGAUGUCUAACUUGUUUUUGCAGGGCAUGUUGUGAUGUGAUAUGGUCAAAACGUGAUGAGAUAUAAGUUGUUGUAUGAGAUGAUCAUGUUCUGUUGAAGUUAUCGGCAACUGGUAGAAGCCCUAUGGUUGUCUCUUUGUUGCAUAAGAUGCAAGUGCCAAAUAAUUGCUCUACUUUAUCGCUAUGCGAUAGCAAUAGUUGCAAGAGCAAUAGUUGGCGAGACGACCAUGUGACGACACAUUGAUAUAGAUCAAGUUGAUGAAGAUCAUGGUGUCGUGCCGGUGACGAUAGAGAUCAUGACAGUACUUUGGAGAUGGAGAUCAAAGGCGCAAGAUGAUCAUGGCCAUAUCAUGUUACAUAUUUUGAUUGCAUAUGAUGUUUAUCUGUUAUACAUCUUAUUCUGUUUUGUUUGACGGUAGCAUUUUAAGAUGAUCUCUCACUAAUUAUCAAGAAGUGUUCCCCCUGAGUAUGCACCGUUGCGAAAGUUCUUCAUGCUGAGACACCACGUGAUGAUCGGGUGUGAUAGGCUCUACGUUCAAAUACAACGAGUGCAAAACAGUUGCACAUGCGGAAUACUCAGGUUAAACUUGACGAGCCUAGCAUAUACAGAUAUGGCCUCGGAACAUGGAGACCGAAAGGUCGAGCGUGAAUCAUAUAGUAGAUAUGAUCAACAUAGUGAUGUUCACCAUUGAAACUACUCCAUCUCACGUGAUGAUCGGACAUGGUUUAGUUGAUUUGGAUCACGUGAUCACUUAGAUGACUAGAGAGAUGUCUGUCUAAGUGGGAGUUCUUAAGUAAUAUGAUUAAUUGAACUUUAAUUUAUCAUGAACUUAGUCCUGGUAGUAUUUUGCAAAUUAUGUUGUAGAUCAAUAGCUUGCAUUGUUGCUUUCAUAUGUUUAUUUUGAUAUGUUCCUAGAGAAAAUUGUGUUGAAAGAUGUUAUUAGCAAUGAUGCGGAUUGGAUCCGUGAUCUGAGGUUUAUCCUCAUUGCUACAUAGAAUAAUUAUGUCCUUAAUGCACCGCUAGGUGACAGACCUAUUGCAGGAGCAGAUGCAGACGUUAUGAACGUUUGGCUAGCUCAAUAUGAUGACUACUUGAUAGUUUAGUGCACCAUGCUUAACGGCUUAGAAUCGGGACUUCAAAGACGUUUUGAACAUCAUGGACCAAAUGAGAUGUUCCAGGAGUUGAAGUUAAUAUUUCAAGCAAAUACCCGAGUUGAGAGAUAUGAAGUCUCCAACAAGUUCUAUGGCUAAAAGAUGGAGGAGAAUCGCUCAACUAGUGAGCAUGUGCUCAGAUUGUCUGGGUACUUCAAUCGCUUGAAUCAAGUGGGAGUUAAUCUUCCAGAUAAGAUAGUGAUUGACAGAAUUCUCUAGUCACCAUCACUAAGUUACUAGAACUUCGUGAUGAACUAUAGUAUGCAAGGGAUGACGAAAACGAUUCCCGAGCUCUUCGCGAUGUUGAAAUCAACGAAGGUAGAAAUCAAGAAAGAGCAUCAAGUGUUGAUGAUUGAAAAGAUCACUAGUUUCAAGAAAAGGGCAAAGGGAAAGAAAGGGAACUUCAAGUAGAAUGACAAGCAAGUUGUCACUCCCACAAAGAAGCCCAAAGCUGAACCAAAGCCUGAAAGUGAGUGCUUACACUGCAAAGGAAAUGGUCACUGGAAACGGAAAUGCCCUGAAUAUUUGGUGGAUAAGAAGGAUGGCAAAGUGAACAAGGGUAUAUUUGAUAUACAGGUUAUUGAUGUGUGCUUUACUAGUGUUUAUAGUAGCCCCUGAGUAUUUGAUAUUUGUUCGGUUGCUAAGAUUAGUAACUCGAAACAGGAGUUACAGAAUAAACAAAGACUAGUUGAAGGGGAAGUGACGAUGAGUGUUGGAAGUAGUUCCAAGAUUGAUAUGAUCAUCAUCGCACACUCCCUAUACUUUCGGUAUUAGUGUUAAACCUAAAUAAAUGUUAUUUGGCAUUUGCGUUGAGCAUGAAUAUGAUUUGAUCAUGUUUAUUGCAAUACGGUUAUUCAUUUAAAGUCAGAGAAUAAUUGCUAUUCUGUUUACAUGAAUAAAACCUUCAAUGGUCAUACACCCAAUGAAAAUAGUUUAUUGGAUCUCGAUCGUAGUGAUACACAUAUUCAUAAUGUUGAAACCAGAUGAUGCAGAGUUGAUAACGAUAGUGCAACUUGUUUGUGGCACUACCGUUUAGGUCAUAUCGGUGUAAAGCGCAUGAAGAAACUCCAUACUGAUGGGCUUUUGGAAUCACUUGAUUAUGAAUCACUUGGUACUUGCGAACCGUGCCUUAUGGGCAAGAUGACUAAAACGCCAUUCUCCAGAACUAUGGAGAGAGCAACAGAUUUGUUGGAAAUCAUACAUACAGAUGUAUGUGGUCCAAUGAAUGUUGAGGCUCGUGGCGGAUAUUGUUAUUUUCUCACCUUCACAGAUGAUUUAAGCAGAUAUGGGUAUAUCUACUUGAUGAAACAUAAGUCUGAAAUAGUUGAAAGGUUCAAAGAAUUUCAGAGUGAAGUGGAAAAAUCAUCGUAACAAGAAAAUAAAGUUUCUGCGAUCUGAUCGCGGAGACGAAUAUUUGAGUUACGAGUUUGGUCUUCAAUUAAAACAAUGUGAAAUAGUUUCACAGCUAACGCCACCUGGAACACCACAACGUUAUGGUGUGUCCGAACAUCGUAACCGCACUUUAUUGGAUAUGGUGUGAUCUAUAAUGUCUCUUAUUGAUUCACCGUUGUUGUUUUGGGGUUAUGCAUUAGAGACAGCUGCAUUCACGUUUAAUAGGGCACCAUCUAAAUCCGUUGAGACGACACCAUAUGAACUGUGGUUUAGCAAGAAACCCAAGUUGUCGUUUCUUAAAGUUUGGGGCUGCAAUGCUUAUGUGAAAAAGUUUCAUCCUGAUAAGCUCGAACCCAAAUCGGAGAAGUGCGUCUUCAUAGAAUACCCAAAGGAAAUUGUUGGGUACACCUUCUAUCACAGAUCCGAAGGCAAGAUAUUCGUUGCUAAAAAUGGAUCCUUUCUAGAGAAGGAGUUUCUCUCGAAAGAAGUGAGUGGGAGAAAAGUAGAACUUGAUGAGGUAACUGUACCUUCUCCCGAAUUGGAAAAUUGUUCAUCACUGAAAUCAGUUCCAGUGAUUUCUACACCAAUUAGUGAGGAAGCUAAUGAUGAUGAUCAUGAAACUUCAGAUCAAGUUACUACAGAACCUCGUAGGUCUUCCAGAGUACGGUCCGCACCAGAGUGGUACGGUAAUCCUGUUCUCGAAGUCAUGUUACUAGACCAUGAUGAACCUACGAAAUAUGAGGAAGCGAUGAUGAGCCCAGAUUCCGCAAAAUGGCUUAAGGCCAUGAAAUCUGAGAUGGGAUCCAUGUAUGAGAACAAAGUGUGGACUUUGGUGGAGUUGCCCGAUGAUCGGCAAGCCAUAUAGUAUAAAUGGAUCUUCAAGAGGAAGACUGACAUUGAUAGUAGUGUUACUAUCUACAGAGCUCGACUUGUCGCAAAAAGGUUUUUGACAAGUUCAAGGUGUUGACUACAAUGAGAUUUUCUCAGCUGUAGCGAUGCUUUAAGUUUGUCCGAAUCAUGUUAGCAAUUGCCACAAUUUAUGAAAUCUGGCAAAUGGAUGUCAAAACUGCAUUCCUUAAUGGUUUUCUCAAAGAAGAGUUGUAUAUGAUGCAACCAGAAGGUUUUGUCAAUCCUAAAGGUACUAACAAAAUAUGCAUGCUCCAGCGAUCCAUCUAUGGACUGGUGCAAGCAUCUCAGAGUUGGAAUAUACGCUUUGAUGAGUUGAUCAAAGCAUAUAGUUUUGUACAGACUUACGGUGAAGCCUGUAUUUACAAGAAAGUGAGUGGGAGCACUACAACAUUUCUGAUAAGUAUAUGUGAAUGACAUAUUGUUAAUCGGAAAUAAUGUAGAAUUAUUCUGCAAAGCAUGAAAGGAUACUUGAAUAAGAGUUUUUCAAAGAAAGACCUCGGUGAAGCUACUUACACAUUGAGCAUCAAGAUCUAUAUAGAUAGAUCAAGACGCUUGAUAAGAUUUUUCAAUGAAUACAUACCUUGAUAAUUUUUUGAAAUAGUUCAAAAUGGAACAGUCAAAGAAGGAGUUCUUGCCUGUGUUGCAAGGUGUGAAAUUGAGUAAGACUCAAGACCCGACCAUGGUAGAAAACAGAAAGAGAAUGAAAAAUCAUUCCCUAUGCCUCAGUCAUAGGUUCUAUAAAGUAUGAUAUGCUGUGAACCAGACAUAUUGUAUACCUUGCUCUGAGUUUGGCAAAGGAAUACAAUUUUGAUCUAAUAGUAGAUCACUGGACAGCGGUCAAGAAUAUCCUUAGUAAGGACUAAGGAGAUGUUUCUCGAUUAUGGAGGUGAUAAAAGAGUUCGUUGUAAAAGUUACAUCGGUGCAAACUUUUACACUGAUCCAGAUGACUCUAAGUCUCAAUCUGGAUACAUAUUGAAAGUGGGAGCAAUUAGCUAGAGUAGCUCCGUGCAGAGCAUUGUGGACAUAGAAUAUUUGCAAAAUACAUACGGCUCUGAAUGUGACAGACCCGUUGAGUAAGCUUCUCUCAUGAGCAAAACAUGAUAACACCUUAGUACUCUUUGGGUGUUAAUCACAUAGCGAUGUGAACUAAAUUUUUGACUCUAGUAAACCCUUUGGGUGUUGGUCACAUGACGAUGUGAACUAUGGGUGUUAAUCAUAUACAGAUAUGAUUAUUGGUGUUAAAUCACAUGGCGAUGUGAACUAGAUUAUUGACUCUAGUGCAAGUGGGAGACUGAAGGAAAUAUGCCCUAGAGGCAAUAAUAAAGUUAUUAUUUAUUUCCUUAUUUCAUGAUGAAUGUUUAUUAUUCAUGCUAGAAUUGUAUUAACCGAAAACAUAAUACAUGUGUGAAUACAUAGACAGACAUAGGGUCACUAGUAUGCCUCUACUUGACUAGCUCAUGAAUCAAAGAUGGUUAAGUUUCCUAGCCAUAGACAUGAGUUGUCAUUUGAUUAACGGGAUCACAUCAUUAGGAGAAUGAUGUGAUUGACAUGACCCAUCCCGUUAGCCCAGCACUUGAUCAUUUAGUAUACUGCUAUUGCUUUCUUCAUGACUUAUACAUGUUCCUGUAACUAUGAGAAUUAUGCAACUCCCGUUUACCGGAGGAACACUUUGGGUACUACCAAACGUCACAAUGUAACUGGGUGAUUAUAAAGGAGUACUACAGGUGUCUCCGAAGGUACAUGUUGAGUUGGCGUAUUUCGAGAUUAGGUGUUGUCACUCCGAUUGUCGGAGAGGUAUCUCUGGGCCCUCUCGGUAAUGCACAUCACUAUAAGCCUUGCAAGCAAUGUAGCUAAUGAAUUAGUUACGGAACGAUGUAUUACGUAACGAGUAAAGAGACUUGCCGGUAACGAGAUUGAACUAGGUAUUGGAUACCGACGAUCGAAUCUCGGGCAAGUAACAUACCGAUGACAAAGGGAACAACGUAUGUUGUUAUGCAGUUUGACCGAUAAAGAUCUUCGUAGAAUAUGUAGGAACCAAUAUGGGCAUCCAGGUCCCGCUAUUGGUUAUUGACCAAGAAUGGUUCUAGGUCAUGUCUACAUAGUUCUCGAACCCGUAGGGUCCGCACGCUUAACGUUUCGAUGACAGUUUUAUUAUGAGUUUAUAAGUUUUGAUGUACCGAAGUUGGUUCGGAGUCCCGGAUGUGGUCACGGACAUGACAAGGAGUCUCUAAAUGGUCGAGACAUAAAUAUUGAUAUAUUGGAAGCCUAUGUUUGGACAUCUAAAUAGUUCUGGGUGAAAUCGGCAUUUUACCGGAGUACCGGGAGGUUACCGGAACCCCCCGGGGGCUUAUUGGGCCUACAUGGGCCUCGAGGGAGAAGAGGAAGGAGGCAGGAGGGGGCCGCGUGCCCCUCCCCUUCCUAGUCCGAAUAGGACAAGGGAAGGGGGGCGGCGCCCCCCCUUUCCUUCCCCUCUACCUCCUCUUUCCCCCCUUCUCCUACUCCUACUUGGAAAGAGGGAGUCCUACUCCCGGUGGGAGUAGGACUCCCCCCUUGGUGUGCCCUCCUUGGCCGGCGGCCUCCUCCCCCUGGCUCCUUUAUAUACGGGGGCGAGGGGGCACCCCAUAGACACACAAGUUGAUCUACGGAUCGUUCCUUAGCCGUGUGUGGUGCCCCCCUCCAUCAUAUUCCACCUCAGUCAUAUCGUCGCGGAGUUUAGGCGAAGCCCUGCGCCGGUAGAGCCUCAUCAUCGUCACCACGCCGUCGUGCUGACGGAACUCAUCCCCAACACUUUGCUGGAUCGGAGUCCGGGGAUCGUCAUCGAGUUGAACGUGUGCUGAACUCGGAGGUGCCGUACGUUUGGUACUUGGAUCGGUCGGAUCGUGAAGACGUACGACUACAUCAACCGCGUUGUGCUAACGCUUCCGCUUACGGUCUACGAGGGUACGUGGACAACACUCUCCCCUCUCGUUGCUAUGCCAUCACCAUGAUCUUGCGUGUGCGUAGGAAUUUUUUUGAAAUUACUACGUUCCCCAACAAUUUCCCCUACACUAGCAUUGCAGGUGCUUGCUCUAACUUGACAGCAUGAUAUGUGGUUGCAUGUUGCAUAUGGUGUCUAGAUUGUAAUUCUUCCAAUCUGGUUAAACUGCAUGUGCUAUUCUGCUUAGCUUAUACAUUAUACCUGUUAAUGUGACAUGCCUUCCUGUAUUUAGUACAUAGUACAUCUGUCUAUUAAGCAUGUCCUUGCAUAAAACUAUUGUUUUUUUGUAUCCCGCAUCAAUCAAUAUGACGAGACACCUUUAGUAUAUGCAGUGUGAUAUUAGUUGCAUCUUUCAUAUGAUUUAUAGCAUGCGCUACUUCUAAUUUAUUGAAAUGCCAUUUAUGAUGGGACGAUUUUAACUUGGCAGAGUCCUAUUGGUCGCAUAUUUCAUGUGGUGUCUAGCUUGCAUUGCUUCUUAUUUGUUGGAAUGGUUUCUGCUUAGUUUACACAAACAGUUGUGAACAUGCCAUGUUGUCCUGUUUUUCAUACAUAUUCCAUCCUGGUAUCAUGUAUGAAUGAGUUCUGAAGAGAGAAUUUUAUUGCUUUUUCUUGUCGGUUUUACUUGACAAUUCAAAAUCAAUAAAGCGUAAGGAAGUUAGAAAGGCAACGGAUAAAGGUGCUCCUUCCAAACGGAGGGCCUCUAUAGAUUCUACUCCUCCAUCCCCCCAAGAUGAUUUGCAAGACAACACAUGCAUAGACACUCAACAUAGAUGUGUUGAUGAUGAGCACGUCUCCCCUAGUGCACCAUCACCGGUGCUCCCUCUAACUUGGCAAUGUUAUAUGUGGUUGCAUGUUAUGUGUGAUGUCUGGCUUGUAUUGCUUCUAGUAUUGUUGAAUUCCAUCUGAUUACUUUACACAUUAUACUUGUGAAUAAGACACGUGAUCCUGUUUCUAGAACAUACAAUAGCUGUCUUUCACACCAUGUUCUUACAUCAAAUUACUACUAUUGUGUAACCUGCAACAAUCACUUAUCAUAAGACACGUUUGACUUGGGAGUGUGAUAUAGGUUACAUCUCGCAUUAUUUUCUAGCUUGCACUACUAAUUUGUUGAAAUGGCACUUAUAGCGAGACAGUUUUAACUUGUUAGAGUGAUAUUCGUUGCAUAUUUCAUAUGGUGUCUAGCUUUCAUUGCUUCUAAUUUAUUGAAAUGCCUUCUCCUUAGUUUACACAUCAUAAGUUGUAAUUAUGCACUGUUGUGAAUAUGCAAUGGCACUAAUGACGAGAGACCUCUAACUUGGUAGUGUGAUGUUGUUUGCAUCUUGCAUAUGAUUUAUUUCUUGUACUGCUUCACAUUUGUUUAAAUGCCAUUUAUGAUGAGACACUAUUAACUUGGCAGAGCGAUAUUUGUAGCAUCUUUCAUAUGGUGUCUACCUUCCAUUGCAUUGCUUCUAAUUUAGUGGAGUGUCUUCUGCUUAGUUUACACAUCAUAGUUCUGGUUUUCUCUUCCGUCCUGUUUUUCGUACAUAUUACAUCCUCCUAUCAUGUGGUUGUCUAACAUCAAAGUUCAGUUCGUCUGUAUCACGCAUCAAUUUGUUCUGAAGAACUAAAUUAUUAUUCGUUUUUCUUGUCGACUUGACUUAACAUGGCACACAGAAAGAGGAAGAAACACAGAAUGGCAGGGAAUGGGAAGGGAAAAAUCCUGUAGAUUCUGCUGGUACUGAUGGUGCAAUAGAAGGUCAAAGUCCAGCGGAAAAUUCUACAAAUAGGGUAUCUCGUGCUACACGAGCUGUAGAAAAAGCCAAACAGAAACAGAUUAGCUGCCACCAAACAAGCAGAGACAGCAAUAGUUCUUGCAAAACCUUCCACAGUACUACUAGCGCACGAGUUACUCGUGGGUCAACUGAGUUAGCAGCAAGUUCACAAGCUCCCUUGCCACCUGACACUAUUUCUGGAGCACUCUUGACACAAGACGAGUUGGCAAGAUCAGAUGAACCUUGUGAGCUUCAACGGCAAGAAGGUAGUUGAUGGAGUCAAGUUACAGUUGCAUGCUUCUUUAUAUGUAGUCUCACAGUUUGAUGUACACUAACACGUCCUAUGUUUGUUGUUGGACUAGCACCUAGGCGUAACAGGAAACAAACAUCAGGGAUAAUGCUUGAUAGGUUAACUAAAUCUAGAGGAGGAAUAAUGGAGAUUGAUAACCCACAAGUAUAGGGGAUUGCAACAGUUUUCGAGGGUAGAGUAUUCAACCCAAAUUUAUUGAUUCGACACAAGGGGAGCCAAAGAAUAUUCUCAAGUAUUAGUAGUUGAGUUGUCAAUUCAACCACACCUGGAUAACUUAGUAUCUGCAGCAAAAUACUAGUACCAAAGUAGUAUGAUAGUAAAGGUAACACUGGUAAAAGUAACGAUAGCAGUUUUGUAGCAAUUGUAACAGUAGCAACGGUAAAGUAAAUAAGUGAAGCACAAUAUGUGAAAAGCUCGUAGGCAUUGGAUCAGUGAUGGGUAAUUAUGUUGGAUGCGAUUCCUCAUGUAAUAGUUAUAACAUAGGGUGACACAGAACUAGCUCCAAUUCAUCAAUGUAAUGUAGGCAGGUAUUCCAGAUAUAGUCAUAUGUGCUUAUGGAAAAGAACUUGCAUGACAUCUUUUGUCCUACCGUCCCGUGGCAGGGGGGUCCUAAUGGAAACUAAGGGAUAUUAAGGCCUCAUUUUAAUAGAGUACCGGACCAAAGCAUUAGCACUCAGUGAAUACAUGAACUACUCAAACUACGGUCAUCACCGAGAAGUAUCCCGAUUAUUGUCACUUCGGGGUUGUCGGAUCAUAAUACAUAAUAGGUGACUAUAGACUUGCAAGAUAGGAUCAAGAACUCACAUAUAUUCAUGAAAACAUAAUAGGUUCAGAUCUGAAAUCAUGGCACUCGGGCCCUAGUGACAAGCAUUAAGCAUAGCAAAGUCAUAGCAACAUCAAUCUUAGAAUAUAGUGGAUACUAGGGAUCAAACACUAACAAAACUAACUUGAUUACAUGGUAAAUCUCAUCCAACCCAUUACUGUCCAACAAGCCUACGAUGGAAUUACUCAUGCACGGCGGUGAGCAUAAUGAAAUUGGUGAUGGAGUAUAGUUGCUGAUGACGACGGCGACAAAUCCCCCUCUCCGGAGCCCCGAACGGACUCGAGAUCAGCCCUCCCUAGAGAGAUUAGGGCUUGGCGGUGGCUCCGUAUCGUAAAACAUGAUGAAACUUUCUCUCUGAUUUUUUCUCCGCGAAAGCAAAUAUAUAGGUUGGAGUUGAGGUCGGUGGCCAUCCAGGGGGCCCACGAGGCAGGGGACGCGCCCAGGGGGAGGGGGCGCACCCCCACCCUCGUGGACAGGGUGUGGGCCCCCUGGCCGUGAUUCUUUCGCCAGUAUUAUUUUUUAUAUUUUCCAAAAGUAAUCUCCAUGGAUUUUCAAGUCAUUCCGAGAACUUUUGUUUCUGCACAAAAAUAACACCAUGAUAGUUUUGCUGAAAACUGCGUGAGUCCGGGUUAGUUUCCAUUCAAAUCAUGCAAGUUAGAGUCCAAAACAAGGGCAAAAGUGUUUGGAAAAGUAGAUACGAUGGAGACGCAUCAACUCCCCCAAGCUUAAACCUUUGCUUUUCCUCAAGCAAUUCAGUUGAUAAACUGAAAGUGAUAAAGAAAAACUUUUACAAACUCUGUUUGCUCUUGUUGUUGUAAAUAUGUAAAGCCAGCAUUCAAAUUUUCAGCAAAGGUUAUGAACUAACCAUAUUCACAAUAACACUUAGGUCUCAUGUUUACUCAUAUCAAUGACAUAAUCAACUAGCGAGCAAUAAUAAUAAAUCUCGGAUGACAACACUUUCUCAAAACAAUCAUGAUAUGAUAUAACAAGAUGGUAUCUUGCUAGCCCUUUCUGAGACUGCAAAACAUAAAUGUAGAGCACCUUUAAAGAUCAAGGACUGACUAAACAUUGUAAUUCAUGGUAAAAGAGAUCAAAUCAAGUCAUACCCAAUAUAAAUUAACAGUAAUACAUGCAAAUGACAAUGUGCUCUCCAGCGGGUGCUUUUUAAUAAGAGGAUGAUUACUCAACAUAAAAGUAAAUAGAUAGGCCCUUCGCGGAGGGAAGCAGGGAUUUGUAGAGGUGCGGGAGCUCGAUUUUAAAAUAGAGACGAAUAACAUUUUGAGUGGUAUACUUUCACUGUCAACCCAACAACUAUGAGAUCUCGAUACCUUCCAUGCUACAUACAUUAUAGGCGGUUCCCAAACAGAAUGGUAAAGUUUAUACUCCCCCACCACCAACAAGCAUCAAUCCAUGGCUUGCUCGAAACAACGAGUGCCUCCAACUAGCAACAGCCCUGGGGGAGUUUUGUUUAAUUAUUUCGAUUUGCUUUGAUCUUUUUGAUCAUGGGACUGGGCAUCCCGGUUACCAGCCAUUUUCUCGUGAAUGAGGAGCGGAGUCCACUCCCCUUGAGAAUAACCCACCUAGCAUGGAAGAUACAGAUAGCCCUAGUUGAUACAUGAGCUGCUCGAGCAUACAAAACAAAAUUUCAUUUGAAGUUUUAGAGUUUGGCACACAGAGAUUUACUUGGAACGACAGGUAAAUAGCGCAUAUAGGAAGGUAUGGUGGACUCAUAUGGAAUAACUUUGGGGUAUAUGGAGUUUGGAUGCACAAGCAGUAUUCCCGCUUAGUACAGGUGAGGGCUAGAAAGAGACUAGGAAGCGACCAACUGAGAGAGCGACAACAGUCAUGAACAUGCAUUAAAAUUAAUAAACACUGAGUUCAAGCAUGAGUAGGAUAUAAUCCACCAUGAACAUAAAUAUCAUGAAGGCUAUGUUGACUAGUUUUCAACUACAUGCGUGAACAUGUGCCAAGUCAAGUCACUGCCCUAUCAUACCACAUCACAACCAUUUUAAUAGCAUGUUAGCACGCAAGGUAAACCAUUAUAAGCUCCUAGCUAAUUAAGCAUGGCAUAAGCAACUAUAAUCUCUAAUUGUCAUUGCAAACAUGUUUGCUCAUAAUAGGCUAAAUCAGGAACAAUGAACUCAUCAUAUUUACAAAAACAAGAGAGGUCGAGUUCAUACCAGCUUCUCUCAUCUCAAUUAGUCCAUCAUAUAUCGUCAUUAUUGCCUUUCACUCGCACGACCGAACGGUGUGUAUAAUAAUAAUAGUGCACGUGCAUUGGACUAAGCUGGAAUCUGCGAGCAUCCAAUUCAAGGGAGAAGACAAGGUAAUAUGGGCUCUUGGUUAAAUCAACAAUCAUGCAUAUAAGAGCCACUAAACAUUUUCAUUAUGGUCUUCUCCUCUCGACCCCCAAAGAAAAGAAAAUAAAUAAAACUAUUUACACGGGAAAGUUCCCAACAAGCAAAAGAAUAACAAGAAAUCUUUUUGGGUUUUCUUUUAAUUACUACUACAAGCAUGCAAAGUAAACUAACUAAUUUUUUUGGUUUUUUCUUAAGAUUUAUCAAACACACAAGAAGAAAACUAGAAAAAGAAAUUAAACUAGCAUGGAUAGUACAAUGAAAAAGUAUGAGCACCGACAACUAGAAUAAGUGUGUGAACAUAAAUGUAAUAUCGGUGAGAAAUACGUACUCCCCCAAGCUUAGGCUUUUGGCCUAAGUUGGUCAAUGCCCAAGGACCACGGCUACUCUCCCCGGUGUACUGAGGAGUGUCAUCUGGGUACCACUGGCUGGCGAUCUCCUCCAGAUCCCACUGAUAGGAUGGACGAUAAGGGUCCAGUGGUGGUUCCGGCUUAGGCUCUGGAGCUGAUAUCUGGCCUCGAUGCGCGUACACGGCCGACGGCAAGACGAGGUAAGGACAUGCAGUUAAAUCAAACAAAGAAGGUGCAUGGAGGGUAAUAAUUUCAUUGUGUUUCUUAUUAAAUCUCAGGUUAUACAGAAGCAUCUUAUCAUCAUUGUCAAUAGUAAAUUCAUGCGCUACCAUGCUCCUGUAAUCUAAAAAGGUAGGGGUAGCAGUGUCUCCUAUUUCUCAUAAUGCCUAAUAGGUAUCUCAAAAUGUCUAGCAAGGCGUGCAGCAUAGAUACCUCCAAAGAUGGGCCCUUUGUACGGUUUAGACUUAAUCGUUUAGCAACAACGGCACCCAUACUAACAGAGCUAUCACAAAAUAAAGCAUGGAACAAAAUAAUAAUAUCAGGAACACUAAGGUUUCCACAGUUUCCGUGACCAAUUAAGCAUCAACUAGCAAAUAUUGCAAAGUAGCGUAAAACAGGAAAAUGUAUGCUAGUAAUUCUUGCAUCGGGAACCUUCCUUGUUUCCCCUAAAGUAAUAGUAUCAAUAAAUCCAUCCACAUCUUUACGAUGUGGUUCCUCUAAGCUGCCCUCGAAAGGUAUCUUGCAAACCGUGCAAAAUUCAUAUAGUGUCAUCUCCCUAGCCACAUCAUAUAAAUGAACUCUAAUGAAGGAGGUGGUUUCUUAGGAUAAAAGUAGAAAUUUUGCACGAAAGUAUUGGUGAGUAAGAGAUAUUGUUCGGUCUGGUCGUGGAGGAAGUCGGUGAGGCCCGCAUUAUCAACCAACGAAUAAAAAUCAUCAUGAAUCCCGGCUGCUCUCAAGAAAUCAUCACAAGGCCAUUCACAUGGUCGUACUUCCGCCACACGAGGGAGAUUAUACUUGGGCUUUUCAUUCUCCUUAGAUUGUUUAUCCUUAGAGCCUUGGCUAGAAGAGCCCUUCAAAAGUCUCCUCAUCAUUUUCUGAAAAUUUCUAAAAUUUUUAGUAACUCAAAAUAGAAGUGGAUAAAACUCAACAAGAUUGGUAGCAACUACUCUCAUAAGUGCCUAGAGCCUAUAUCAUGCAUUAGAAUUACUUGGGACCUCAUAAAUUUGACAUGCAAGCUCAAGAACAGGGUCACCUAGGCAGCAAAAAUUUGCAAUGAAUAAAGCACUAGAACAAAAACUAAUUGGACCAUUGGAGGAGUCACAUAAUAAGGAACAAUCUCCCAAAGCAGUUUUGUGAAUGGGGCUUUGGGCAAGGAGAUCGUAAAUCGCAUCAAAAUGAGCUAGAACUCAUGCUUGAGCUGGAUGGGGAUUUUUUGGGAGGAAGAUGGAGUGUGUGGGUGCAGGAAUAAGUGGAGGGGGCACCAUGGCCCACGAGGCAGGGGGCGCGCCCAGUAAGAUUGGGCGCGCCCUGGACCCUCGUGGCCAGGUGCUUGCCCCCCUGCUGUGUUCUCAGUGCCUAAAAUCCUCAAAUAUUCCAUAAAAAUCAUACUAAUUUUGCAGGGCAUUUGGAGAACUUUUAUUUUCGGGAUAUUUUUUAUUGCAUGGAUAAUUCAGAAAAUAGAAAGAUAAUACUAUUUUUGCUUUAUUUAUUCUAAAUAAUAGAAAGUAAAAAGAGGGUACAAAAGGUUGUGCCUUCUAGUUUCAUCCAUGUCAUGAUCAUAAAAAGGAAUCCACUAACAAGGUUGAUCAAGUCUUGUUAACAAACUCAUUCCAAAUAACAUGGAACCGGAGAAAUUUCGAAUAACACUGGAUUACCUCAACAGGGAUAUGAACAUCCCCAAUAAUAAGAAUAUCAUAUUUUUUCUUGACAAUAGGAAGAGGAAAUUCAAAACCUCCAGUAAUGAUAGUUAGAAUUUUUCCAAUAGAAUUGAUGCUAUGAACUUGAGGUUGUUUCCUCGGAAAGUGUACCGUAUGCUCAUUACCAUUAACAUGAAAAGUGGCAUUGCCUUUGUUGCAAUCAAUAACCGCCCCUGCAGUAUUCAAAAAGGGUCUACCAAGGAUAAUCAACAUACUAUCGUCCUCGGGAAUAUCAAGAAUAACAAAGUCCGUUAAGAUAGUGACGUUUGCAACUACAACAGGCACAUCCUCACAAAUACCGACAGGUAUAGGAGUUGAUUUAUCGGCCAUUUGCAAAGAUAUUUUAGUAGGUGUCAACUUAUUCAAUUCAAGUCUAUGAUAUAAAGAGAGAUGCAUAACACUAACACCGGCUCCAAGAUCACAUAAAGCAGUUUUAACAUAAUUUAUUUUAAUGGAGCAUGGUAUAGUUGGUACUCCCGGAUCUCCAAGUUUCUUAGGUAUUCCACCUUUAAAAGUAUAAUUAGCAAGCAUGGUGGAAAUUUCAGCUUCCUGUAUCUUUCUUUUAUUUGUAAUAAUAUCCUUCAUGUAUUUAGCAUAAGGAUUUACUUUGAGCAUAUCAGUUAAGCACAUACGUAAGAAGAUAAGUCUAAUUAUUUCAGCAAAGCGCUCAAAAUCCUCAUCAUCCUUUUUCUUGGAUGGCUUAGGAGGAAAAGGCAUGGGUUUCUGAACCCAUGGUUCUCUUUUUACCGUGCUUCCUAGCAACAAAGUCUCUCUUAUCAUAACGUUGAUUCUUUGAUUGUGGGUUAUCAAGAUCAACAACAGGUUCAAUCUCUACAUCAUUAGUAUUGCUAGGUUGAGCAUCAACAUUAACAUUAUCACUAGGUUCAUGUUCAUCACCAGAUUGUGUUUUAGCAUCAGAAAUAGAAAUAUCAUUGGGAUUCUCAGGUGUGUCUACAACGGGUUCACUAGAAGCAUGCAAAGUCCUAUCAUUUUUCUUUUUCUUCUUUUUAGAAGAACUAGGUGCAUCUACAUUAUUUCUCUGAGAAUCCUGCUCGAUUCUCUUAGGGUGGCCUUCAGGAUACAAAGGUUCCUGAGUCAUUUUACCAGUUCUAGUAGCCACUCUAACAGCAAAAUCAUGUUUAUUAUUUAAAUCAUCGAGUAAAUCACUUUGAGCUUUAAGUACUUGUUCUACUUGAGUAGUAACCGUUGAAGCAUAUUUGCUAAUGAGUUUAAGUUCACCUUUAACUCUAGCCAUAUAAUCACUCAAGCGUCCAAUCAUGAAAGCAUUACUCCUUAAUUCUCUACCAACAUAGGCAUUGAAACUUUCUUGUCUAGCCAUAAAGUCAUCAAAUUCAUCUAAACAUUGGCUAGGCAAUUUAGUAGACAGGAUUUCAACCUUAUCAUACCUAUAGAGAGAAUUUACCUUUACUACCUGUGUCGGGUUAUCAAGACCGUGUGUUUCUUCAAUAGGUGGUAUAUUAAGACCAUGUAUUUCUUCAAUAGGAGGUAAAUUCUUAACAUCUUCGGCUUUAAUACCUUUUUCUUUCAUAGAUUUCUUUGCCUCUUGAAUAUCUUCAGUACUGAGAAAUAGAACACCCAUCUUCUUCGGAGUUGGUUUAGUAAUAGGCUCAGGAGUUGGCUCAAUUGGCUCAGGAAUUGGCUCAGGAAGAUUCCAAUUAUUUUCAUUAGUCAACAUAUUAUUCAAUAGUAAUUUAGCUUGGUCAACUGUUCUUUCCCUGAAAACACAACCAGCACAACUAUCCAAGUGGUCCUUGGAAGCAUCUGUUAGUCCAUUAUAAAAGAUAUCAAGUAUUUCAUUUUUCUUAAGAGGAUGAUCAGGAAAAGCAUUAAGUAAUUGGAGAAGCCUCCUCCAAGCUUGUGGGAGACUCUCUUCUUCGAUUUGCACAACAUUAUAUAUUUCCCUCAAGGCAGCUUGUUUCUUAUGAGCAGGGAAAUAUUUAGCAGAGAAGUAAUAAAUCAUAUCCUGGGGACUACGCACACAACCAGGAUCAAAAGAAUUAAACCAAGUUUUAGCAUCACCCUUUAAUGAGAAUGGAAAUAUCUUAAGGAUAUAAUAAUAGCGGGAUUUCUCAUCAUUAGUGAACAGGGUGGCUAUAUCAUUCAACUUAGUAAGAUGUGCCAAAACAGUUUCAGAUUCAUUGCCAUAAAAAGGAUCAGAUUCAACCAAAGUAAUUAUUACAGGAUCAACGGAGAAUUCAUAAUCCUUAUCAGUAACAAAGAUAGGUGAAGUAGCAAAAGCAGGGUCAUAUUUCAUUCUAGCAUUCAGAGUUUGCUGUUUCCAUUUAGCUAAUAACUUCUUAAGAUCAGAUCUAUCAUUGCAAGCAGGAAUAGCUCUAGUAGCUUUUUCAUCCAUAACAUAACCCUUAGGAACAACAGGCAAUUCAUAUUUAGGGGGAGAACCUUCAUCAUCACUAUCUUCAAUAAUAUCAUCUUCAAUAGUUUCAUUCUCUCUACCCCUAGCAAGUUGUUCACCAAGAAAUUCACCUAAUGGCAAAGUAGUAUCAAGCAUAGAACUAGUUUCAUCAUAAGUAUCAUGCAUAGUAGAAGUGGCAUCAUCAAUAACAUGCGACAUAUCAGAAUUCAUACCAGUACAAGGUUUAGGGGUCGCAAGCUUACUCAAAACGGAAGAAGAAUCUAGUGCAGAGCUAGAUGGCAGUUCCUUACCUCCCCUCGUAGUUGAGGGAAAAAUCUUAGUUCUUUCGUCUUUCAAGUUCUUCAUAGUGAUCAGCAGAUAUAAAUCCCAAGUGACUCAAAGAAUAGAGCUAUGCUCCCCGGCAACGGCGCCAGAAAAUAGUCUUGAUAACCCACAAGUAUAGGGGAUUGCAACAGUUUUCGAGGGUAGAGUAUUCAACCCAAAUUUAUUGAUUCGACACAAGGGGAGCCAAAGAAUAUUCUCAAGUAUUAGUAGUUGAGUUGUCAAUUCAACCACACCUGGAUAACUUAGUAUCUGCAGCAAAAUACUAGUACCAAAGUAGUAUGAUAGUAAAGGUAACACUGGUAAAAGUUACGAUAGUAGUUUUGUAGCAAUUGUAACAGUAGCAACGGUAAAGUAAAUAAGUGAAGCACAAUAUGUGAAAAGCUCGUAAGCAUUGGAUCAGUGAUGGGUAAUUAUGUUGGAUGCGAUUCCUCAUGUAAUAGUUAUAACAUAAGGUGACACAGAACUAGCUCCAAUUCAUCAAUGUAAUGUAGGCAGGUAUUCCAGAUAUAGUCAUACAUGCUUAUGGAAAAGAACUUGCAUGACAUCUUUUGUCCUACCCUCAUAUUUUGUCCUACCCUCCCGUGGCAGGGGGGUCCUAAUGGAAACUAAGGGAUAUUAAGGACUCCUUUUAAUAGAGUACCGGACCAAGCAUUAGCACUUAGUGAAUACAUGAACUCCUCAAACUAUGGUCAUCACCGAGAAGUAUCCCUAUUAUUAUCACUUUGGGGUUGUCAGAUCAUAACACAUACUAGGUGACUAUAGACUUGCAAGAUAGGAUCAAGAACUCACAUAUAUUCAUGAAAACAUAAUAGUUUCAGAUCUGAAAUCAUGGCACUCAGGCCCUAGUGACAAGCAUUAAGCAUAUCAAAGACAUAGCAACAUCAAUCUCAGAACAUAGUGGAUACUAGGGAUCAAACCCUAACAAAACUAACUUGAUUACAUGGUAAAUCUCAUCCAACCCAUCACCGUCCAGCAAGCCUACGAUGGAAUUACUCACGCACGGCGGUGAGCAUCAUGAAAUUGGUGAUGGAGGAAGGUUGAUGAUGACGACGGCGACGAAUCCCCAUCUCUGGAGCCCCGAACGGACUCUAGAUCAGCCCUCCCGAGAGAGAUUAGAGCUUGGUGGCGGCUCCGUAUCAUAAAACGCGAUGAAACUUCCUCUCGAUUUUUUUCUCCGCGAAAGCAAAUAUAUAGAGUUGGAGUUGAGGUCGGUGGCCAUCCAGGGGGCCCACAAGGCAGGGGCGCGCCCAGGGGGAGGGGGCGCGCCCAGGGGGAGGGGGCGCGCCCCCCACCCUCGCGAACAGGUUGUGGGCCCCCUGGCCUUGAUUCUUUCGCCAGUAUUUUUAUAUUUUCCAAAAUUAAUAUCUGUGGAUUUUUAGGUCAUUCCAAGAACUUUUGUUUCUGCACAAAAACAACACCAUGGCAGUUCUGCUGAAAACAUCGUCAGUCCGGGUUAGUUUCCAUUCAAAUCAUGCAAGUUAGAGUCCAAAACAAGGGCAAAAGUGUUUGGAAAAGUAGAUACGAUGGAGACGUAUCAGAGAUCUGUUUUUAGGCAGGUUUUAAAAGGCCACGUGAUGCUACAGACUCAGCCAAGUUAGUAUCAGAGGCAGCGGUUGCCUUUAGAUGUCAUGUACGUACCCUCUCAACAUGGAUUCAGUACAAGAAUGACAAAGACGAAACCCAGUUCAACACCUCCUAGACCAUUUAUCUGUAAGUAUGGUUAUGUAUGGAAACUAGUAAUAUUGUCUUGCUCUGUCCCAUACUUUCUAGGUUGCUGAUAAUGAGACUCCCAUAAUUUUCAAUAGAUGAGGUUCAAGUUGGAUAGCCAAGAUUAUGCAACCAGACAAGCUUGCACCCAUGUUUUCAAGUCUGCUCUACGACAGUAUCGGUAUAACUUGAGGAAAACUCAAUUUUAAGGCAAGGCUAAUAGUGAACUUACCCAAACAUCUCCAGUGGAAAAUAUAUCGGAUGAAGACUUGAGAGGCCUCGUUAAUCACUGCUCUGAUCCGAAGUAUCAGGUACAUUAUAUAUAUAUAUAUAUAUAUAUAUAUAUAUAUAUAUAUGAUCAGAUCACAUAUUGAAGUUCUAUUUACGCAUGUGCACACAAAUCUAUUUUCUUGUAGGGGAACUGUUCAAAGAACAAGGCCAACCGUACAAAAGUGAAAUUCUAACAGACGACAGGAACUCGUAGCUAUAUUGCACACUGCGAGGCUCUUGUAAUUAGCUGUUGUUUCACUCUUUUCACUGUACCAUAUUAUCAGAUCUAUAUUGACUUAUUCCAAAUGCAGAGGAAAGCCCGCAAGGACCAAAAAGUACCUGAACCAAAUGCUGUGGAAAUCUUCAAGGACUGUGACACCAGCAAGAAGAAGGGCAUGACUACACCAGUCAAAGUCGCUGUUGUAAGUCCUUCAUCCCCAUGCCUUUUACCUACUACUUACUCUGUCUUGUGCGUUGAACUACAUGGUUUGCAGCCAAAUGUCUGUUACUCUUGUCAAUUUUAUACACAAUUGCCUUAGCGUAUCAUUGCACCUUACAAGGUUUAAAAGAGAGGAGUGAUGUUCCUUUGACCUUGACCUAUAAUCUAGUUCCGUGCUGGACUUGCCCACACAACGUUACAAUUUCAUGUUUGUCUGUUCUCAGCUGUUUUGUGAUAUGAAUGAUGUCAUACUAUGCUUACCGUGUUGUAAACUUCGUCUCUUUAUCCUUAGCCCUCAAUAUUAUGUGAAGAAAUAGACAAUACAUUAGUGAUGGUACAAGGUCAUAUGUUUGGAACAUGGUUUUAUUAUGUACUUUGCAAUAAAAUACAACUAAUAUUUUACAUGGGUUCACUAGAAUAAGUUCUAUAUAUAGACCAAAGAUAUUUUGUUUGGUUUUGCUGCCUCCUUAAUAUCUUCUGUUCUGGUACUACUAAUGUAAAAACUCAACUUUUCAGCAAGCUAUGGAAAAAAUGGUGGAACCGCCACCUUUUGAAGGUGGUGAGGCAACUAUAACCGCAAUGUCAGCUCUUGUUGCAGUGGGUCAGUACCUGUCCACUAACAGUGCCAAAAGCACGUUCCUACGCAAUACUGGGUUGGUUGUUAAGGCAAUCUCGUCCAAACUACCUCAUGAUCAAGAUAUGCAUGUCACAUCCCUAGUUCUGGUAUGCUCUAGGCUAGCCCUUCAUGUGUGCAUCAUGUUUAAAAUUCUCAGAAACUUGAAAUGGGGAUGUCCAAACCCUAGUACCAAAUGGAAUUCAAUUAGGUUCAACCUAAAAAUAAUUUCAGUGAAUCCAAAUGGCUUUCAAAAAUGUUCAUCAUUUCUGGAUAAUGCUAGAAACCAUAACCAGUGGUGUUGCACAUUUUUCCAUGACAUAUUUGGUCACUGAAUUAAAUCAUACAGUAUUUGUAAUUGGGCAUUUAAAUGGUAUAUAUUAUUUUAAGUGCUCAAUUAAUUCUGAACUUAAGUGUGGGCUGUUAGGAGUAAUCCCAACAGAGCCCACAAUUAUUUGCAGGAUUUUUGGAAACGUUUUACCAUUUUUAAUAAAGCCCAAUAUUUACAGAAAAAUAGAAAAUAGGAAAUAAAACAGAGCAACCUUACCUGGACUUACCUUGAGGCUCACCAGGGAUACCAGCCCACCUGUGCGGCCCGUUACUGUGCAGCCCAGCUGCCAGUCAUCUUCCUCCCCCUCGCCCCGAAGCAGCUGCAUGCUGGACGCACGCGCGUCAACGCCGGCCACCUCCUCCUUCGCGCUGGAGGCCUCUCCUUCGUCCUAAUCCGCGUCUGGCGACGCCACGCACCCUUCUGGACCUCUCUCACUCUCUCCCGUGCUUCUCCCCUCCUCUGCUCUCUUUCCCUCUCGCGCCCGAGCGCAACCACCGCCGCCGCUCGUAGUUGCCGCGGCCACCGCUUCCUCCUUGCCCGUCUGGCGUGCCCGAGAGCUCCACCUCCACCUUCUACGCCUCCUCGACGAGCCAAGCAACCGGGGACGCGCCGUAUCGCCGCCAUCAACAUCAUCUUCAACCUCGGGCACCGCCGAUCGCCGUUGCCGAUACGUCGUCCACAACCCGUCCCCGAGCCCAAUGAGACCGCCGACGAACUCGCUGUGAGCUCCACUCCGUUUCCUCUCCUUCGUUUUGCUCGUUCCCGUGCCGUAGCACCCUCGCCCACAUUCCCGAGCACCGCCGUCCACCAUGGCUGCGUAGCUCUCCUGACCCGAGCCCCUCUGCUCGAACCCGUGGCACCAGCGUGCUUCUGGUGGCCCGCGGAUGCCACCUAGCCCAUCAGCUUCUCCCCUAGUGCACCGCAGCCUCGUCCCCGAGUGCGCCCAAACUCUGGUCGCCUCCUCGCUCGCCACCGCCGACGCCACAGCCCAUCACAGCUCCUCUCGCUUGCCCCUAUGGAUGCGCGCGAACUCGACGAACCCGUAGAAACAAACGGCGAGGCAAAUGGUUGCCCGUAGCUCGAUUCCGAUGAACUUCGUCGUCGGAUGUGCUCGCCGGCGCCCAACUCCGGUGAGGUGACAUGGCGUCAUUAGCCUGAAGCUAAUUACCACGUUAAUCUCGCCCUCUGUCACUGACAGACCGGCCCCACCACCCUAAUUAACCAUGGAGUAAACCCUAUUUAGUUUAAGUUAAUCAGAGUGGCCCCACGCGUCGGCGUUGACCUCGCUGACGUCUCUGUUGACCGAGCCCACCUGUCAGCGUCACUAACCAGCCCCAAUCACUGACCAGUGGACCCCACUGGUCAGGUUUGACCUGGAGGCGCCUAGUUGACCUGCUGACAUCAGGGUGAUGUCAUGCUGACGCAAUAUGUAUUUUAUGGAUUUAUUUUAUUCCAGGAAAUUCCAGAAAAUGCCCUAAACUUCUAAAAAAUCAUAUAAAAAUAAUCGUAGCUCAGAAUGAAAUAAGUUAUAUAUGAAAAAUGAUCAGAAAAAUCCAAUUUAUCCAUCUGUACUGGUUUCAUGCAUGUUUAAACAACUUAACAUUGCUGUUUACAUCAAAACAUGAUAAUGCACUACUUAAUUUCAUAAUUUGAAUUUGGGAUUGAACCUUUGGUUCAAAAUGACCCAAACACAUCUGGUUGUAGUUGCAUUAGGCCAAAACACUCAUAUUGCCAUGUCAUGAUCAUGCAUCAUAUUGUGCAUUGCAUUGAUUGUGUUUCCUUCUCUGUUGUCGGUAUUUGUCCCCUCUCGAUAGACAUGAUACCCACGAUGAGUUCGAUGACACCAAUGAAGAAUUAUACUAUCUUCAGAAGAGCCAGGCAAGCAAAACCCCCUUGUUCAUUCCGAUACAAUCCCACUCUCUCGCUCCUGCUCUAUUUUACUGCAUUAGGACAACAACGAUACAACUGUUACUUGUUGCGGUAGUUGAACCCCUUUAUCCUCUGCAUGACCUGUCAUUGCCACAGUAAAUAGAUGAAACCCACUAGCAUGAGUAGGAGUUGUUUGAGCCCUGAUGUGCCUACUCAUUCAUGCUUGUUUGUCGUGCCUGCUAUUGCUUAGAGUUGUGUCAGGUCUGAUUCAUCGGGGAUGAAUCGGAGGUGUGUGAACAUGUCCUACUGUUGAGAGCUAAGUGUGUGAACACGAUUUGGUAAAGGUAGCGGUGAGAGGCCAUGUAGGAGUACAUGGUGGGUUGUCUCAUUGCAGCCGUCCUCAGGAACUGAGUUCUAUGUUUGUGAUCCAUGAAAAGUUACUACCACAUAUUGGGUUCUGGUAACUCGACCCCUCUCGGCUUCUUAAUCACCCUUGUUCUCUGUCCAGGAGUUGCAACUAGUUUCUGGUGUUUGUAGGUAGUGUUAGUAGUCUACCAGGUGGCACCCGGUACAGGUGGGCUUGGGACAGACUAGGCACCGUGGCACGGUGUACCAAGCGUAGAUCUACCCGUCGAGGUGGGCUUGGGAACCCUGCUCACAUCGUUUGGGGCCGUGAGCGACACCCCGGCCAGAUCUCCUUGCGGAUGGAACCCGAAUAGGCGAUAAACCUGGACGAGAGACUUGCGUGGUUAGUCAGGUCGUGGCCGACUCCCUCGCCCGGCUUCCGCUUGAAGGUUGCCGAGGUACAUGACAUGUACAUGGCGAUAAGUGGCGAGAGCGUGUGUGAAGAAGUACACCCCUGCAGGGUUAUCAUUAUCUAUUCGAAUAGCCGGAUUCCUCGGAUAUGGAAACUUGGACCCCUUGCAUAGUUCAUAGACAAGUGAAAGUGGAUACCCUAAAAUGCGCAAGAUAAGCGUGAGUGCUAUGGAUGGCGUUCUCGUAGGGAGACAGGAGCAGAUCCAUAGUGGUGUAUUGAUAUGGUGAAUAUGUGGACUCGUGUGUGCCACCUCAAAAGAGUUACUUGCAGUUGUAGUUCAGGAUAGCCACCGAGUCAAAGCUGGCUUGCUGCAGUUAAACCCCACCAUCCCCUUGUUGAUAAUGAUGCAUAUGUAGAUAGUUCUGAUGUAGGUCUUGCUGGGUACAUUUGUACUCACAUUUGCCUAUUUUACGUUUUUGCAGAGAGACUUCAGUCUCGCUAGUAGUUCCGCAUGGACUUCGACAUUUAGCUUGUUACCUCAGCUACGAUCUUGUGCCCUCGACAGGAUCUAGUGGAUAGUCAGGCUUCUCAGCCUUGUUCUUUUCUAGAUGUCUGUACUCAGACAUGUUAAGCUUCCGCAUGUGCUUUGACUUGUAUGCUAUGAUUGUUGGGUCAUGAGACCCAUGUUUGUAAUAUCUCGCUCCUCGGAGCCUAUUGAAUAAAAUACUUGAGUUGUAGAGUCAUGUUGUGAUGUCAUGUUGUAUUUGCACAUAUCGAGCAUAUUGUGUGUAUGUUAUUGAAAUGCUUGGUAUGUGUGGGAUCUGACUAUCUAGUUGUUUAUCCUUAGUAGCCUCUCUUACCGGGAAAUGUCUCCUAGUGCUUCCACUGAGCCGUGGUAGCUUGCUACUGCUCCGGAACAUUUAGGCUGGCCGGCAUAUGUCCUUCUUCGUUCCUGUGUCUGUCCCUUCAGGGAAAUGUCACGCGAUGAAUACCGGAGUCAUGUUAGCCCGCUAUAGCCCGGUUUACCGGAGUCCUCCUAGCCCAGUGCUACAGCCUGGAUUCACUCGCUAAUGACCGACACGUUCGAUGCUGGGUCAUGGAUGCCUGUCCCUGUAAGUUUGUGCCACUUUGGGUUUACGACUAGCCAUGUCAGCCCGGGCUCCUUAUCAUAUGGAUGCUAGCGACACUAUCAUAUACGUGUGCCAAAAGGCACAAACAGUCCCGGGCAAAGGUAAGGCGACACCCGUGGGAAUACCGUGCGUGAGGCCGCAAAGUGAUCUGAGGUGUUACAUGCUAGAUCGAUGUGGCAUUGAGUCGGGGUCCUGACAAUGCAAGCUCAAAACAAUGUUGUAUCUAUGCUCGAGACACAAGUCCAUUCCCUAACAGAGACCCUUUGUGAAACAAGGAGAGACAUUGUUUGAUGUCGUCAAGAUAUGCAUGGUUUUGAAACCAGACUAUCAGACAUUUGCUAUGUUGUUCAGGAGCCUAGGAGAAAUGAAGGCGAUGGUUAUGGUGCUCCAUCGGACAAUACAACAUGAAAAUGUAACAGUGAGGUUAAAUGAAUUGAGCUUCUGAACUUCUGGUGGUGCAUUUAUCUACUAGACUAUUAACUUUUAUGCCAACCUUCCUUUUGUUUUAUAGUUGUAAUUUGUUUUGGUGCGAUACAAAUUUAUUUAUUAACAUGCAGCCACCGGCUAAAGAAAACAGCAAGCCAUUUUUGUAUAGUGUAGGGUGUUCCCUAUAUUUGCACUGGUGGUGAUCUUUGAUGCCGAGUGGAUGUAAUCUGUGCAAUCGCCUUAAUUGCCUAGCAUUAGUUUCGGGCUUAUUUAUUUCCAAGUCUUCUUUUCCCUUGUUUGCUAGUGGCCGUUGUCGGUGGCAAAAACCGAUGGAUCUCGGGUAGGGGGGUCCCGAACUGUGCGUCUAAGGCUAAUGGUAACAAGAGGCGGGGGACACAAUGUUUACCCAGGUUUGGGCCCUCUCUAUGGAGGUAAUACCCUACUUCCUGCUUGAUUGAUCUUGAUUAUAUGAGUAUUACAAGAGUUGAUCUACCACGAGAUCAUAGAGGCUAAACCCUAGAAGCUAGCCUAUGAUUAUGAUUGUUCUUGUCCUAGGGACUAUACCCUCCGGUUUAUAUAGACACAGGAGGGGGCUAGGGUUACAUAGUGUCGGUUACAGAGAAGGAAAUCUGCAUAUCCGUAUCGCCAAGCUUGCCUUCCACGCAAAGGAGAGUCCCACCCGAACACGGGAUGAAGUCUUCAAUCUUGUAUCUACAUAGUCCAACAGUCCGGCACAAGUACAUAGUCCGGCUAUUCGAGGACCCCUUAAUCCAGGACUCCAUCAGCCGCAACAACCAUGGGCCAUAUACGGAACAUGGUAACCUCGACCCUGCUACGGGCCGUAGGAUCCAUGAGUCUCCUACGGGUCGUUGAUAAAUGGACCUCCAACAGGGCCAUAGAAUCGGUGGGCCUCGGGCCGUCGGAUAAAUGGGUCUACAUGGGCCAUAAACGGGCGUAAUUGGUAUCAGCCCAGCACGGUAACGGGCCGUUAAAAGGCUGGAGAACAGCAAAGGCUUAAUUCUGUCACAGGCAUAAUGGGUCAUUAAUGGGCCGGAAUAUAGGACAGGCUAGAAACGGCGCAACGGGUUAACAUGCCAGAAAUGGGCUGACUCUUGCCACUGGCCAAAUUUGGCCCAUUAGGGGAACAUGCCAGUAAUGGGCCGAAAGUAAUCGAGGGCCGAAAAGGAGCCCAAGAACGUAUUGGCCAUCAAUAAGCCGAAAGCUAACAUGGGCUGGAAACGGGCCAUGUGAAUCACGGGUCGUUAACGGGUACAAAGAAUUUAAUGUUCAUAUGGGCUAGAGUCACCGUGGGCCUCUAAAGGGCCUAAAGAUACGAAGGCCUCAAAUGGGCCGAAAGACGUCGUGGGCCAUACAUGGGUCGAAAGUGAAACGGGCUAGUGUUAUAUUCGACGGCCCACGUGACGUUGUUGGGCCGAUUUCCGUUAGGCCCUAAUGGGUCGUGAGUUACCGGCUCGUAAAAUGGGCUAUUUGCAAAGAGACCGUUAACAUGCUUUUCAUGGGCCAGCCCGCUAACUUUUGACCAAGUCAAAUGGGCCGGCUUUGUAAGCUAAAUGGGCCAGUGGUGGGUUGUCGCACGUGUCGACAUAUCAUAGGCGCGUAUCUAACACACUAACGAGCCGACACGUGUUUCAUCCGGCCAAUCAGAAUUUUACACAUGGAAAUUUCCCAAUUGUCUGGGCUGUUAACGGGUUAUCGGAUCCAAAACCCAACCCGAUAGCUUAACGGCAUUCCUUUAUGGUGGAUGCCAUGUGUCGGUCACCCUUGACAAAAGCACUUCAGUGACGCGCGAUUUAUCGUCAUGGAAGUGGAUACUUCCGUGAUGAUAAUUUUGGUAAUGUUAUGGAACACUUCUAUGACAGCAGAGGUAUGACUAUCUUGAUUCAGUCAUAAAAUCAUCAUGGAUGUACAUGCAUGACAAAAAAUGCGACCUACUGUGACAAACACGUAUCAUCACGGAAGUGUAUUUUUUGUAGUGUCGCGUGUGUCGUACGGACACUAGCACCCACCCCCUCCCCCCAAAAAAGAACAAUGACAAAAAGAGUUCGCGCUUCCAUGUUUCGGACUAGAAUAUCUGGCGACCCCUGUUUCAGCCCUGCAAAAUCUCCCUUCUCCCCCAUCCCCUUCCGCGCCCAGAGCUCUCAAAUCCCUAAUUCACCGCCAACCCAAGCAAAAUUUGAAUCACCCUUCAUCUUGUCUCUUUCCCCACCUCUGUGCCGGACGACGAAGACAAUGGUCGCGCUUCACCACUACACCGGAGCUACCUCAUCUACCCCCUCGUCCACCGCACUGGGUGGUCCACCCACAACAUUGGCCGCUACAGCCGAGGUGCCUCAUAGAAACUGACUUCCACCACAUCAGGUGUGCUUUACCGACGCCGUCUCCCACCUCAUUGGGGCUACUUUACCGAGAACAUCAUUGCACCUCCACCCCCUGACACCGUUGGUGGUUCACCAACGGCCUCGUCCACAGCAUCAUAGUGCUCCAUUGCUGCUCGAGAUCUGCAUCCAUACGCGGCCAGCUAACACCAGCGCAUCACCCUCAACGGCUCUUAAGUGACCCGCACUCUAGCUAGGCGAGCAUGCCCAAACACCGGCCUGGACUAGGUAUCCACAUAUCACUCCCUUGAGCACUAUUCCAACAAUGUUUGCAUAUCCUUUUACUGCUCUCUUAGCUUACACGCAUAUGCAACUCUAACUUUAACUCUUAUUUCUUCUGGAGAUUUCAUCUGAAACAAGCAAAACCAUUUUUAGCGAAGCAUGACGGCGCUAUGGUACGUCCAUUUUGCAUCGUGCUUUUAUACCGAUAUUUAUUGCAUUAUGGGUUGUUAUUACACGUUAUGUGACAAUACUUAUGCCUAUUCUCCCUUAUUUACAAGGUUUACAUGAAGAGGGAGAGUGCCGGCAGCUGGAGUUCUGGGCUGGAAAAGGACCAAAUAUUAGAGACCUAUUCUGCACAACUCCAAAAGUCCUGAAACUCCACGGAAGCUAUUUUUGGAAUUAAUAAAAAAAUACUGAGCGAAGAAAGUACCAGAGGUGGGCCACCCACCGUCCACGAGGGUAGGGGGCACGCCCUAACCCCCUGGGCGUGCCCCCUGCCUCGUGGGCCCCCUGGUAGACCUUCGGCGGCCAUCUUAUGUUAUAUGAAGUCUUUUACCCUGAAAAAAAUCAUAAGAAAGCUUUCGGGACGAAACACCGCCGCCACGAGGCGGAACCUUGGCGGAACCAAUCUAGGGCUCUGGCGGAGCUAUUCUGCUGGGGAAACAUCCCUUCGGGAGGGGGAAAUCAUCACCGUCGAUCCUCUCAUCGGGAGGGGGUUAAUCUCCAUCAACAUCUUCACCAGCACCAUCUCCUCUCAAACCCUAGUUCAUCUCUUGUAUCCGAUCUUUGUCCCAAAUCCUCAGAUUGGUACCUGUGGGUUGCUAGUAGUGUUGAUUAGUCCUUGUAGUUGAUGCUAGUUGGUUUAUUUGGUGGAAGACCAUAUGUUCAGAUCCUUUAUGCAUAUUAAUACCCUUUGAUUAUGAACAUGAAUAUGAUUUGUGAGUAGUUGCGUUUGUUCCUAAGGACAUGGGGGAAGUCUUGCUAUAAGUAGUCAAGUGAAUUUGGUAUUCGUUCGAUAUUUUGAUGAGAUGUAUGUUGUCUUGCCUCUAGUGGUGUUAUGUGAAUGUCGACUACAUGACACUUCACCAUCGUUUGUGCCUAGAGGAAGGCAUUGGGAAGUAAUAAGUAGAUCAUGGGUUGGUAGAGUGACAGAAGCUUAAACCCUAGUUUAUGCGUUGCUUCGUAAGGGGCUGAUUUGGAUCCAUAUGUUUCAUUCUAUGGUUAGGUUUACCUUAAUACUUAUUUUGUAGUUGCGAAUGCUUGCAAUAGGGAUUAAUCAUAAGUGGGAUGCUUGUCCAAGCAAGUGAAGUACCCAAGCACUGGUCCACCCACAUAUCAAAUUAUCAAAGUAAUGAACGCGAAUCAUAUGAGUGUGAUGAAAACUAGCUUGGUGAUAAUUCCCAUGUGUCCUCGAGAGCGUUUUCCUUCGUAUAAGAAUUUGUCCAGGCUUGUCCUUUGCUACAAAAAGGAUUGGGCCACCUUGCUGCACCUUAUUUACUUUCAUUACUUGUUACCCGUUACGAAUUACCUUAUCACAAAACUAUCUGUUACCGAUAAUUUCAGUGCUUGAAGAGAAUACCUUACUGAAAACCGCUUGUCAUUUCCUUCUGCUCCUCGUUGGUUCGACACUCUUACUUAUCAAAAGGAGCAUGGUAGAUCCCCUACACUUGUGGGUCAUCAAGACUCUUUUCUGGCGCCGUUGCCGGGGAGUGAAGCACCUUUGGUAAGUGGAACUUGGUAAGGAAACUUUUAUAUAGUGUGCUGAAAUUUACUGUCACUUGUUACUAUGGAAAGUAAUCCUUUGAGGGGCUUGUUGGGGUAUCUUCACCCCGACCAGUAGAGCAAAGAGUUGCUCCUCAACCUACCGGACCUACUGAAAAUGUUUACUUUGAAAUUCCUUUGGGUAUGAUAGAGAAACUGCUAGCUAAUCCUUUUACAGGAGAUGUAACAUUGCAUCCCGAUUUGCACCUAAUCUAUGUGGAUGAAGUUUGUGGAUUAUUUAAGCUUGCAGGUAUGCCCGAGGAUGUUAUAAAGAAGAAGGUCUUCCCUUUAUCUUUGAAUGGAGAGGCAUUGACAUGGUUUAGGCUAUGUGAUGAUAUGGGAUCAUGGAACUACAAUCGGUUGAAAUUGGAAUUUCAUUAGAAGUUUUAUCCUAUGCAUCUUGUUCAUCGUGAUCGUAAUUAUAUAUAUAAUUUUUGGCCUUGCUAAGGAGAAAGCAUCGCUCAAGCUUGGGGGAGGCUUAAGUCAAUGUUAUAUUCAUGCCCCAAUCAUGAGCUCUCAAGAGAAAUGAUUAUUCGAAAUUUUUAUGCUCGGCUUUCUCUCAACAAUCGCUCCAUGCUCGAUACUUCUUGUACUGGUUCUUUUAUGUUGAAGACUAUUGAAUUCAGAUGGGAUUUAUUGGAAAGAAUUAAAUGCAACUCUGAAGAUUGGGAUCUCGACGAAAGUAAGGAGUCAGGUAUAACACCUAAGUUUGAUUGUGUUAAAUCUUUUAUGGAUACCGAUGCUCUUCGUGGAUUUAGCACUAAAUAUGGACUUGACACUGAGAUAGUAGCUUCUUUCUGCGAAUCAUUUGCUACUCAUGUUGACCUCCCUAAUGAGAAGUGGUUUAAAUAUAAUCCUCCCGUUGAAGUAAAAGUAGUUGCACCUAUUAAAGUUGAAGAAAAGACUAUCACUUAUAAUGAUCCUAUUGUUCCUACUACUUAUAUUGAGAAACCACCUUCCCUUGUUAGGAUAAGGAGUGCUAAAGCUUCAACUGUGGUUCGUAAGAGUAAUACUAGAACACCUACGCCCCCUAAGCAAAUUAAAGUUGAACCUAGUAUUGCUAUGGUUAUAGAUCUCUUGGCUGAUAAUGUUGAUGGGCAUGUUAUUUACUUCUGUGAUGAAGCUGCUAGAAUUGCUAGACCAGAUACUAAGAAUAAACAUAGACUUGUUGUAGGCAUGCAUGUUAUUUCUGUUAAAAUAGGAGAUCAUUGUUAUCAUGGCUUAUGUGAUAUGGAUGCUAGUGCAAGUGCAAUACCUCAUUCCAUAUACAAAGAAAUUAUGCAUGAUAUUGCACCUGCUGAGAUAGAAGAAAUUGGUCUUACAACUAAACUUGCCAAUAGAGAUAAUAUUUCACCAGUUGGGAUUGUUAGAGAUGUCGAAGUCUUGUGUGGGAAAGUUAAAUAUCCUGCUGAUUUUCUUGUUCUUGGUUCCCCACAAGAUAGCUUUUGUCCCAUCAUAUUUGGUAGACCCUUCUUGAAUACUGUUAAUGCUAAGAUAGAUUGCGAAAAGGAUAUUGUUACAAUUGGGUUAGGGGAUAUGUCUCAUGAGUUUAAUUUUGCUAAAUUUCAUAGACAACCCCAUGAUAAAGAAUUGCCUAGUAAGGAUGAAAUUAUUGGUCUUGCUUCUAUUGCCGUGCCUCCUAAUGAUCCUUUAGAACAAUAUUUGCUAGACCAUGAAAAUGAUAUGUUUAUGAAUGAAAGAAGGGAGAUAGAUGAAGUAUUCCUUCAACAGGGUCCUAUUCUGAAACACAACUUGCCUGUUGAAAUCCUAGGGGAUCCUCCUCCACCCAAGGUUGAUCCCGUGUUUGAGCUUAAACCACUACCAGAUACUCUUAAAUAUUCUUAUCUUGAUGAAAAGAAGAUAUAUCCUGUUAUUAUUAGUGCUAACCUUUCAGAGCAGGAAGAGGAAAAAUUAUGGAAAACUCUAAAGAAGCAACGUGCUGCUAUUGGAUAUACUCUUGAUGAUCUUAAGGGAAUUAGUCCCACUCUAUGCCAACACAAAAUAAAAUUGGAGAAAGACGCCAAACCAAUUAUUGAUCACCAACGACAAUUAAAUCCUAAAAUGAAAGAAGUGGUAAGAAAAGAAAUACUAAAGCUCCUGGAGGCAGGUAUAAUUUAUCCCAUUGCUGAUAGUCAGUGGGUAAGUCCUGUCCAUUGUGUCCCUAAGAAAGGAGGUAUUACUAUCGUUCCUAAUGAUAAAGAUGGAUUGAUCCAGCAAAGAAUUGUUACAGGUUAUAGAAUGGUAAUUGAUUUCCGCAAAUUAAAUAAAGCUACUAAAAAGGAUCAUUACCCUUUGCCUUUUAUUGAUCAAAUGCUAGAAAGAUUAUCCAAACAUACACAUUUUUGCUUUCUAGAUGGUUACUCUGGUUUCUCUCAAAUACUUGUGUCAAAAGAGGAUCAAGAAAAGACCACUUUUACUUGCCCUUUCGGUACUUUUGCUUAUAGACGUAUGCCUUUUGGUUUAUGUAAUGCACCUGCUACCUUUCAAAGAUGCAUGAUGGCUAUAUUCUCUGAUUUUUGUGAAAAGAUUGUUGUGGUUUUCAUGGAUGAUUUCUCCGUUUAUGGAUCUUCUUUUGAUGAUUACUUGAGAAACCUUGAUCGAGUUUUGCAGAGAUGUGAAGAAACUAGUCUUGUCUUGAAUUAGGAGAAGUGCCACUUUAUGGUUAAUGAAGACAUUGUCUUGGGGCAUAAAUUUUUUGAAAGAAGUAUUGAAGUUGAUAAAGCUAAAGUUGAUGCUAUUGAAAAGAUGUCGUGUCCUAAAGACAUUAAAGGUAUAAGAAGUUUCCUUGGUCGUGCCGGUUUUUAUAGGAGGUUCAUUAAGGACUUCUCUAAAAUCUCCAGGCCUCUGAAUAAUCUCUUACAAACAGAUAUUCCUUUUGUCUUCGAUGAUGAUUGUGUAGAAGCAUUCGAAAUACUUAAGAAAGCUUUGAUUUCUGCACCUAUUGUUCAGCCACCUGAUUGGAAUUUACCCUUUGAAAUUAUGUGUGAUGCUAGUGAUUAUGUUGUAGGUGUUGUUCUAGGACAAAGAGUUGAUAAGAAACUAAAUGUUAUUCAAUAUGCUAGUAAAACUCUAGACAGUUCCCGGAGAAAUUAUGCUACUACUGAAAAACAAUUUUUAGCGGUUGUAUUUGCCUGUGAUAAGUUCAGACCUUAUAUUGUUGAUUCUAAAGUUUGUUCACACUCAUCAUGCCGCUAUUAAAUGUCUUAUGGAAAAUAAAGAUGCAAAACCUAGACUCAUUAGAUGGGUUCUCUUGCUACAAGAAUUUGAUUUACAUAUUAUUGAUAGAAAGGGAGCUGAGAACCCCAUUGCAGACAACUUGUCUAGGCUAGAGAAUAUUCUUGAUGACCCACUGCCUAUGGAUGAUAGCUUCCCUGAUGAACAAUUAGCAGUCUUAAAUGCUUCUCGUACUGCUCCAUGGUAUGCCGAUUAUGCUAAUUACAUUGUUGCUAAAUUUAUACCACCUAGUUUCACAUACCAGCAAAAGAAAAAGUUUUUCUAUGAUUUAAGACAUUACUUCUGGGAUGACCCACACCUUUAUAAAGAGGGAGUAGAUGGUGUUAUUAGACGUUGUGUACCUGAGCAUGAACAGGAACAUAUCCGACGAAAGUGUCACUCUGAGGCUUAUGGAGGACACCACGCUGGAGAUAGAACUGCACAUAAGGUAUUGCAAUCCGGUUUUUAUUGGCCUACUCUCUUCAAGGAUGCCCGUAAGUUUUUCUUGUCUUGUGAUGAAUGUCAAAGAAUUAGUAAUAUUAGUGGACGUCAAGAAAUGCCUAUGAAUUAUUCUCUUGUUAUUGAACCAUUUGAUAUUUGGGGCUUUGAUUAUAUGGGACCGUUUCCUUCCUCUAAUGGGUAUACACAUAUUUUAGUUGCUGUUGAUUACAUUACUAAGUGGGUAGAAGCUAUUCCAACUAGUAGUGCUGAUUAUAAGACCUCUAUUAAGAUGCUUAAAGAAGUUUUUUUCCGAGGUUUGGAGUCCCUAGAUAUUUAAUGACUGAUGGUGGUUCACAUUUUAUUCAUGGUGCUUUUCGUAAAAUGCUUUCUAAGUAUGAUGUUAAUCAUAGAAUUGCAUCUCCAUAUCACCCACAGUCUAGUGGCCAAGUAGAACUGACUAAUAGAGAACUCAAAUUAAUUUUGCAAAAGACUGUUAAUAGAUCUAGAAAGAUGCAUUAUGGGCUUAUAGAACUGCAUAUAAAAAUCCUAUGGGUAUGGCUCCAUAUAAAACGGUUUAUGGAAACGCAUGUCACUUACCUCUUGAACUAGAACAUAAGGCAUAUUGGGCCAUUAAAGAGCUCAAUUAUGAUUUUAAACUUGCCGGUGAGAAGAGGUUAUUUGACAUUAGCUCACUUGAUGAAUGGCUAAUAUAGGUGAUUAUGUGUUGCUUUUCAACUCUCGUUUAAGAUUUUUUGCAGGAAAGCUCCUCUCUAAAUGGGAAGGUCCUUACAUUAUCGAGGAGGUCUAUCAUUCCGGUGCCAUAAAAAUCAACAACUUCGAAGGCACAAAUCCGAAGGUGGGGAACGGUCAAAGGAUCAAACAUUAUAUCUCAGGUAAUCCAAGAAAUGUUGAAACUAAUGUUAUUGAAACCGUGACCCCGGAGGAAUACAUAAGGGACACUUUCCAGAACAUUUCAGACUCCGAAAAGGAAUAGGUAUGUGGUACGGUAAGUAAACCGACUCCAAAACAAUUUUAAUGGCAAUUUUUCUCCGUUUUGGAAUAUUAAAGAAAAUAGGAAAAUAAGAAGUAGUCCGGGAAGGACACGAGGCAUCCACGAGGUUGGAGGGCACGCCCUACCCCCCUGGGUGCGCCCCCUGUCUUCUGGGCACCUCGUGUGCCCUCCAGACUCCAUUUUCUUGCACGAUACUUCUUUUGGUCGGUAAAAAUUCAUUAUAUAAUCUUCCGAAGGUUUUGACCAACGUAUCACGCAAAUAUCCUCUGUCUUUGUUUCGAGCUGUUUUUUGUCAGAUUUGUCAAGGUCAGGCAUCAUGUCGUCACCCUCCUCCAACAAUGAAGGCAACGAUGCUUGGCUAAUGAAUAUGGAGCUGAAGAGAGAAGAACCCGGGGAGAUAAAUAAGGAUGAGGGAUCAAGAAGGUCAUGGAGGAUCAAGCUCCGGCGGCAGAAGAAGAAGACAUCCUUCAACCUCAGCACAACCUCUUUACCCCAACUGAGAUUGAAGCUUUCAAGAUGAUGGAGUUAGCUCGCAUACAAAACAAGUAUCUCACACGUGAAAAUAUUUUGUUGAAGGAGCAUAUCGCCGCACUCAAGAGCAUUAUCCGCAAACUGGAGGAGCUCCUACGCUCGAUGUGCGACUAUCCAUCAUUACCACCACCUUCAUCACCUCCGAAAAAGGAGACAUAAUCACAUGAGUAUGGGCACUCCCCUUGGUAACUGACAAGCUUGGGGGAGGUGCCCCAGUAUCAUAUCACCAUCACACUCCUAUCUUUACCGUUUUUCUUAGUUCGAUCCUUUUAGUAAUAUCUUCAUCUAGUAGAAUAAAGUUUUGGUAUGAUUUAGUUUUGAGUUUUUCUUUUAUGAUUCCUCUAUGUAAUCGAGUCCAUGAGCUAUAUAUAAUAAAGAUUAGUGUUGAGUCAAGGGCUUGAUCAUCUCACUUUGAUCUUGAGGGAAUAAAAGAAAAAGAAAGAAUAAAAAGAAAUAAAAAGAUCAUAUUGAUCUUAUGGAGAGUAAUGACUUCACAUAUAAAGAGUAUGAUGAAUAAAAGUUGUUGAGAGUUGGCAAACAUAGUUUUGGUCAUCGUUGCAAUUAAUAGGAAGUAAUAAAGAAAGAGAGGUUUUCACAUAUAAAUAUACUAUCUUGGACAUCUUUCAUGAUUGUGAGCACUCAUUAAAAUAUGACAUGCUAAAGAGUUGAUGUUGGACAAGGAAGACAGCGUAAUGGGGUAUGUUUAUAUCCGAAAUAAAGUAUAUUGUCAUGGAUCAUCCAACAUGUUGAGCUUGCCUUUCCCCCUCAUGCUAGCCAAAUUCUUUGCACUAAGUAGAAAUACGACUUGUGCUUCCAAAUAUCCUUAAACCCAGUUUUGCCAUGAGAGUCCACCAUAUCUACCUAUGGAUUGAGUAAGAUCCUUCAAGUAUGUUGUCAUUGUUGUAUGCAAUAAAAAUUGCUCUCUAAAUAUGUAUGACUUAUUAGUGUGGAGAAAAUAAGCUUUAUACGAUCUUUUGAUAUGGAAGCAAUAAAAGCGACGGACUGCAUAAUAAAGGUCCAUAUCAUAAGUGGCAAUAUAAAGUGACGUUCUUUUGCAUUAAGAUUUCGUGCAUCCAACCAUAAAAGCACAUGACAACCUCUGCUUCCCUCUGCGAAGGGCCUAUCUUUUGUUCUUGUCUUAUACUUUAUGCAAGAGUCAUGGUGACCUUCACCUUUCCUUUUUACAUUUUAUCCUUUGGCAAGCACCUUGUGCUGGAAAGAUCCUAAUAUAUAUAUUCAAUUGGAUGUAAGUUAGCAUGAACUAUUAUUGUUGACAUUACCCUUGAGGUAAAAGGUUGGGAGGCAACAUUAUAAGCCCCUAUCUUUCUCUGUGUCCGAUUAAAACUCCACACCCAUAAGUAUUGCAUGAGUGUCAGCACUUAUGAAAGACUAAAUGAUAGUUGACUAUGUGGACUUGAUAAAAAGCUCUUAUAUUGACGCUUUCCGAUGUUAUGAUAAAUUGCAAUUGCUUCAGUGACUGAUAUCAUAGUUUGUUGGUUCUCAAUGAAAUCUCUAAUUCAUACUUGACAUUGUGGAUAGAUUAUUACUUGAGCAUAAGAAAUCAUAUGACAAUAUAUAUAUAUAUAUAUAUAUGUGUGUGUGUGUGUGUGUGUAUGUGUCUGUUGCUGUUAUAAGAAUGAUCAUGAUGUCGUCAUGUCCGUAUUUUAUUUUAUCGACACCUCUAUCUCUAAACAUGUGGACAUAUUUCUCGUUAUCGGCUUCCACUUGAGGACAAACGAGGUCUAAGCUUGGGGGAGUUGAUACGUCCAUUUUGCAUCAUGCUUUUAUAUUGAUAUUUAUUGCAUUAUGGGCUGUUAUUACACGUUAUAUCACAAUACUUAUGCCUAUUCUCCCUUAUUUUACAAGGUUUAGAUGAAGAGGGAGAGUGCCGGCAGCUGGAGUUCUGGGCUGGAAAAGGAGCAAAUAUUAAAGACCUAUUAUGCACAACUCCAAAAGUCCUGAAACUCCACAGAAGCUAUUUUUGGAAUUAAUAAAAAAUACUGAGCGAAGAAAGUACCAGAGGUGGGCGACCCACCGUCCACGAGGGUGGGGGCGCGCCCUACCCCCCUGGGCGUGCCCCCUGCCUCGUGGGCCCCCUGGCAGUCCUCCGGUGGCCAUCUUCUGCUAUAUGAAGUCUUUUACCCUGGAAAAAAAUCGUAAACAAGCUUUCGGGACGAAACACCGCCGCCACGAGGCGGAACCUUGGCGGAACCAAUCUAGGGCUCCGGUGGAGCUGUUCUCUCAGGGAAACAUCCCUCCAGGAGAGGGAAAUCAUCACCAUCGUCAUCACCAUCGAUCCUCUCACUGGGAGGGGAUCAAUCUCCAUCAACAUCUUCACCAGCACCAUCUCCUCUCAAACCCUAGUUCAUCUCUUCUAUCCAAUCUCUGUCCCAAAACCUCAUAUUGGUACCUGUGGGUUGCUUGUAGUGUUGAUUACUCCUUGUAGUUGAUGCUAGUUGGUUUAUAUGGUGGAAGAACAUAUGUUAAGAUCCUUUAUGCAUAUUAAUACCCCUCUGAUUAUGAACAUGAAUAUGAUUUGUGAGUAGUUACGUUUGUUCCUAAGGACAUGGGAGAAGUCUUGUUGUAAGUAGUCAUGUGAAUUUGGUACUCGUUUGAUAUUUUGAUGAGAUGUAUGUUGUCUUGCCUCUAGUGGUGUUAUGUGAACGUCGACUACAUGACACUUCACCAUUGUUUGGGCCUAGAGGAAGGCAUUAGGAAGUAAUAAGUAGAUGAUGGGUUGCUAGAGUGACAGAAGCUUAAACCCUAGUUUAUGCGUUGCUUCGUAAGGGGCUGAUUUGGAUCCAUAUGUUUCAUGCUAUGGUAAGGUUUACCUUAAUACUUCUUUUGUAGUUGCGGAUGCUUGCAAUAGGGGUUAAUCAUAAGUGGGAUGCUUGUCCAAGAAAGGGCAGUACCCAAGCACCGGUCCACCCACAUAUCAAAUUAUCAAAGUAACGAACAUGAAUCAUAUGAGCGUGAUGAAAACUAGCUUGACGAUAAUUCCCAUGUGUCCUCGGGAGCGUUUUCGUUCAUAUAAGAAUUUGUCCAGGCUUGUCCUUUGCUACAAAAAGGAUUGGUCCACCUUGCUGCACCUUAUUUACUUUCAUUACUUGUUACCCGUUACGAAUUACCUUAUCACAAAACUUUCUGGUACCGAUAAUUUCAGUGCUUGCAGAGAAUACCUUACUGAAAACCGCUUGUCAUUUCCUUCUGCUCCUCGUUGGGUUCUGCACUCUUACUUAUCAAAAGGACUACGAUAGAUCCCCUACACUUGUGGGUCAUCACGCUAUGAGAUCUGGUACACAUCCUGCACGCUGCUAUAACCUUGUAAGUACCUGUCCUCCGGUACAACAGCAAGGUCGAUUCCUCUCAUUUGAUCAACCAUUCACCGUGUCAAAAAUUCAGAGGAGGAUGCAAGGAGCACAAGGCAUGCACAUCCAAGCAAGUGGUAACAUGGACUUGUACAUGGAACAUCCCAAGUGCAAGCAGAGCUGUAGUGAGCAUGUACAACGAGCUAGCGUAAGUCCCUGCAUUUCAUUUAACUCGUACUGGCAUGCGUGUAUGAUUUGUGUGUGCAGUGGCGGAUCCACAAAUUCAAGUUACCAUGGGCGAAAAUUUAACUUAAAAGGACAUAACUCAGUCUAGGUCUUCUUCUGUUAGCGUUGAAGAGUUCAAGGAGGCCUCCAAUUGGGAGCUUGGGCGGCCUAAUUUUGAGAUAGCUCAUAUUGCAAUUGAGGUUGUUCUUGCCCAGGGUUCUGAAAAUACUUCUGCUCUGCCUAACAAUAGUGCACUUUAGGAGAUACAUUGUGGUCAAGGUUCUCUCAUUCACAGCUCUCUUGAUCAGACUACUUUUCCUGCCCCAACAAACUCUGACAUAGGUACUUCCUCAUCUCUAGCACGCAAGGGGAAGGCAGCUGUGCCUGAAUGCUCUAUUGAUCUACAUAGAAGUGAUCGCUCCAACAAAUAUGAUGGAUUCAAGGUUCAUCAGGUGUUUGACAGCAAGAUGAAAGUCUCUAAGGUCAAGCCCAGAAUUGUGCCGACAGUAAUCAGAAUCAGGGAGGCGACAGAAGAGCAAAUCCCACCGCCGAUGCCGGUCCAGGUGAUCCAGCAGAUAGGCACUAUUCUAUGUGCUAUCCGAGUAGAGGAACUCUCUGAAGAAACUCUGCUAGCUCCACAGGAGGAGGAACCAUCAGCCUCUACCUUGGCCCUUGGUUCAUUUCACUAUAUUUACUUUAUGAAUGUCUUUUUUGGUGAACUGGAAUGUCUUACGUUGGAACAUACGUGGUUUAAACUCAGGGGACAAACAACUAGCACUCUCGAAUGCUAUUACCUCAGGUGGUUGUGCAGUCGUAUAUCUGUAGGAAACCAGGAAAACAUCUUUUGAUUUGACAUUUAUUAAAUCUUGUUGUCCUCGUCGAUUUGAUCAGUUUGCUUUUGUGCCCUCUGGUGGAGCUUCUGGUGGCAUUGCUACAAUUUCGAAUUGCUCUAUUUUCUCCACCGAUGUUCUGUUCUCCAAAUAUUAUGCGCUUGUCACACGUUUUCGAUCCACUCAAUCGGCACAAAAUUGGACAUUGGUUAAUUUAUAUGGGCCGUGCCAAGGAGAACAGAGAGACCACUUUAUUCAAUGGUUAUGUGCUCUUGACAUUCCUUCUAAUGAAGAUUGGCUUUUCGUGGGCGAUUCCAAUUUCAUUCGUGUACCAGAGAACUGUAACAAACCAGGCAUGACUGACAUGAAUACGUUUAAUGAUUUCAUACGCUCUCAAAGCUUAAUUGACUUACCCAUCAAACACUACAGGAAUCAGGAAUUUUGCCGUCUACCAUGGCUGACGGCAAAGGCAUGCCUGGCGAACGGCAUAGGCCUUUGCCGUCAGCCAGCAGACGAUAACACAUCCAGCUGAACAAACUACAAAAAAAGGCUCUUUGUCAUCUGCUGGCAGACGGCAAACAUGCAAAGGCCUUUACCGUAUGCCAGCAGAUGGCAAAGGGCCUGGACGGCACACGUGGCAGCUUAGGUCCAUUAAGGGGUUAAUGACAUGCUUUGCCGUCUGCUGGUAGAUGGCAAAGAUGCAAAGGUCUUUGCCGUCUGCUAGCAGACACCAAAGCAACCAUAUAGGCCAGCCCAGUGCCCCCCCCCCAGGUUGCGCAGGUAGCUGCCACACGGCAGCUUAGCCGUUUGUUAGCUGAUGGCAAAGCUCUUUGUCGUCUGCCAGCAGAUCGCAAAGAGCUUGUAUAGCCCCUGUUUUUUCUAUUUUUUCUUAAAUUCAUUCAAUUUCACAGAAUUUCAUAGAUAUAUAUAUACACACACACAUUUGAAGAUAUAUAUACACAAGCAUACCAACACAUAUCCAACAACAAGUUUCCAACAACAUAUCCAAAAACAAGUUUCCAACAACAUAUGCAACAACAAGUUUCCAACAAUAACAAGUUUCCAACACAUAUCCAACAACAAAGUUCAUCGUACAAAAUCAAAACAAAAAGGAAGCACAAGGAGAAGAGUAGACUCCAUGAACGCAAGCUUCCUCAUCUAAAGCAAAUCUGUAAAUUGGGAAAGAAGAAAGUUAGAAGAAGAAGAAGAAGAAGACUAGCUAGAAGAAGAAGAAAACAAAGAAGAAGAAGAAGAAGAAGAAGAAGAAGAAUUUUUCUUCUAUUUCUUUUUCUCCUCUCCUCUUAUUUAUCUUCUCCUUCUAACUAAGGUAGGUAAAAAUGCCAUUUUUAGCUAAGCUAGGUAAAAAUGCUAAGUGUAGGUCAUUUUAGAGCUAAUCUAGGAAAAUAGGUCAUUUUGGAGCUUAGUAAGGUUAUUUUGUCAUUUUGGAGGAAAAUAAGCUAAGUCUAUGUCAUUUUGGGGCUAAACCAAGGUUAUCAUGCCACUUUUUUACCUAAGUAUGCUAAAUAUGUCAUGAAUGAAUCGAAGAAGCUAAGUAUAUGUCAUUUUUUAGCUAACCUAGGUAGUUAUGCCAUAUUUAGCUAACUAAGCACAUUUAUUCAUUUUGGAGGACAAAAUGGCAAGUGUAGGUCAUUUUAGAGCAUCCUAGUAAAAAUCGGUCAUUUUGGAGGUAGGUAAGGUUAUUUUGUCAUUUUGGAGGAAAGUAAGCCAAGUCUAUGUCAUUUUGGACCUAAACCAAGGUUAUCAUGCCAUUUUUUAUCUAAGUAUGCUAAGUAUGUCAUAAAUGAACUAAAGAAGCUAAGUAUAGGUCAUUUUUUAGCUAACCUAGGUAGUUAUGCCAUUUUUGAGCUAACUAAGAUUAUUUAUUCAUUUUGGAGGACAAAAUGGCAAGUGUAGGUAAUUUUAGAGCUAUCAUAGUUAAGAUCGGUCAUUUUGGAGGUAGGCAAUGUUAUUUUGUCAUUUUGGAGGAAAAAAUGCUAAGUAUAGGUCAUUUUUUAGCUAUCCUAGGUAAAGUAUGUCAGUUUGGAGCUAAGUAAGGUUAUUAUGUCAUUUUCGAGGAAAAUAAGCUAACUAUAGGUCAUUUUGGAGCUAAACCAAGGUUAUUAUGCCAUUUUUUUACCUAAGUGAGCUAAUUUCAUAAAUGAACUAGCUAAGCUAAGUAUAGAUCAUUAUUGAGUUAUACUAGGUAGUUAUGCCAUUUUUUGGCUAACUACGCAUAUCAAGUCAUUUUGGAGGAAAAAAUGCUAAGUAUAGGUCAUUUUAUAGCUAUCCUAGGUAAAAUAUGUCAUUUUGGAGCUAAGUAAGGUUAUUAUGUCAUUUUUGAGGAAAAUAAGCUAAGUAUAGGUCAUUUUGGAGCUAAGUAGGUCAUUUCUUAAGCUAAGUAUGCAUUUGUUAAGCAAAACACUUGGGAAAACUUACCAUCAUCACAGAGGUGAAGGACCGAUCGGGUUGGCGCCAGUGCCAGACGUUGAAGGAUCGGUCAGGGUUGCGCCAGUGCGAGACGGAGAAUGAUCGGUCGAUGCUUGUCUGGAGGCAUUCUGCAUCAAAGAUCAUUUGCAAUGUCUCGUUAGCAUGAUGCAACUAAAAUGUGAAUACUAGUAACUAAUGACCAUUCAAAUGAAACUCACCGUGUCUACUAUACCAAUUUGGGCGUCGACGGAGGGGUCUGACCAUUUUUACCACACACGGACUGCACAUUUUGUUUCCACGUGUCAGUCAUAUUAGUUAGUAAUGAAAGAGACAUUACUUGCAUGAUUUGGCUAAUAUGCAGGAGAAACUUACCAUGAGGAGCUCGUAUAGGGCCCGGUGAGACGCGUCCUUCUGGUUCCUCUCCGCCUCCCACAGACUAGCCGGCCUCUCCUCCAACUCCCUCUCCCUCUAUGCCGCCUGCCUGUUUGCCUCCGCCAGAAGCUUCUGGGCCCUAGCCUCCAUGGCGAGCUCCAUUGGCCGUGGAUGAGGCCUUAUCUCAGGAUCAGAGCUCGUCUGGCGCUUCUUGAUCUCCGGGAGAGUUCUAGGUCAAUGUAUGAGUCCAUCCCCAAUGGCUACCGAUCCAUGGUACCUCCCGCCACCAAAUAGCAUCACGAUCUCUGGAUCAAAAGGACUCUGGCUCGGGUUGAAGUGGGAGGAGAUGUUGGUGAAGCUCACAAGCUUGCUGUGGGAGGAGAUGUUGGGGAAGCUCUCUGGAUGAUCGAGGUGCAUACUUAGCUUAAGAAAUGACCUACUUAGCUCUGUACCUCACAAGCUUGUUGUGGGAGGAGCUGUUGGUGAAGCUCUCUGGAUGAUCGAGGUCAUCCUCAGAAAAUGCCUUGGCCUUCUUGUACGGGGCAAUAUGGGCCAUGUCAUAGAGGUCAUACAGCGGUGGCGUGUCCUUCUUGUCGUGUCGCGCCUAAAAGAGAGGAACAAAAUAUUAGUUAAGGGCUCAAGCUAGCAUGAAGAAUGAAAUUGCAUGAAUCGUGAAGCAAACCACAUACCCAGUGAUCCCCGUACUCAAACAUGUUGGAGCUCCCUUGAUGGUGUGGCACACCUUGCAUUUGGGCAUGCUUAUCGUUGGCCUUGUUGUGGACGGCUAGCCAUUGGGGAGAGCACCACUCAUCCACCAACGCAUCCCAACAGUCCAUCCUAUCCGCACACCAUCUCGGGGGCACCUAAGUUGGACGAAGAGAAAUUUCAGCGCUACACCUAUGAAUCAAAUCAAGGAAACUAUGUACAAGGCCUUAAGAAUAGGUAAUUACCUUCAUGUAGUUCUCCUUACUCAGAUACUUGGUGCAACACUUCUUCUUGGCCCUCCUAAUGUUAGUCGAGGCAUAGUAGUCUCGAACAGCCUGCACCUGAGCCUCGUACCGUAAGUUCUGAAGUAGGCGCUUGCACUCAGCUUCGAGAACCAUAGCCGCGUCCGCCUCGUGUUCCUCAAGACACAUGUAGAAGGUCUGCAAUCAAACAAGACAACACUGAUUAGUACAAUCACUAGGUAUUGUUGAUUUUUAAUUCUGUAAAUGACAAAUUACCCAAAAUCGCUGGAUCACAAUGUCGGCCACCGUCUUGCACAAGACAUCGUCAACCCUCUCCUCCGGCGAGGCCGGGGCAGCCACGUACAACUCCCAGCUUAGUGCUAGUUGUGGAACAAAACCCCCACCGGGCAAUGUGAUCCACCCCGGGAAGUGGUGCCGGCAAAGAACACCAAGGACCUGGUUGGGCCUGCGGACACCAGGGGUGUGUUUCCAACCCUUGCAGUAUGACAAGGCCAACACAUUAGUUAUUAAGUUGCAGAAACAUGAAAGCAAAAGGUUAAAAAAGAGUAAAUGCACUUACUUCUCCCUGUUAGGCUCAAUCAACCACCUCUGAUCGCGGGUCGGCGGCACGGGCGGGAGCAUUGUACCACCAUGCUGGUAGACCUUCUUGCCCCCCUCAACUAGCUCGCCUUUGCUAUAGCUAUCGUCAGAAAAGGUGUCCUCGCCACCAUCAGCAUGGCCACUAGCCUCCGGAGUCAUGUGGGACGAAGACUCUGGUACCCGAGUCUCCUGGGACGAAGACUCUGGGACCCGAGUCUCGUCGAAUGAAGGCUCGGCGACCCAAGGAUCGUUGGCCUGAGGCUCGUGGACCAGAGUCCAAGACGGGUCCAAGUCAGAUGGGUCCACCUGAGACGGAGCACUCCGGUGGUCCGGAGAAUCAGCUGGGGUGGUGGCGAGGAAGGCGCAGCAGCCUUCCUACCUCUCCCACUGCCAAGUCCACCUCUAGCACCCCUCUUCGUCUUCCCCUGACCUCUCCCGACCGAAGAAGAAGCACCCACCGGUGUCUGCAUACUGUCUACCAGCACUCUCCGAAGGUGCCGGGGUCGAAUAAUAGCACCCCUCCCAGCACGCGUCGAGGAAGGAGGCUCGGAGUGCUCUCGACCCGCGCCCACCAUCUGUCCACACCUGCAAUGACAAAGAGUAAACCAAAUUAGUACAACAUAAACAUAAUAAAAAAUUAAGUUUGUAUCAUCAUCAUGAACAUAAUAAAAAAUUGAAUACCUAAUAACAUGAAAUAAUCAAUAAUAUAUAUAUAUAUGUACAUAAUAAUAAUUGAAUACCUGACCUAACUCAUAAUUCACAAAUAUAUGACCCCGUUGGCCUCUGGAAGGCCGAAGAGCACCUUUUUCGGGAGGUGUCGGGGAUUGGGGUGUCGUGUCAGGGUCGGGGUGCUGUGUCGGGGUCGGGUNNNNNNNNNNNNNNNNNNNNNNNNNNNNNNNNNNNNNNNNNNNNNNNNNNNNNNNNNNNNNNNNNNNNNNNNNNNNNNNNNNNNNNNNNNNNNNNNNNNNNNNNNNNNNNNNNNNNNNNNNNNNNNNNNNNNNNNNNNNNNNNNNNNNNNNNNNNNNNNNNNNNNNNNNNNNNNNNNNNNNNNNNNNNNNNNNNNNNNNNNNNNNNNNNNNNNNNNNNNNNNNNNNNNNNNNNNNNNNNNNNNNNNNNNNNNNNNNNNNNNNNNNNNNNNNNNNNNNNNNNNNNNNNNNNNNNNNNNNNNNNNNNNNNNNNNNNNNNNNNNNNNNNNNNNNNNNNNNNNNNNNNNNNNNNNNNNNNNNNNNNNNNNNNNNNNNNNNNNNNNNNNNNNNNNNNNNNNNNNNNNNNNNNNNNNNNNNNNNNNNNNNNNNNNNNNNNNNNNNNNNNNNNNNNNNNNNNNNNNNNNNNNNNNNNNNNNNNNNNNNNNNNNNNNNNNNNNNNNNNNNNNNNNNNNNNNNNNNNNNNNNNNNNNNNNNNNNNNNNNNNNNNNNNNNNNNNNNNNNNNNNNNNNNNNNNNNNNNNNNNNNNNNNNNNNNNNNNNNNNNNNNNNNNNNNNNNNNNNNNNNNNNNNNNNNNNUUUUCAUCUUCUACUUCUACAUCUUUUUUUCAUCUUCUUUCUUUCUUCUUCUUCUUCUUCUUCUUCUUCUUCUCCUAUUCUCCUCCUCCUCCUCCUCCUCCUCCUCUUCUUCUUCUUCUUCUUCUUCUUCUUCUUCUUCUUCUUCUUCUUCUUCUUUAUUUUCCUUUUUCCUCUCCUUCUUUUUCUUCUUCUUCCUUCUUUUCCUUCUUCCUCUUCUCUUCUUUUCCUUCUUCCUUUUCCUUAUUUUCCCUUUUCCUCUCCACUUCUACUUUUUCUUCUUUUCUUAUUUUUUUCAUCUCACAAAAUGUACUAAUAACCUAAAAUAUGACUAACCUAAAAUCUACUAACCUAAAAUAUGACUAAAUAUAAAAUUGCCAGUUCCUUCCCCUCAAACAGAAGCUGGGGCGGCUUAAGCGCCAGUGCAAUGAUAUGGGGGAGCUUAUGGCGGCUCUUGUCAAAUACGCCGACUCUGAUAACACUAAGGACCCUGAGUCUGAUGAAGAGAAGGUUGGCAAGGGAAAGAAGAACGGAAAUGCGAAGGGAUAGCAACACAAUGCGGUGGGUCAAGGUAAUAAUGGUAAGCGCAAGCAAACUGAUGGCGGUUCAGACUUUGUGGCUAAUACCAACACACAGAAUAAUAAUCAGCAUCGUAAGGGGAAGUCAUCAGUGCCCCGGUUUGGUGGGCCAAAAAUUAACCUUGAGGCGAUAAUGAAUCAGCCUUGACCAAAGCAUGGUACUCAACAUAAGUCGGCCCCUCAUCUCUGGAAAGAUUGCUUCAUCAGGAGGGAGUAUAGAAAUUCUGGUUUUUAUCAAGGUAACCAGGGCCCGCACGGCGGGUCAGGAUCCGGCUCUCACGGACCCGGCUUUGGAGGUGGUGGCUCAAACUCUAGAUUUCAGGGCCAAGGUAAUCAAGGUGGUUUCAAUCAACAACCUAAUCAGAGAAAUCAACAGCAGCAGUUUGGUUAUCAAUCCGAAGCAGCUGAAUAGUGGGAACUAUCAUGUGUAUACCAAAAAUCUGUGUAAAUGAGACCAGAAGGUUCAUAAGCGAGCGGUGAGCCCAAUUGAGUCGGUGAGGCCUUGAUACUUACGAUGGUUAGAACAACCAAUUGUAUGGAGCCGUGAGGAUCAUCCGCCCCGGGUUGAUAAUCCGGGUCAACUAGCAUUGGUGGUGGCACAUCAGGUCGGAGAAUACAAGUUCACUAAUGCUAAUGGAUGGGGGCAGUAGUAUCAAUAUCCUUUACUAUGAUACUUUUCGCCGUAUGAAUUUGGCUGACAAAGAUCUUAAGCCGUCCUCUACAGCAUUUCAUGGGGUGGUGCCUGGUAAGUCGGCAUAUCCAGUUGGUAAGAUAGCCUUAGAGGUAGUUUUUAGUGAUGAGUAUGACUAUAGUGCUGAAAAUUUUACUUUUAAAGUGGUCAAAAUCAAGAGCCCUUAUCACGCCUUGUUUGGACGGCCGACUUAUGCCAAAUUUAUGGCACGACCUUUUUAUGUUUAUCUACAGCUUAAGAUGCCGGGUCAUAAGAGUACCAUCACGGUACAUGGAAACAGAAAGAUAGCAUUGGAGUGUGAAGAGGACGACGCUGCCUAUGCUGAGUCGGCUUGUGCAACGGAGGUGCUGAAGUUCUAUAAAGAUAAUGUUGACCCGGUAGAUAUGACCCCCUUGAAGAAGCCAACCACAGAGCAGGACCCUUUGUUGAAGUUUAAGUUGACAGAUGACACUAAACAGGUUGACUUCAUCCCUGGCGACUCAUCCAAGCAGUACAUUAUUAGUGCGAAUAUGGAUCCGACACAGGAAAGCAUGCUCAUCAAGUUCAUCUGUGAGAACCGGGACAUCUUUGCAUGGAAGCCCUCUAACAUGCCAGGUGUACCGAGGGAACUCGCUGAGCACACUCACUACAAAAAAAGACACAUCCAUGACAUUUUGGGUUGAACAAAUUUUUUUUCUGUCAUACAUAUGACACUUCUAUGACGAUAAUUGUGACAAAACCCGGUAUCAUCAUAGAUGUGGUGGGCUCCUACUUCUAUGACAAAAAAUCAUGACAGAAAAUGGGCUUUUCAUCCUGGGCGGGCCGAAGACGCAGCUGCAUGACAUUCUUUGGGCCGUCCAUGACGGAAAAAAACGUGGUAGAAGCGAGGGGGAGGAAAAUUUCGGGGAGUUCCCGGUUACGGUGGGAGGUCGGGGGCCGAGCGAUGUGUGUUUCUCUCGUACACGUAUGCGCGUGUGUGCGAGGCGUUGGCUCUAACUGAACCUGAGCGAGGCGUUGGGCUCUAACUGAACCAGAGCGAUUGCACUGCAGGCUACGCGUUACUGAACCCGAGCGAUUGAUCGAUGGCUGUUAACUGAACCCGAUCGAGCGAUUCCUUCGCUACUUCUGCUAACUGAAGCCGAUCGAUGCUGCCUCUGGGAUGAAUAGUGAGCUUUGCUGGGGGUUUGGAUGAACAGUGAGCGGUGGCGUUGCCUCUGGAUGAACAUGACCCCGUGGUGUGGUGGAGGGCUGGAUGAACAGUAAACGGUGGAGGGGUGCCCGUGCAGGGGUGGUUGAACAGGACCCCGUGGUGUGGAAGGCUGGAUGAAUAGUAGACGGUGGAGGGGUGGUUGAACAGUAGCCGGUGGAGUAGCGCGCGGUGGAGGCUGGAUGAACAGGAGCCCGUGGAGGCUGGAGGAGGUCGACGGUAGCCCGUGGAGGCUGGAGGAGGUCGACGGUGGAGAUGAACAGUAUCCCGUGGAGUCCCGUUUUGCGGUACGCCACACCCCUCCUAAUGAACAGGACCCUCGUUUCGACCGUAGCACUCCAACACAAGUCCGUUUUGUCCGUUUAGCGGUACGCCACACCCCUCCCGAUCAACAGGACCCCCGUUUCGACCGUAGGAGGUUCGUUUCCUCCGUUUUGCGGUACGCCACACCCCUCCCAAUCAACAGGACCCCCGUUUCGACCGUAGGAGGUCCGUUUCCUCCGUUUUGCGCUACGCCACACCCCUCCCGAUCAACAAGACCCCGUUCCGAACGUAGGAGGUCAGUUUCCUCUGUUCUGCGAUACGCCAGGCCUCGUUUCCAUCGCUUGUUAUGUCCAAGCCCUCCCGACGAACACGACCACGCAUUCCGUUCCGACCCAACCGGUUGGCUCCCACGCGUUCUGUUGCCUCCCGAUGAACACGACGCAUUCCGGUGCCUCCCCAUGAACACGACGCAUUUCGUUGCCUCCCCAUGAACACGACACAUUCCGUUGCCUCCCCUUGAACACGAGCCCUCCCGUACGUAUGCGCGAGUAGGCGUUCGAGACCCCGCCCGUAUGUACACAUACGUGGCCGUAUUUUCUUUCUUGCACCCUAGCCGCUGUACGUACGUGUACAUGCUAUGUGCGCGCCUCUACUACAACACGUGCGCGCCUCUACAUCCACCAGUAUAUAUGUAUGUACACGUUCGCGACUAGAAUGACAGCGCUAUGUACACUACGACCAGGUGGGUCCCGACUGUCAGGCACUUCCUUGUGUGCGAAGAUGUAGCUGGUGGGUCCCAGCAGUCAGGGGGGCGAAUCGAUUUUUUUUGCCCGGACGCACUUCCUUGCGUGCGAAGAUGUAGCCGGUGGGUCCCAGCAGUCAGGGGGGCAAAUCGUUUUUUUUUUGCCCGGAAGGACUUCCUUGCAUGCGAAGGCAUAGCUGGUGGGUCCCAGCAGUCAGGGGGGCAAAUCUUUUUUUUUGCCCGGACACACUUCCUUGCGUGCGAGGAUGAAGGUGGUGGGUCCCAGCAGUCAAGGGGAAACAUUUUUUCCGUGAAAUACAGUGGCCCGUCUAGUGGGUCCUAGCUGUCAGGUGGAGGAAUCAUUAUUUUCCGCGUAAUAAGGAGGCACUUCCUUGUUGUGGACGUGGACCCAGCUGUCAGCCUCUCCACGUACAGUCCACGUCCGAUGGAAGUCGUUCCUUGACCAUGUUGACCUGGCCGCGCCGAGAGCACCAUGGCGAUGGACGACGGUGAGGCCUAGGAAGGGGACGACGGGGAGCCAGGAAAGACGCGGCAGUGGAAGCCCGCGCCGAGAGGAGUACGAGGGUUCACUAGUUCAGCUCCGGUGUGAGGCUGUCGUCGUCGCAGGGCCUGGCCAGUGGUGGGAAUAGUAGGGGGCGGUGAGGCCUGCACGGCAGCACAGCCGGCCACGGGAGGCAGGAGCAUGCGGCACGACCGGCGCUGCUUUGGGCGGCUGGAGCAAGAAGACCAGAGGUUGAAGAAGCACUACUGCCGUUGGAUGGACAUCGUACGGUCACUGGAGCUAGAAUCGUUCAUAUUGACUAAGUUGACAAAGCCCUCCAUCCCCGUCAACUUAGUUGGCCCACAAGUCAUCCUCCCACUAUGGUGGGUCCCAGCUAGCAAGGGGGUAUUCAUUUUUUUGUGAAUAAGGAGGUACUUCCUUGCGUGCAAAGAUAUAGCUGGUGGGUCCGACAUGUCAGCGGGGGGAACGUUUUUUUUCGCGAAAUACAGAGGCCCUUCCGGUGGGUCCCAGCUGUCAGGUGGAGGAAUCAUUAUUUUGCGUGUACAGUCCACAACCGAUGGAUGUCGUUCGUUGACCACGUUGACUAGGCCGCGCCAAGAGCACCAUGGCGGUGGUCGGUGGACGACAGCGAGGCCUAGGAAGGGAAUGACAUGGAGCCGGGGAAGACUCGGCAAUGGUUGCCCACGUGGUGGGGAGUACGAGGGUUUACUGGUCCGGCUGCCGUCGCGGAAAAUAACAGGAGGUGUGGGUCAGUAGAGGAAUGGCCUGGCUAGCAAUGAAGUAGGGUGCAGUGGUGCGGCCUGUGCGGCAGCACAGCCACCCACGGGAGGCGGCAGCAGGCAGUCCCACCGAAGCUGGUUUGGGCGACUGGAGCAAGAAGAUCAGAUAUUGAAGAAGCAGCACGGCCGUUGGAUUAACAUCCAACGGUCACUGCUGCUAGAAUCGUUUGUGGACUAGGUUGACAAAGCCAAAGUACACGUCAACCUAGUAGACCCACAAGUCAGCCUCCAAAUCUGUCCCAAACAGCAUAUAGCCCAAAAAAUUUAGCCAGAUUCAAAUUAAUUUUAAAUCUAAAUAUACCUUAAUUUAAAUUCAAUGAAAUUUUACCCGGACAAAAACAAUGAAAUUUAAAAUAUCAAAAUAUGAAAGAAAACAGUAUGUUGGAACUAAUUGCCUGUUCGCUGUAUUUUUUCAUUUUACAGCCCAUUUAUUAUUACUUAUAGCCCAUUUCUUAUUACUUAUAGCCCAUUUUCUGGGCAAAAUGCAUCCCUCCUUGUCUUGAAAGAUUUCCGGCCCAGCAGGGCGUAGAAAAGCAAGUAGGCCUACGUUAGCCAUUUUCAGAAAGGAAAAAAACAAACUGGGCUGGUCAUGUGCUAAACAUAUGAAAUAAAAGCCUGGGCUAGACGGGCCACGGGUCCCACACAACCCAGUUGAUACCCUUCUCCGUCCCGAAAAAACAAAAUUACUGCGCGCGCUGCUGGGUCCCUACUGUCAUCCGCACCAUGUACAGUCAUCUCCUUAUUCCUCUUGGUUGUUGACCAUGUUGACAACACCGGAGGGCGGCGCUGCGGCGAGCGAACCAAGGCGGAGGACGAUGGUGAGGCCUCGGAUGGGAACGAACAGGAGUCGGGAAAGAUCACAGCCAGCCGUUGGAGGCGGGAGUAGGCGGUCCCACCGGCGCUGGUUUGGCUUUGGCGGCUCAAGGAAGAAGAGACUGAAGAAACGCGACAGUCGUUGAAUGUCAAUCCAACGGUCAAGGUUGGCACAAUCGUUUGUUGACUAAGCGGACACCAAGUAGCAUACUUUUUUAUAUAUAGGAAGAAAACUGCGAGGAAAAUGCGUUCGUCUGCCGUCCUCCUCACGGGGAACGUUCGCCACAUAAGUGACUAGCACCCUUGGUUUUCAACCGAGAGGUCUUGGGUUCGAGUCCGAGGAAUUCUCAAUUUUGUCCUCCUUCCUUCCUCGCAAAAAAGGGAAAGAAAAUCAAAGACUUGGGAAGGCGUACAGAACAAGCUAGUGUACCACUAAAGAGACGUUGCCGAGUUUUAGAAAAAAGAAAGACGUGCACCUGUAGCUGGUUCGAAUCCAAACCUAGACUAUGACUAUAUAUGGUGCUAUGCUACUCUGCAAGUAAUGAAAUUGACAUAUCCAACAUUCGCUUCUCCUCUUCUCUACUUACUCUGCCUAGCAUCAAAAGCUCUCGCCGCAGCAACCAUGUCCGCUGGCUGCUCGUCCACCUGCUCUUCAGCAGGCAACAACCAGAUAUGCGCCAAGUCUCCACCCGUACCAUCGCCUGUGGGUCUCAUCACACCCCCGCUGGCACGCGCACCGCAGCCGAUUGCUCAUCGCAACCCGCUGUUGUUGGUGUGGUGUCACUGCUGCAAACUACACAGAGUCAUCCGUUGCAUCUCAACCACAAUCCGCAACCCUGGCCGAGUCUUCUACAAAUGCCCGAAUCAUGGGGUAAUAAAUGUUUAAGUGUUGUUCUACUGCUUUCAGUUGCUGAUUUUUGUAAUAGUUUGGUUGAUGAUCUUCCAAUUUGAUUCGUCCAGAAAAGGGAAGAUUCGUGUGAUUUGUAUUUCUGAGAAGUUGCUGACGUGGGGGAAUGCAACUACGCUGAUUAUUUGGUUAGCCGAGGAAUCCCAAUACCAGCAGGUUGGGGUGUUGGAUAAGUAACUGAAGGAACGGCAGAAGAGGAAGAUGUAGAGCAGAAGGUUAAAGAUGCAGUUCCUCUGAUCAUGGCCAAGCAACAGCUGCUGAACGGCCUUGACAGCAAUGAGGAGAUGAAAGAGCUUGUGAAGAUAAUGGGCAAAAUCGAUGUGCUCUGUAGGAUGAUUGUCUCUUUAUUUGCAAUGUAUAUAGCACUCGUGAUGUAUUCAGUGGCUACGACAUGAGCACUUUGCUGAAACUAGUAAUGGAUGAAACCUGUGUAGCAGGCUGGGCGUAGUGUUGUGAACAUCUAAUGAUUUCUAUUAACGGAAAUCAGGGGGUAUCCCCUUUUGCUCAUAUAAAUAAAUAAAUAGCAGAGGCCCUGUUGGGUCAGCUUUGUUCUCAUUCGGAGACGUCGAGCAAAUUGCAGUCCAACAACAAACUAUGUCAUCAAAUUCAAGUUUCACAGCCAAAUAUGAGUAAAACUAAACAACAAUGUCAUCAUGUUUUAGUUUUCAUACAAUCACCAAACACAAAUCAGCAUACAUAACAAGUGAUGUUCUCACAGAAAAAUACUAAACAACAUGUUCAUCAGGUUUCAGCUGUCAUAGCAAACACAAUUUCACGUAGUAGAUAAAAAACAUCUUCUGACAGGAAAAUACGACAAAAGCAAUGUAAUCAUCAUCCGCAGCAGCAGCGUCAACAUCUUCGCCAUGUGUAUCAGUCUGAAUCGUAAUUCCCCAUGGUGUCAUCUUCUUCUUCGUCCUCAACGUCCUCGAACGUUGGCUUCUUCUUGAUCAACUCUAGUAUGUCCACAGCACGACAGGCAAUCUUUUCGCCUGCAUCAUUGACGUGAUGGUUCUCAAAGAUAUUAGGAACAUCUGUGUUAUCUUGUACAUCAGGAGCAGUGUAAGCAUCAUCUUGUUGUGCAACUUCAUUAAACAAAUUCCUCUGCUCAAACCUUUGCAAUACUCUCCAGUCAUCGUUACGUUCAAAUGUGUCUUCCAAGAAAAUAUCUGUGUUGCUUGAUUUGCCAAAAUAAAAGGCUCGUUGGUCUGGUACGCAGCCUUGACAUUGAUGGAUUUGAAAUAAUCAUCAGCUCUGGGUUUUGCGAUCCUGGAAAACAGGUUAUACCAAUGACAGCACAACAGAACCACACAUCGAUGAUCCUCGAAACUGGAGAUAUACUGCAACUGAACAAUGUCUGUUAUGUUAGCAUACAUUUCAGUUGUCUCUUUGUCAUACGUAUCCGUGCUCAUGAUGGCACUGUUUUGUGUCUUCCUGCCUUCGUCUCGUGCAAGGGUGUUGUAGCGCACAUCUCCAACAACGCAAGAUUCAUAAUGUCUUACCCGAGUAUCAGGACCCAUUGCUAGUGAGUAAAGGGCAUCAUCAACUGCCUGCCCAUCCUCCCGCAUCUUCUUAACCUAUGGUUAGAAAAUAGACAAGCUGAUCAUCUUAUGUACUCAAUAUAUUAAAAAACUGACAGUGCACUCCAAAAGCUUACAUGGUUCUUGAACCAUUUCGCAAAUCCUGCCAUAACCAGUUUGUCAAUGUUUCUUGGAUUUUGCGGCAGUAACUCCUCUUUGUAGAUGUUGCACAACAUAGUGAUCACGUCAAACAUCCAAAUAUAUAAGAAUGUGCGGCAAGUUUAGUAGAUUACGAUGUAUAAGCUGCAGUACCGCACUUACUUGAUAUAAGGUAGUAUCUCAGGACAGUUAUUUAAAACAUACCAAACCAUUUUGUCCAAAUCUUUAGGUUUGUCCUCUUGUCGACUCUUCCCUGUAACUCGAACAGAAUAAUCGAAAACAUUGAGCCCGGGAUUGUCUUCACCCACCUCUUUGUUAAGCUGAUCAGCUGUUUCAAUGUAUUUUGAGUAGAAUGUCAACGCUUCUGUAGCAAUGUAGGCCUCUGCAAUGGAACCCUUGGGUCUAGAUCUUUUCCUAACAUAGCUCUUGAAAGUGCCUAGCUGCCUUUCAAUAGGGUACAUCCAGCCAUACUGUACUGGACCUCUAAGUAGUGCCUCAUCAGGUAGAUGAACAGCCAAAUGCACCAUCACAUCAAAGAAGGCUGGAGGAUAUAUCUUCUCAAGGUCGCAUAGGAUAGUUGGUAUCUUGUCUCUAAGACGCUCCAAAGCAUCUAUCCUGAUAUUUCUACUGUAGAGUUCCCUGAAGAAUUGUCCCAACUCUGCAACUGCUCUGUAUAAGUCAAGGCGGCCCAAUCCUCUAAGGAUAACAGGUAAAACCCUUUGAAGUAGGACGUGGCAGUCAUGAGUUUUCAACCCUUGUACCUUGUUUCCAUCUGCACUGACUCUCCUUUCAGGGUUGGAAGCAAAUCCAUGUGGGAAUCUUACACGUGACAGGACCUCGCAGAAUUCUUUUCUUUUUACCUUGUCCAAGACAUACACAGCUGGUGCCAUAUCCAGUGGUUUACCUUCAUCUUGCACCUGCAAAUCCUUUCUGAUACCCAGGUGUGUCAAAUCAGUCCUAGAUUUUAAGGUAUCUUUCGUCUUGCCUUCAAUGUUAAGAAGUGUGCCAAUAAUGUUGUCACAUAUAUUUUUCUCGAUGUGCAUCACAUCAAGAUUAUGCCGCAGAUCCAAAUCUUUCCAAUAUUCCAAGUCCCACAAAGUGGACCUGCGGGUAAACAAUAAUCUCUCUUCUACCGUGCUACGCUUCCUUUUCCCGCUACCAUUACCAGGAUGGUUUCCUGGUGUAAUAUGCCUGACCUUCUCUAAUUCCACUUACAACUCAUCGUCGGUGGGCCUCUUUGGCGCAUCACGAUUUUCAUGCUUUGCAUUGAACACAUGUCUUCGGUAUUUUCUAGGAUGCGGCUUGUCCUUGGCAAGGAAACAGCGGUGUCCAAUGUAGCAGAUCUUGCUAAGUAUUGCGUAUGACAGCGGAUUCCUGUCACGGCGAACACAUGCAUUGUAACCAUGUGUCGUUCAUCCUGACAUAGUGCCCAAAGCCGGAUAAUCAUGGAUGCACCAAAUUACAACAGCACGCAGAAAGAAAUCAGCUGGUGGGCUGCUAUAUAGGUCUCGAGUGAGAACACCCUUCCAUGUAGUUUGAUUCUUUGGUGCAGACAUUUGGAGGCAUGUUGUAAGGGAUAACAAGCACUGGCCACAUGCUAUAUGUGGUGCUCUGGUGGCCAAAUGGGUUAAAUCCAUCUGAAGCUAAGCCAAGUCUAAUGUUUCUCGGGUCAGCAGAAAACUCUUUGUGUUUAUCAUUGAAGCUUUUCCACUCACUACCAUGAGAUGGAUGGCUCAUUACAUUCUGAUCUCUGUACUCCUGGUUCCUAGAAUGCCAUAGUACAUCCUCUCUUGUUUCAGCAUCAUGAAACAACCUCUACAAUCUUGGUGUAAUUGGAAAAUGUCUCAAAACAUUAUGAGGAAUCCUCUUCAUAGCAUCGCCAUCUUUCCAUCUUGAUGAUUUGCAUUUCGGGCAUUCACUUAAGUUGGCAUAAUCCUUCCGGAACAGAACACAAUUAUUCUUACAAAGAUGGAUCAUAUCAUAUCCAAUUCCAACUGCACGAAGGAAAUUCUUCAUUUUACUGUAGGUGUGUGGCAGCUCAGACGCAUCUAGGAAAGAUUUGCGGAAAGCAGCCAAGAUUGCAUCGAAUGAUUUGUUGGUCAUCCGCUCAGAUGUCUUCACCUGAAGAAAGGUGACCAUAGCUGAGAAUACUAACAGCUUAUUUCCUGGGGUGACAGCAACGCUGCAUUGUUCCAACAUGUGGGCCCACCGUUUUUCUUCUGCAGGUGAAAGUUCACGGAAUGCAUGAGCAUUUCGUAGCAUUGUUUCAAUGUUGGUCAAAGUCACUGGCUCCACCACCACCUCCUCCUCCUCCUCUUCCACCUGAGCAUCAGGCAGAUCAAGAUGGUGAUCUGCUGCUUCCACGUAGUCAAUAACAUUGACGUUCACAGCUUCCCCAUGAUGAACCCACCUAGUAUAUGUGACCGACAUUCCAUACAAGUGUAGAUGAUUUUGCACAUUUUACUGGGGUCUUGUUACUGAAUUCAUACAACUACUACACGGGUAGAGCACAUCUAAUUUCGGACCACCGUACUCAGCUCUGAUAAAGUUCAUGAAGUUUUCAACCCCCUCGACAUAUGCAGCGGAGAAUCUUCGAGCAGAAGUUAUCCAAGUCUUGUCCAUCUGUUAGACAUACAAAUUAGUUCUUCUACUAGAUAUUACAGGAAAAACAUAUAUGCUUUUUUAUGAGGUCCAGAAAAAAAUACCUAGGUCGAUGUGUAAAGCUAUGGCAAGAUAUUUGGACAAGCAGAUCUAAGUAACGAAAUAUAUGUAAAGCUAAUUCAGCAAACAGAUUUGAGUGCUAAAUUAUGGCAGGCUGUUUCAGCAGUCAAUGAGGCCGAGCACACAACCAUCAAACUAUCGAAGGCCAUCGCAGCAACAAAGAUCGAGUAUAAAACGGUGUAGAGCUAUUUCACCUAACAGAUUGGCUACAAGACCAUGGCAAUCUACGUCACAAUAAAUAUAUGGCAGGAUAUUUUAGCAACUAAUCGGCCUUGCAUGCCAUCUCAGCUAAGCAGAUUGAGUGCAGAACAGGGCAAGGAAGCUUCUUAAGAAGAGCAUAUUGACAGUAAACUACUUCGGCAAACGGUGAGAUUAACAGCGUCUAGCAGCUAACAUUCAAUGCUACACCGACAUGAACGGGGCCUCAGUCUAGAAUGCGCGUACCGUGGGAGAUGCUGACCGCCGUGCGUCUCCACACGAACAUCGCCAGCGGUGGCGGCGCUGACCGCCGUGCGCCUCCACAAGAACGUAGCCAGAGGUGGCGACGCGGCUAGAGGACAGCAGUCUACGAGAGCGUACUGUGCGAGCGAGAGGAUCGCUGAACCGCGGAGCCGACUUAUCGACGCAGCGGGGAGGGCGGCUUUGGCGGAGCGAAUGGAGUGGAGGGGGACAGGGGGAGGGGGUUUGGGUACUAUUAUUGGCUAGUUGGCAGAAGGGCGGUUGAAUCGGAUUUGGGGGGAAUUUUUGGGUGUGGGGGGGAGGAUUUUUGCACGGUGGGCGGGGGGAGUUUGGUGCAUGGUCGGUUUCUCCAAGUGCAGUCCCACAUGUCAGUGAAGAGGCAAGCUGGAGCGCGUUCCAUUUGCGUGAGCCGUGUGCAGGACCGAACGUGUGUGGGGUGCAAUGCGACCGCGACAAGAGUGCUGUGAGUGUACCGCCUUUUUUCCUUUUAAACUAGGUGCUUCGUCCCCUAAAAAAAUUUUGCUUCGCGCGAUCCAUCGAUACUACUACUAGUAAUCCGGUAAUCCCGACUAAAACGGCACGGUCGGGUCUGUUCCCGCGCGAUAUGCUGGGAGGUUGGCUUAGUUGGGUUUUUUAGGACGAGUAAUGCUACACCUACGUAAUCCCAGUUACAUAAACGUGUGAGCUAUUGAUUGUAGAUUGGGGGAGGGAGGGGCCCACCACCAUGAAAAUCAGGGGAGGAGAGAAAGAGGCAAUUUACGUUAACCCUUUCGUAGGUUCCCGU